GGAAGAGGAAGAGGAGGAAGAGGAAGAAGGGUAAAACCGUCAAUUUACGUUAUUAAUUAACCAUGGUUAAGUUUUUAACUGUGGUUAACGAAAUUUUUUUAACAGACCUUAAUGGUAGGGACAUAUCUACAUAACUUAAGACUUUUGGAGAAACAACUUAUGGAAUUUUCGUUUUGCAGGAAUAUUUCUGCAAUUCACUAUGUUUGCAGGGACGUGUAUGCAAAUAACCUAAUUUUUUUUAUCGUAUUAGCCGGAACGUGAUAGCAUACUCCGUAGAAAUUCUAUCCAGAGUGUAGUAGCAUCUCUCUUAUUUUAUGCGGACUAUCACGAACAAAAUAUUUCCCGCUGACUUCUCCUUGACAGUGGCCCAAAUCUGCUAGCGAAACGGGUUGAAAAUGGGUUGAAUCGGGUUGUCAAGGAGACCCAAACCCAACCCGCUGUGGGGAGACGAAGGGUUUUGUAACCUCUCCCAUCAAUGAUGAAAACUCAAGGGUUAUGAAACUCUCAUGAGUUAUGGGGUGACUUUUGGGCUUAUGGCUCAUUAUGAGGGUGAGUUAAUGUGUCUCAUAAUGAGAGAAUUAGCGUGUGUCUAGGUUCAUUGUAUUUAGGAGCUUAUAAGUAGUGGAGUUUUGGUUAAGGUCAAAACACACAAGAGAGAGUGUGUAUGUGAGUUGUAAUUCUCAUUUUCUAAGUAGUGUAGUACUUAGCUUUUUGAACAACCUCUGCCUUUCUCUUUGUCAUUUCCUUUACAUACUUAGUCGUAGGACGUGAAGAUCCGGACUAGCAAUAGGGACAAAGACUUGUCCAUCUUCGAGCAGGAAGACGAGCACCGUACGGACUUUGCGAACAGAACUGCUAAGCCUGUGACAGGACGCUUCUAAUCUUGGUGUCAGGUUUUAUGCGGACGUUUUGUAUUAAUGGCAUUGUCCUGUUUUGACUAUUAUUAAACCACUACAUGACGUUUCGUCCCCUUGACUGCUGUCAGACGCAUAGACACACAAAGGCCCUGCCGACGCCUACUGCAUACCUCACCCUAAUUAUUGAAAACCAUAAACAAUAGUGAGAGGAGGCGAUCGCCUAACAACAGAUGGAAGCGGAUCAGGCUUCCGCGGCGGACCCUCGGAGCGGGUUCUGCCGUGAGACGAAAACCUUCCGCAGCCUCCGCCCUGCCGCCGCCCUUCCGCCGGAGUCCCUGCCCUUGUCGGCCGCCGGAUUCGCCUUCUCCCUCCUCCCUUCUCCUCUCCCGUCCAACCCCGCGCUGGUCGACGCCGCCACCGGCGCCGCCCUCUCCUUCUCGGAGCUCCUCUCGCGUACCCGGUCCCUGGCCGCCGCCCUCCGCUCCGCCUCCGUCGGCCUCUCCCCGGGCGCCGUCGCCUUCGUCCUCGCCCCGCCCUCCUUCGACGUCCCCGUUCUCUACUUGGCGCUCCUCUCCGUCGGCGCCGUCGUCUCCCCCGCCAACCCCCUCUCGACCCCCGCCGAGAUCGCUCACCAAAUUCGCCUCUGCAAGCCCUCCGUUGCGUUCGUCGCCGCCGCCGCCGCCUCCAAGAUCCCCUCCCACGUCCGCACUCUCGUGCUCGACUCGCCUUCGCUCCGAUCCCUCUACACCCGGCCGCCAGAGCAGGAGGAGGGCGAGGAGGUUGUCCGGCAAUCCGACGCGGCGGCGAUCCUCUACAGCUCGGGCACCACGGGGCGGGUCAAGGGCGUCGUCCUGAGCCACCGCAACUUCAUCGCCCUGAUUGCUGGCUACCACGCCGCUCGGACCGCCGCCCUGGCGGAGGCCGCAGCCGUGGAGCCGCCCGCGGUGGCUCUGUUCACGAUCCCUCUGUUCCACGUGUUUGGCUUCUUCAUGCUGCUCCGGGCGGCGGCGUUGGGGGAGACGACGGUCCUGAUGGAGCGAUUCGAGUUCGGGGCGAUGCUGCGGGCAGUGGAGGCCUACCGCGUGACCUUCGUUCCGGCGGCGCCGCCGCUUCUCGUGGCUCUCGCGAAGUCCGAGGUGGCCCUCCGCCACGACCUCUCCUCCCUCCGUGUCAUCGCAGUCGGCGGCGCGCCGCUCGGGCGCGAGGUGGCGGAGCUGUUCGCCGCCCGUUUUCCUGACGUUGAGAUCGUCCAGGUGAGCUCGCAUUUUUGUCCCACCAUACUGGAUAGACCGGGAUUCUUCAAUCGUUAUAGUAGCUCUCAUUCCCGCUGUUAUCAAUUGUGAGUCCGUAACUUACUUUUACUUUUCUCAAGUAAAUAGGGGUAUGGUUUGACGGAGUCAGCGGGCGGUGGGUCGGCAACGAUGGGAGCGGAGGAAUCGCGGAGGUACGGGUCAGUGGGUCGGAUCGUGGCCAACCUGGAGGCGAAGAUAGUGGACCCCACCUCGGGGCAAGUGUUGGGGCCGGGAGAGCAAGGAGAGCUGUGGAUCAGGGGCCCCACGAUUAUGAAAGGUAAAUCCUUUUACAUCUUUGUUGACAUCUUUGAAGAAAAUAAGACACAGUUCAUAAUGACGCUCAUGGGCGUGGUAAGAUCAUAAUGACGCUCAUGGGUGUAAAUCUUACACUCUUUGUCUCACAGACAGUUUUAAGUUUUAACAUGAUCGUGUAAGGUAAGAUUUAGACUUAGGACCUGUUUGGGAAACACCCCGAUACUCACUCUGUAAUUGCGUAAUUUACUCUGUUUUUUUUUUUUUUUUUUUUUUUUUUUUUUUGCUUUUUUCACUGGCCCGCUUGGACAGCCCAGCAGAGUAUUUACUGUGUAAUAUGGGGUUUCUAGCGUAUAUCGGGGAAAAAUUAAAAAUAGAUCGGAGCAGCGUAAAAAAAUUCGUCGUUCGCCGCGCUCCGCCAUCUUGCCCCUUUCUCACUUUCUCCGCACAACCAGUUGUGCCCUCUCUUCCCUUUUUUUCUCCCCUCCCAGCCCCCAAAAUCUUAGCCGUUCGCCUCUUCCGCUUCCACCGCCUCUCUCUGCCCUCUCCACCCUCUCAGACGAACACACAGAGCGGGAGGGGCUAGCUCGGCGGGCGGAAGGCGUCCCCUGCGAUGAGCUUUUUGUUGUUUUUAUAUAAUAUUUCUUAAUUCAUCUUAUAUACUUAUAUAAGAAUGAAAAUAUAGUAUUUUUUUUAGAAACAAUCCAAACACCUAAAACAGAGGUGUUUUUUAAUAGAGUAUGGAGUAUUUCAGCAUAUCAAAUACACUGUAAAAUAAAAUUUUGUUUUAUUUCACAACAAUUGCCAAACAGACCCUUAUUAUAAAGAUAAAGUUAAUAUAUUAAUCUGAUUAUGUUUUUUAUAUUUACCUGAACCAAACACCGACAAUAGGAAUGAUUUAUUCCGAUUCCGACUCAGGUGAUGAACCAAACAGAAUUAGGUAAUGAGUCAUUCCGAUUUCGCUUCCAGCUUAUUUCGAUUCCGAUUCUGAUUUUGAUUCCGACUUCGAACCAAACACGCCCUGUAUGUCUAUUAAAGGAUUGCCUGCUCCACAUAUAACAUAUAACAAGCAACGAGUGAAUUAAGUGAAGUGUGAGGUGAAGUCGGGAACUUAAUUAGUAGCUUGUUGAGUUUCUCUUUGUGUUUUAGAGAAAUUCAUUUGGGAUAAAGAUAGGGAUUUUUUUCUUGUAACAAGGGAAAGGUGCCACUAACCAUAAGGCUCUUGUAUUUAGAUUGAGAGAAACGUAAAGGUGCGGGCUUGUAUCAUGGUUUCUUCAUAUAAGGGAUACAUCUCUCUUGCCCUCUCCAUGGACGUAGGCAAGUUGUCGAACUACGUAAAUCGCUGUCUCUUCUGUGUUUUUUUGUGUAUUUAUUUUUCCUAUUAUUGUCGUUUUUUUUUUCUUGUAUAUUUGUUGAUAAGACAUGCAGGAUGAUCCUAGGCCCCAACAUUUGGUAUCAGAGCGAUGGGUCGGUGCUACAAUAAAAAUGCAGAAUGUCUUGAUGUCUAAGUUCAAGGUGGAGAAAUUUGAUGGAAAAGGAAAUUUUGGCCUUUGGCAAAGAAGAGUGGCACGGUACAUGGGUGGUCUCGGACCCCCAUCCGUGCCGCGGCACACAGCGCCGUGCUGCACGAGACAAAGCGGCACAGCGCAGUGUGCUAAAUUUUUUUUUGCUUUUUUUUUUUGUUUUGUUCUUUAGGGUAUCCAAAGCAUUCUGGGUACCCCACGCCCUCCAAAAUCGAAAAUUUACUUAUUAGGUAAGUCAAAAAAAUUAUAAUUUAAUUUUUUUUGUUUAUCAAUAUGCUGACAAAAGAUUUGUUAAGCCCUCCGCUUCCACCACAGACAUCUAUUUUUUCUUCACAAAUUAUUUUAUCAAAAUUUGUCGCACCGCAAAAUUUUUGGCGAAUUAAGGGAAUAAAAUCGAACUCAAUAAACAAAUUUUGAGCAACAUCAAACAUAAAAUUUUAUUUUUGCGCUAGAAGAUUGAAAAUACUGAUAAAAGUAAAAGCUAAAUUAAAUCAAUUGAUACUUAAAUUUAUUUAAUUUAUUUGUCAUAUAAUUUAUUACUUAAUUUUUUUGAUAGAUCUACUAAUUUUUUGAAAAUACUUAUUGAAAUUUUUUUAAAUGCUUUUUAAAAUAAUUUUUAAAAUAAUUUUUUUGUAUUUUAUAAAAGAAAGACUGUAAUACGGUCAAAAGAAAAAAAAAGAUGUCUUUGCAUUUUAAAAAUUCUAAUCUAUAAAAAUUUCUAUUUUGCAUAAGGUAUAAUUCUACUUUACAUACUAAAAAACUUAUAAGUAUGUUAAUUGUUGAAUAUAGUAAGCUAUACAUAGCAAAUAUUUAUAACUAUUUAAUUAAAUCUUUCAAAAUGACAUUAUAAGAGUUUAAUGGAAUAAAAAAAACUGAAAUAAGUUCGUAGCAAAACGUGCCAGUAGGAGGUCAUGCGUAUCUAUCGGCUUGUAAGCGUACCAUAUGUUGGCACGGAAGCAUGCCGGUGCCGUACCGUAUCAGGCAGACAGCGGCACGCCUUUAUGCCACGGCAUUUUAAACCUUGCAACAAGGUCUUUAUAAAGCUUUGCUGAGAAAGUUUCAAGAAUCAACAGCAAUGAGUGAUGAAGAUUGAGAAGAGCUUGAUUUGAAGGCACUGAAUACUAUCAUAUUGUGCAUGGUACAUGAGGUGAUGUAUAACUUCAUGGAUGAAGAAAUUACUGUUGGAAUAUGGACCAAAUUUGAGAGUUGUAUAUGACAAAGAGCCUUACCAAUAUGUUGUACCUAAAGCAAAAAUUAUAUGGGCUACAUGGAGGGAAGGUACGGUAGUUGUUGAACACUCAAAUAUUUUUAAUAAAGUUAUCAGUGAUCUAGUGUAGAUGUGAAGUUUGAUGAGGACAAUAAGGCGUUGAUCUUCCUCACAUCGCUUCCUCUUUCCUAUAAUUACCUUGUUACAACUAUCCUUUAUGGAACGCAAACUCUUUCAAUGAAGGAUGUUACUUUAGCCCUCCUAUAUAAAAAAAAGUCAGGAAGUAAUCAAUCUAGGAGGAGUCGAGCGAAGGUUUAGUUGUUAAAAAUGCAGGAAGGGGACGACAUAAGGAAUGUGACCAACACCGCAUGCAUGAAACUCAUGCAUGCUAUGUUUGUCAAAAACCUAUGUAUAUAAGCUAAUUAAGAAUGUUGACCAUUGAAGUUGCCAACUUCAAUUUUGUGCAUGUGCUUUGUAUGUCUAUGAAAGGAUUGCCAACUCCACAUGUAACAUGUAACAAGCUACGAGUGAAUUAAGUGAAGUGUGAGGUGAAGCCCGGGAACAAACUUAGUAAUUUCUUGAGUUUCUCUCUAUUUUUUUGGAGAAAUCCAUUUAGGAUAAAGAUAGGGAUUUUUUUUUUUUGUCGUAUAACAAAGGAAGGGUGGCAAUAACCAUAAGGGUCUUGUAUUUAGGUUGAGAGAAACAUAAAAAUGUGGGCUUGCAUUCUGGUUUGUUCAUAUAAGGGUUACAUCAUUCUUGCUCUCCCUAUUGCUGAACAAUGUAAAUCGCUUUCUUCUAUGUAUUUCUGUGUAUUUCCUUUUUAUUAUUUUUCGCUAUUUUUUUGUUUGUGUAUUUUGGUUGAUAGCAUAUGCAGGGCGAUCCUAGGCCACAACAAUUGAUAUCAGAGCGAUGGGUCGGUGCUACAAAAUUCAUUUUAUCCUUUGGCAAAGAAGAGUGGAGGCCAUCUUAGCAUAGCAAGGUCUUCAUAAGGCGUUGUAGAGAAAGUUUAAAAAAUCAACAACAAUGAGUGAUGAAGAUUGAGAAGAGCUUGAUCUGAAGGCAUGAAGUACCAUCAUAUUGUGCAUGACAGAUGAGGUGAUGUAUAAUGUCAUGGACGAAGAAAUAACUAUUGGUGUAUAGACCAAAUUGGGUAAGUUGUAUAUAACAAUGAGCCUUUCCAUUGUGUUGUGCCGAAAGCAAAAAUUAUAUAGAUUGCGCACGAGGGAAGGUACGGUAGUUGUCGAGUACUUAAAUAUUUUUAAUAAAUUUGUGUAAAUGUGAAGCUUGACGAGGGCAAUAAGGCGUUGAUUGUCCUCACAUCGCUUUCUCCUUCCUAUAAUUACCUUAUUACAGCUAUCCUUUAUGGAAAGCAACUCUUUCAAUGUAGGACGCUAAAAAAAAAAUCAUGAAGCAAUCAAUCUCGGAGGAGCCAAAUGAAGUUUUAGUUGUUAAGGAUGUAAGAAGGGGAUGGCAUAAGGAACAUUAUUCGAGUAAAGGAAGGUCUCGCUCUAAGUCAAAGAUCAAAAAAGGUGAAGUGUUAUUUUUGUAAAAAAAAUGGCCAUAUGAAGCAAGAUUGUGAGAGGAGAAAGGCAUGACUGCAAAUGAAGAGUUCUUAUACAGGUAUAGUAAGCGUAGCCGAUGACCCCGAUCAACAUCAUGAUGUUUGACAGUUUCUUCGGUACUGAAUCUCUUGCUAACUGGAUAUUAGAUUCAGAUUGUUUUUACUAUGACAUCAAAUAAAUCUCUAUUUGAUUCCUGUUAAGUCUUUUAAAAGUGAAAGUUUUAUGAUGGGUAAUCACGCUACUUGCAAAACUGUUGGUAUAGGAACGGUAAAAAUAAAGAUGCAUGAUGGUAUAAUACGUACUUCGACAAAUGUGAGACAUGUUCCAGGUCUCAGGUUGAACCUAAUAUCACUUGGAGCUCUUGACUCUAUUUUUUGCAAUAUUACUAUUGCAGAUGGAGUCAUAAAGGUAAAUUGGGCCACCAUGAUUGUCAUGAAAAGAGAGAAGAAAGCAAACUUGAACAGGUUUUUCAGCGCGUCGGUGAUUGGAGGUGUUGUAUUGGCAUUCUCGGAUGAUCAUGAUGCCUAUGAUGUGGAACUCUGGCACAUGAGACUAGCCUGUACGAGUAUGAAAGGAAUGUUAGAGCUGCAUAAAAAAAGAGUAUUUAGAGGUAUGAAAAUCAGCAGAUUCAAUUUAUGCAAAUAUUGUGUAUUUGCGAAGUAGAAAAUGGUGAGUUUCAGGUCCUCCGAUCGUAGAAGUAAAAACAUACUUGAAUACAUCCAUUCGAACGUGUGGGGACUCGCUCUAGUGACUUCAAAAGGAUGUGCACAUUAUUUUAUUACAUUUAUUGAUGAUUUCUACUAUAAAGUUUAGGUCUUCUUCAUGAAGGAAAAGUCUAAAGCAAGGAUUAAAGUGCCGUGGCACGGGGGAUUGCGCUGUUUGCCCGGUACGGUACGGUACAGGCAUGCUUUCCUGCUGACACUUGGUAUUCUUGCGUGUCGAUGGAUAUGCAUGACCUCCCGACGCUUUGGUACAGACUUAUUUUAGUUUUUUUAGUUUCAACAAGCUUUUAUAAUAUUAUUUUGAAAGAUUUAGUCAAAUAAUUAUGAAUAUUAGCUAUGUACAGCUUACUAUUUAACCAAUUAACAUACUGGUAAAAUUUUUUAUAUGUAAUACAACUAGAUAAAGAAUAGAAUUAAAAUACAAUAAUAAAAUUUACAAGUAUAAUAAUUAUUUAAAUUUAUAUUUUUAUGGAGAGAUGACUGCUUAAUUCCAUAUAGAUCGUAUGGUGGAUCAUAUGGCAUAUUGUCAUAUGCAUAUACAAUAUUUAUUUGACAAUAUUGGUAUAAAUAUUGUUAGUAUUGUGACAAAAUCAUAUAUUGCCGGUACAUCUCCUUAUAUCGUCGUAUAUAAUUUGCAUAUGCAACUGGAUCGUGGAAAUAAUGGACAACAGUCACUUGUAGCAUAUAGACUGCAACAUCAUAAGGAUAAGGAUGGUAUGAAAUAGAAGAAUUAUAAUUUGGAUAUGUACAUGUAUUAGUGGACAUAGAGAUUCGCCAUAUGAGCUUCACUAUAUGAAGGUAUGGAUAGAUAGUAACCGGAUUGUUCCUGCUCCAAUUGAUGCGAGAUGGAUUGAGAUUCAUUUUGAGUGCCAUGAUUGAUGCAUCAUAAUCAUUUCUCUCCAUAAGCCAUGUUGAUAUGAAGGAUACGAGGAUACUGAAGUACUAUCAAAUUGUGAGCAUAGAUUAUUAUCUCUUCGUGGGUAUCUAGUUGAUGUUGCCUCUAAACCCUCUCUCACAAGGAUUUAAGUGCCUAUCGGCACGUGCCGUAUCCACCGUGCCGUAUCAUGCCAGCAAGAUAUUGGCAUGAUACAGCCCCCGUGCUGAUGGCACAAUUCAAAACCCUCUAUUCUUUAAAUUAGUUUUCUUAAUAAAGUUUAAAAGAUUUGACAAAAAUACAUAAUACAUAAUUGGCAUAUUUUGUUGCUAAAGAAAAUAAAUAUUUCAUUCCAUUAUGUGUCGACGCACAUAUUUUUUGUAACCGAUACGCAUCGGCAUAACCCGGCACGCACUAUGCCGUACCAUGCCAACAAGUUUCCACUUAAAUCCUUGAUCUUUCUCAUCUCCCUAUAAUCUUGUUGUGAGGACCUAUUACCUCUUCUAUGAUCAUAUACCACUCCAGAUGUUUGACGUGGUCAGGACGCAUGAUCAGCAUCUUGAGUGGUAUGCAUGAAAUUUUGCUCUUCAGUAAAUAAAAAACCAACCCUACCCUCCUAUUGUGUUGCUGGAAUGAAGUCGCCACCAUCCCCGCUGCUAUUAGUGGUAUCAUCGUCAUCAUUGCAUUCAUCUUUGGACUCUGGUAACCCAGAAUCUGCUGGUGUCGAUGUAUCACUAUCAUCAUCGAGCGAGAGUGCAUCAGCUAUAUCUAAUGGAUCCACUGAGGUCAUACGUUUUUUACUCUUACCGCUUCGGAUUGUUGUUGAAGGCCUCUUUGCGAUAUACGAUGUCUUCUUAUAUUCAGAUUGACUUUUGAGUAUGACGUCGACGACCAUAUCCAGGUCCCAGCAUAAGAUGCUCAAAUUCUUCAUUAGAGUCAUCUGUAGGAUUUUGGGAUUCUUCGUCCAAAGCUGCUUGUUCUUGCACAUCACCACACUGAUUCUGAGACCUCUGUUUAUUCUCGUCAGCGCAUUUUUCAACAUCACUAACUCAUGCUUCCUCAGCGAUUAUCUUGAAUGGUCGUGGUGGAUCUCUAGGCUCAUGGAGCAAUGGGUCCUCUUGAUUGUCUCCGUUUGAUUGUCUCCGUCUUGUAGCCAAUCGAAUAUGGGGUCUAAUUUAUCACUGAUAAAGCUUGCAUCCAGGGAAUCAUAAGUUUUAGUUCCUUUUUCUUAUCAUACUCUUGCAUGCAUCUUAAAUGACAGCUUCAUAUUAUAGUGGACAUAAAUUAGCUUCUCUAAUCGAGCGUAUCUUAAUCGAUUAGGCACUUUGGUAUGUAUCUGUCACGCCCCGAGACCGCUACCAAUUUGGUCCGGGAAAACAUGAACUCUCAUCUACUACAUAUCCCACACUCCAUAGUAAAACCUUUACAUUUGAGUACAACAUAAACCGUCAAAUUUACAUUUAGCUACAUAAUUUCUCCAACUUACUUACAUUAUCUAUCUGGAAGAGAGAAAUAGCAAUGAACAUACGAAAUAUGAACACGGAACGAGAAUAAACAAUCGUGAACAACACGAGAACACUAACACAUGAAUACUUAACUAAGGACCCAUUUAAGAACAUGUACUAGCAAACGAAUCGGAACCCGCCUGUCCCCUCUGAGACAGGCAAGCCGCAGACAAGCUGCGCGAGCUUGGCCUGGUUUAACCAUCGCCAGAGCCCCGCACCGUCUAAUUUAACCAUAGUCUCGUUCCAUUCUCGUUCAUUUCUCUCUCGGAUCCUAGCUGGAUCCUCUGGAAUCCUACCUUUGGAAUUCCAAUAUCCGCGCACUCACUCUGCACUUGGAUACCGCCACCGCCUUCACUAAGCUAACCCAGCUUCAACUACAAUACAGAGAUCGACACUUAUCUCUGCCUAGGUUCACUGUGAUCAAAGAACCGAGCAUCACCAACACAGCCGCCGGCUGCUGCGCUGCGAUUCUCAGGUUUUGAUCUUGUGAACACACGAAGGCGGGCUAAAGUAACAGCUCAGCAAAUUAAAGCACUUGCAAUUCUUCAAUAGCCCAAUUUUAUUGAUUGGUUCAACAACGAAAAGUCCUCGUUUACAGAGGUUCCGCGAUGCAUGCAUCCAGGCAAGGCCAUGGCGGAGGACGCCACGGGCUCGCUAGACCUAGUCUCCUCCACGUCCUUGACGCGCUCGUCCAGCGACGUUACAACCCGCGCUACGUCGCGGUCCUCCGAGCUAAGCUCGUCGAGGUCCCUAAACACCUCGCCGUUCGCCGUCGUCGCCGCCGGCGCUGUCGCCGUCCUCUAGUGCUAGGCGGGCGUGGAAGCCGUGCGCGCGGCCAUCGCCGGCUCCCACUCCCGUAUCGCCGCCAAGGCUACCGUCGUCAAGGGGGCGGCUGUUCACGCGGGGGCUGCCGAAGCCCAAGCCGCUGUGGACUGUGCUGCCGGCUCCUCCACCUCGCUCUCGCGCGUAACCGCCGAGAAUAAUUCAAGUUCUUCAAAUUUGGCGGUUAGAAACUCCCCCUCUUUCACCUCGGCCGUUACCACCUCAGUACCUAACUGAGAUACCUCUGGGAGAAGCUCCUGGAUAUAUGGAGCCUCUUCCUGUUCCAUGGGGAGCGGUGGGUAACGGAGCUCUUCCGCCGCUUCCACACCACCUUCGCCAACUUCGCCCUAGCCGGGAGACUGGAAGGGGGUUACGAGACCCUCCUCAAAUUCUCCCGUUACAAGCCCUUAAUGAAGGGGCUGUGGCUCUUCGCCUUUAACUUCCUCUCCAAAGCGUUUAACUCCGUCCCCCUAGCAAGUCAUCGUCUGAUGCUCGUCCUCAAGAGGGUGUAAUAUCUGACACAGGGCCUGCAACAAUCCCUGCUGCGUCUAGCCCGGCUCACCAAGAACGCCCCUGAAGCCGGUACCUAAAUAGCCCGCCACGUCGACGAGUUCGAGUGCUGGAAGCGGCUCCAGAAACUAUCUCGCAACACCCGCCUCGUGCCCCUACGGGUGCACGCCCUCCUUGCGCUCAACAACCGACCUAGGGUUCUGUUCCCCUUCUUCGCCAGCUCGCCACCAUGCCCUCCAGUCAGCUCAAGGUUCUCCGGGGGCUUUGUGGGCGCUAGCGUCAGCACCCCAGCACCCGGCGUCGUCACACGAUAGACGCCACGACCCCCGGUGGCUCGCGUCGUCACAUCCGUUGCUGUCCCGUUUACGAAGUUAACACCUGUUCUUCCCGUAUAGUCGGCGUUGACAGGUCGUUCCCGGGGCGGAUGGGGCAGUCAGCGUAGCUGAGGUCGCUGGGGUGGAGUAAUACCUCCUCGAGGAAUACAAGGGCAGAGCCGUCCCGCGCGCUACUACGGCGCAGUCGGCCUCCACUGAGUUAGUCGCGGCUCGUCUGCCCAUAAGCGGCGACUCCGGGAUCGGCUCCUCAGAUGGGUUCGGCUCCUCGGAUUGCAACACCGUCCAUACCAAAAUUAAUUGCCUCAAGCGAGGUCCCGAUACAAACUAUGUCCACGGUGUGUAAGCAAAUAAUCAUCUCGUAAGCGUGCGUACGUACUGUAUGGGUAUCUUCGCUCACCGUUCACCGCUCAACUUCCGGGACUCAGCAGCAAGUUAUGGAUGUGCCUCACGAGAAGCACGGGUCAUGUUCAUCCGCUGACCUAUUACGGGUAGGCCUACAACCUUGAAUUCUUUGACCUCCGCAUACUGCAGUAAAACCCGUACCUAACCGAGAGUUUCAUAAUGCGGUGCUAACUAACAUUCUUAUUUAACUAGUGGAAAGCCCUCGGUCCUGUCCUCCUCAGGUAAAUAGCUCGAACAGCUUCGAGAACGAAGCAGCGCUGCUAUAGCCGCUGCUCUCGAUCUUUCAACCAGUUGCCGCCGACGCAUCGUAAAAACCGCUGACAGUACCUUCACCUGGCUCACCGAGGCUCAAAUCUCCUAAAUAGCCACCACGCCCUUAAGGGCCUACAUAAAGGGCGCCUCAAUGGCCCCUACGGCGGCCUAGCCUUCUAGCUCAAGCAAUAUCUGAACCAAGGGCCCUGCCGCGGCUAGAGUUUCCGGGGCAUGGCGUACCGCGGCCGUCUCGAUUCCCUCAACUCCCUAGUCGAUGUCCUAGAAGAGCUGUUCCCCAAAUAGUCCGGCUCGCAUAGCGGCACCCCUCGGGGCCACAACAAGCACGCGUUCUUCCUACCGAGCAAAGCUGAGACGCACCUAAUAGCCCUCAACUUAGCCCAGUGCUAUUUCUUGUUCAUGGGCAACGGGGCUUAGCUGCUGAAUAAACUAGUCAAUGUUCCCAGUGCUCACAUGAGCUUCUAUCUGGAUGUUAGGCCGAUAGUAGUCAAUUUCUAAUCCAGCCUCCUACAAGUCUUCUGGCGCAAAGCGUGCGCCAUACCUGUGAUGCUUAUGUGCCAAUACGGAAAGCCCGAGUGAUUACGGGGCCGUCGUAAGUACCUAGAUUACUUGGCACACAAGUUUCUCACGAACCUGGCUAAACAGCACCAGAAGUAUCUGCUGUAGAACCAGAUAAGCGCCUGGCUGCUUCUCGUGCGCCUCGUAAACGCCUAUCACGAAGUUUAGGAAGCCCUCCUCUUCGAUAAGCGCUUCAAUUUCUUCACACUGAAGACCGAAGCUCUCCAACGGAAGAAUCCCGUGCACUAAAGGCUCCCGCCACAAAGUCAACUGGGCUCCUUUCAGCUUCAUCAACUCUUAACCGGCGCGGGUUGCUUGCAGUGGUUCCAGGCUUCGAAGUAUCCGAAUCGCCCGAUGAUAGCUGCCAAACACCUCCCGAAAAGCUUCUAACACUGAGGCGAAUGGGCAGACUGCGUCUUCCCGCAGUUCAAAUAAACCUCGCUGCCAACACUGGCCUCAAAAUUGCUCAAUUUCCUUUCCAAUUGAAGCCGAGGCUAUGAGCGGAAUGGCCACGUCCCGCUCCUGAAACGCCAGAUAUCACUACGUAGGAUAGACCCAAACCCCACACAGAACUACGUUCCGCCCUCUCACUAUCGAAUACGCAGGGCAGUCAAUUUCCUGGUACUCUUCUUAAUAGGGUAAGUACUGAACCUCAACCGCCGCCACUAGAAACGCGACUUCGACACCUCCGUGAUGGAUAUACCACGCGUGACGCUCUAGAUGUGGCUGGUGUUUUCAGACUUUAUAGAUAAAUGGGUCUUCUUCAACUUAUACGCAGUUGCCGCCACCAACCUUGACAAUUUCCUAAUGCUACAACUAUAGGAGAUGGUGGGGCCGUUCCGUUUACACCAGCGCCUACACGAAUCGUCUUUCAGCCGCUUCUUGGAGCGAAAACUACAAUGGAUUGUUUGUGGGAAUACCGACCUAUACCUCGCCGACCUGGAUCUUCACCAGCGAGGGCUCCAGGGCUGAGUCGACUACCAUGAGCAACAAGUUGGCUGAAACAACCUCUCCUAGUUCUUGAACGUUAGACGCCUAGGUUCAGAGGUUUUCCACGCCGCAUUAUAGCUCCUUCCAGUUCCGCCGCUAAAGUCACACCUGAGGCCACCGCGCGAAGCCAAAGCUUUGGCCACCACACACGGGCUUUCACUUCUCGAAGCGCUCGACUAAAACGUUCUUCGGGUGGCCAGAGGUAUGCGACUAGUGGGCCCGCCGUGUUUCUACAUAGUACUCAACUCUCGUGAGAUAACCACCGGCCCCUACUUUCAACUAUAACCCGCGAAGCACCGCUUCACAAACUGAACAGUCGUCCACUUCCGCCUCGCGGCUAAAGGUCGUCCUUUCGAAGUUUCGGAUAGAUAGGGGCAGACCUUUACCCUCCUGUAUAGCUACCUAAAGCAGCAACCGAACGGAGCGAGCUGUCCCCCGGUGCUGAGUUAAACCCACUAACACCUAGCGAACUGCUUCAGUCGUGUGAAAGAUGGCCAGGUGUGGUGAACCCGUCCUCUAUUCAACCGCGUCCAUAUAGAACUGCUCCAUCACUCCAAUGUGCCCCAUGGCUUCAGUUAACACAGCCUAUCUCUGGGGUUCAAGUGAAGUGUAAAGACCUUUUCGGACGUCCUCCGGGAACCGUGUGCCGAGCUGAAGUCGUGACGUAAAGUAGGGGUCUGUCUGCCCGUUUGACUUUCCUGGUAAGUCUGGGACCUCCUAUACAACGCUCGCACACAAUAACUGAUGUUCCCUCCAACCACGUUCCUAGACGAGUACUACUGAGCUCAAGUCUGAUUUUCUUUUUUAUAAGUACGUUAGGAGACCUUUGAAAACCGUUUCAAGCUCACGUUAAUUACCCUCUGUGUUGUGGCUAGGGGUUAUUCAUUUAUUAAAUCUCGCUACAUCUCGCUUGCUAUUUGUCUUAAACUAUAUUGGGGUUACAAAUUAACGCUGUCUGAUCCCUUCUGUUACCCAUGCGGUAUGGGCGUUUGCCAAUGAGUGCUUGGGUUUGAGCUGUCGUUUCGAUACGCCUAUAUCGGCUGCCUCUACUUAUACCUCAAACGCUAUCCCUCUGUUUUUUAUUUUUGGGCUUCCAAAGCGUAUACUCUCCGCCUAUUCGCUAAACCUAACAUGGGCUGGGUUUGGGCUUGGGCUGGGCUUGGGCUUAAAUAUAACCUGGUAUAUUUUAUAUAUCUCGUCUAUCUCUGCUAUCUAUAUAUAUAUAUUUUAAUGUCUUUUUCAAGUGCAUAAACGUUAAACAUAAAAUUUUUAAAUUUAAAUUAUAUUAUAUAAAACUUUAUAACUUUUUUCUUUAUUAAUAAAGCCUAAGUUUAAAAGCCCAAGACCAAGCCCAAGCCCAAAGCUUAAAAACCAGCCCAAACCCAAACCUAUACCUAAAAAUUUUAGGCAGCCCAAGCCCAAGCCCAAGCCCAGAGCCCAAACCUCAGCCCAAGCCCAAGCCCAAAAAUUUUUAGGCGGGGCUUAGGCUGGGCAACUGUAGAGAUACCUGUUGACUCACCACCGAUAUUAUACUAUCUAAAUCGUUUCGUAAAUUUUUCUAAUUACACGUACAAAAUAGAGUUUGCUGUUGUAGAUCACCUACACUUUCGUUGACCUCUUGUAAGCGUGACUAUGACAUCCUAUGGCUUGAAGACUUUUAUCCUUCAAUGCCAUCCUAUCAUACAGCCUCAAAUAAUAUUUUUAUUUAUAUUUAUUUUUAUCACACUCUAUGAUAAAAUAACCUGAGUAUCUUCAUUUCAUAUUCAACCUUUACUGGACACGACUUUAGCCUCGCUUUUGGCUUCUAAAUCUUAAAAGACACUCUUUACCCCGUCUAUUUAAUCGUCUUUUACGUGUCACAGUCUUUUAAUACUUUUGACCUCCUAUACAGUCUUAAUAAAAAUACUCCGAUCUAAAUUUCAAAGUCGGGUAAGACUGUGGGCCUUCCACCUCUUAUUUUAGCUUGACGAUAGAUGAUUUCUAAUGUCAAGCCGUGUCAAAAGCCACUGGUUUGCCCCAGCUUUGACUUUUGAAUUCUAUAUAAGAACGAGUCAUGCAAUUUGGCUCGGACGGACAGCUUAAACUCGCGUUUGUCUGUAAGUCUUCCCGGGGCUGACAAGGCUUGACGCUUUUACGUUCAACAUUAUCCACACUCUCCCCCAAAACACGUUAACAAUGUCGUCGGAUACACCCGACCAACGUACGCAUGUGUGUGUGUGUGUAUGUGUGGAAGAGGGAGUUCAAGAGAGUAAGAGAGGGUGAGAGUGUGAGAAAAGGGAGAAAGAGAGAUCUUUCUUUCUUUCUUUCUUUCUUUUUCUUUCCUCUUCCUUUCUUCUUUUUUCUUUCUUUCUUUCUUUCUUCUUCCUUUCCUCUUCCUUUUCUUCCCUUUUUUUCUUUCUUUCUUCUUUCCUCUUCUUCUGGUUCUUCUCCUUCUAGUAGAAGAAGGAGGAGAGGGAGUUGGAACCUCUUCGAAAAUCUCCAUUCGAGGUUUGGGAUAUUACCAUCUAAGGAAUUCUAUCCCAAAAUACCAAAUCUUAACCAAACUUACCUUGGAUAACCUCGAUCAAUCUACCAAGAUCGAGCUUAAACUUCGAACUCGGUACCUAAAGGAGUAACAACUUUGGAUCCCGUGAAGUUUUGGGAUAUUACCAUCUUAAAAUCCCGAAGUAAAUAUACGAUAUUUUUACCUAAAUAACCUUAGGAUACUACGAUUUAUCUACUAACAACGGAUUUAGUACCUAGUUAAAACACUUAAAAACGUUUUCAACUUUGGAUCCCAAGUUUUACGUUAAAAACCUUUAUACCCCCAAACUAGAGUUAAUUGGGAGACAUUUGGAUUAACGAUCCAGAUAUUUGUGCAACCGCUUCUGCUAAGCAGCUAGGCUGUUCGCCCACGCCUCAAUAGCGGUUUUGUUCUUGAACUCCCAAACCAACGGGGCUCCUCACCUUCGCUGCAUGCUCCUAGCGCCGCAACCCAAAAGAUUAAAGCACCGUGAUGGUUCUCCACCCACCACUGGUAGGGCUUCGUUGACCUGAGGGGAAAUACAGAAUCAUGUAAUUUAGAACGUAGAACAUAAGUGAACGUAAUAUCCUACUAACACGUAACGGAAAGGAAUACGAAUGGAUCUACUAUAGUAUGAUACGAAAUCAACGAACUAUAUCACCUAACUACUCCUAACCCAGCUCUUAACACUUAGGAUAUCACGGCUCCACUUUCUACCUGAGUUACCAACCAAAUUAUAAUUUGUUUCUUACUCACCGUAGAUCAACUAUCAUUUGUUUUCUUGCUCACCGUAGAUACACUCAGGAUCACAUAUACUUUGGAUACCUGGAACACUACUUUCAUUGGGAUCUCCUAUCCCUUAGGAGCUCACCUCUCCUAACCUAGAACGAGUGCCAGACAAAUAUGGAACACUACCAGCGAGGUGUAUUCAUCACGCGAGGCCUCAACCAGUGCACCCUAUCGGAUAAACCCCAGGGCUCCCUAUCGGAUACACCCCAGGGCGUCUGCCAGAGCCUAAGCAUCAAACUCAACUCAGAGGGAUGCGCAGCUCUACCGAUACACUCAUCAUCCACUUGGGAGCCCACUCGGUAUUCUAAUUACUUGUUCAUUUAUUGAAAUGAAGAACCUGUACUACUGCUCAAUCAACGAAUGGGUAAAGUAACUUGUACGUAAGUAUAUAAAUACUAAGCCCGUAUUAUCGCAUCAAAAGAUAAGACAGGAAUGUCGAAAGGUAUAGAUAGAUAGACAAAUAGAUGAACACGGGUGAACCUGGAUCACCCCUCUGGCCGCCUCAGCCGCCGGCUUGGGUGACCCUUGAUUCCUUCAAUCAAGAGUGGGGGGUAAAAUAAUGUCCCGGCUCGCACUCAAGUGUGCCGCUCCUAGCGCCAUUCCCGAAUCGCGGGAUCUACGUAAUCAAAUGAAAGGAAACGUAAUCUCGGUGGGAAAACAUGAACUCUCAUCUACUACAUAUCCCACACUCCAUAGUAAAACCUUUACAUUUGAGUACAACAUAAACCGUCAAAUUUACAUUUAGCUACAUAAUUUCUCCAACUUACUUACAUUAUCUAUCUGGAAGAGAGAAAUAGCAAUGAACAUACGAAAUAUGAACACGGAACGAGAAUGAACAAUCGUGAACAACACGAGAACACUAACACAUGAAUACUUAACUAAGGACCCAUUUAAGAACAUGUACUAGCAAACGAAUCGGAACCCGCCUGUCCCCUCUGAGACAGGCAAGCCGCAGACAAGCUGCGCGAGCUUNNNNNNNNNNNNNNNNNNNNNNNNNCUCAAAUUCGACAGGCAGGCUCGGUUUAACGUACUGAGCAAGAAUAUAUCUUAAGUUUUCAGUUUCGACCCCGUUUGGUCACCGAAAACUGUGCCGAACUGUAAUCUUUAGUAGAUAGCAGUUCGAUUUUAUUCUCCACCUUCCGGGUGUCAGAAUGGGCUGAAACUUUAAAUCUAGCCUCAUAAAAAUAAUUCUGACAUAUCCUCCAGUUUUCAUAAUUUUCUGACACUGUGCAUUUUCUGCUAAUUUAUCUGCCCCAUUCCUCACAGAAAAUUCUAAAUCUUCGGUUUUCGCUCCGAUUUCAGCACAGGUCAUUUCCAACUUAUACUUUACUUCUAUGAGUCCAAUAAAAUAGUAUCUCACACUAUUUUUAUUUAUAUUUAUUUUUAUAAUAAACUCCGACAUACUAUCCUACCGUAACUUCCUAUUUUCAGAAGUUCGGUAUCCUACAGUAUCAGUGCGAAUGUUCUCCAGUUGCUUUCACAUCCACUAGAUGUUGUCGUUUGAGAUAAAACAUGCACAUUAAUCUUUUUAAAUGCUUUGCUAAAUCUAUCAUAUUAUAGCCACCACUCAGUUGUCCAUAGAGAUGUCAACGGGUCGGAUUCGGGGCGGAUUUUUAAAAACCCGAACCCGAACCCGACUCCAAACCCGAGACCCGAACCCGAACCCGAACCCGACGGAUUUUAAAAAUCCAUAUCCAAACCCAAACCCGACCAAAAAUUCGAAACCCGAACCCGAACCAGAACCCGAAAAUUUGAAUCCGAAAUAAUUAUUUCUUUUUUCAAUAUUUCAAAAUAUAUUAUAUUAAAUUUAAAUUUUUAAAAUACAAAUUCAAAUAUAACAUCAAAUUUUUAUAUAUAUAUAUAUAUAUAUAUAUAUAUAUAUAUUAUAUAUAAUACAAAAUAAAUUCGGGUUCGGGUCGGGUUCGGGUUUGGGUCGGGUACAAUCAAAAUCCAUAUCCGAAUCCAUAUCCGUCGGGUUUUUAUUUUUUAUAUCCAUAUCCAAAUCCAUAUUCAUAUCCAUCGGAUAUAUCCGUUUCAUUCGAGUUCGGGUUCGGAUAAAAUUUCGGGUAUCCAUACCCAUUGACAUCCCUAGUUGUCCAAUUAAAAAUUAAAAUUAUAUCAAAUUAGGUUUAUCGUUAGAUAUAAAACGUCUAAAUUAUUUACUUAUUGGGAUCGGUGUUGUGUCUCCCAUUAAUUGCACCCACUUUGCCAAAAGUUUCAGAGGAUUCACGAAUAUUUUUUCCUUUAGUAUGAUAGAGUAAUAAUGAGCAAUCAUCAUAUUAACAUCUAGUAAAUUAAUAAUACAUUGAAAAAGCUAUUGUAUCUCAUUUAUGGCAAGAGCGGCAUGCGUUGGAUCUCUCUCCGAUCUAUUGAUGACAUUUCGUAAUGCCUUUAACAAUUCAUCAUCAAACCUAAGAUUAUAAUGAUGGUGGUACGGCGAAUUAAGAUAAUAACCUAUCAUUAAGAGAAGAAAUCACUCCAUCAACAAUGCAAGAAUAUAAAUUGAAUGAUCAAUUGAAUGCAAGAAUACAACGUCUGUUAUGCCUCGGGUUUGGGGCCUGACAAUUUUACACUAAUAUUGAGCUCUCAUUUGACUAUAUAGCUUUUUAGUCAAUUCACGCUCCUUUGCGCUUUAUACUUAGAUUUAUUGGUGAUGAAUUUCACAUAUAACAUUUUGUUUUCUAUGAUUUUCUUUUUGCGCAGCUGCCUUCUGUGAACAUAAUGCUACUUCACAUCAAGUGUGUGGUCCUGUGAUAUUUCGGGUCAUUUAUGUGGGCAAAGAGUUGCCAAACUCUCAUAUCGGAUUGUCACAUAAUCAAACGCAGAAGUGACUACUCCAAGAUCUUGAAGGAGCUUUCUUGUCCAAACUACCUCCUCAGUUGUAGAUGUACAAGCUACAACUUAAAUCAAUAUCGGUACUUACCCGAGUUCUGCAAAACUGAGAGCUAUUCAACCCUGCUCUCAAAUGAGUUCUGGUACCUCAUUUUAGUGCUGGUACUCAACAAAAAACUGUAGUUUUACAUAUUUCGAUCUUCAAAAAUCCGUUUUCGUGCUUAUUAAGCUCUGAAAACAGGCCUAAGCUCUUGAAACUUCAGUCAAAACUUCUAGAAUAGCAUAGAAUACUAUUCUCACACUAGAAUCUUGCAAUUACUAAAGUUCAGUGUGCUAUAUUUUUUUUCCAAACUUCUAAUGAUUUUCAGAACUAUUCUUUCCUAUUUCUAUCUCCUUUUAGUAUUCUAUUUUUCCAAAAGAUGUGAAAGGAAUAAUGACCCCAAAGCGGAUAAAAAAUCAUCUAGGGGUAAGGGUAAAGAACUUGAGAUUUAGAAUUUGAGAUUUAAGGCAUAAAAAUAGGAGGACACAUUGCAAGAAAGAAAAAGAUUAACAUCAUAUUAUUAAAAUUUUAGAUCGCAACCAAUGUUUCUAAUUCAACAGUUUGACUCUGAAAUAAUAGAUCUUCAUGUAGAAAAAUUUGAAUAUUUAGAAUAUGUCAGUUCUUUAUUAGUUUAGUUUUAUACUUACGACUUAAGGUGAAACCAUUUGGUGUAGAAAAAUAACAGUUAUGAGAUUUAUGAAUUCUCAUAAAGCAUGUAAUAUUGUAAAUAAUUGGCAAAUUAUAUUAUUAUUAUAUAUAUACAUAAAAAUAAUUAUGCAUAUUCUUAUCUUAAGCAUACUAAAUGAAAAAAUAGAAAAAAUCAUUUAAUUUCACUUAACUAAGUAAAUUUAUAGACAACAGAGAUGCAUGUAAUAGAUAUUUUAUAAGAAACUGUAAUCGAUAAUUUGUAAUUAAGAAACUUUCUUUUGUUGGCAUGUAAAUUACCCGAGUGUUGACAUGGUGUCCUCUUGCUGUUUUCUGGUCCAUUGGAGACCUAUGAGAUCACAUUAAAAUGGAUAAAAAAACUACAUUUUGGAUACUUCAAAUAUCUGGAAGAAAACGUUGAUUCUUAGCCAAGGUGCCAUCCCUCAUUAGCAUACCGCUCAUGUAAAAUGUUGUGUAAAUUUAUAUUUAGUAGUUAUUUUCAUUGUUUUCUAAUGUUCCACUUUCAGGUUACAUAUGUGAUGAGCAAGCAACUGCAUCUACCUUGGAUUCUGAAGGCUGGUUGAAGACGGGUGACCUUUGCUACUUCGAUGACGAUGGUUUUCUUUUCAUUGUUGAUAGGUUAAAGGAGUUGAUAAAGUAUAAAGCAUAUCAGGUAUAAAGUAAAAAUCUGAAAGCUGCUGAUUGCCUAUACAGCAAUUGCAAGUCGCACUUAAUACAUUGUUUUUGAUACAUCAAUUGUUCCAUGUUUCAGGUGCCUCCAGCUGAAUUGGAGCGUAUACUGCAAUCCCAUAAAGAAAUUGCUGAUGCUGCAGUCAUUCCGUAUGUAUCUAGGACAACUAACACAGAUUUCUGUUUUUGAAGUCUAAACAAUACUGAGUUCAUAGUAAUCUUCAUUUUUCUCCAUCAUGCUGCUUUUUCUAUUUUUGUCUCCUAGGCGAUGAUGAAUGUUCUGACAUAAACAGCUGAAGGUUAUAACUUCCGAUAUAAAAACAAAAGGAAGAGGUAUAUGCCGGAAAUGGGGCUAACCGAAUGCCGUAAUGCUAUAAGAAGCUUUUUUACUAGGAUUGUUAAACUACAUGUUUCACGAGAAGACAGUGAUAGACUACAAACCACAAGAUUCCUGUAUAAGGAUUUCCAUGCUUUUGAUAGGAUCACGUACUAUGUUGUCAUAGGAAGUUUCUUUAUAGUUUUAUGCGAGUAAAACAUGAAAUAGCACAUAGAGAUGUAAGAUCCUAACAUAGUGAAAUAAAACCAACUUAGAUGUUUGGCUAGGAGUUUCUUACUCUGGAGAUAAAUAUAAUAGAAUAGAAAAAGUUGGAAUUUUUAUUUUUGAGUAAUAUUUCUUUUGGACAAAAUAUUAGGUAAGCGUCAGGAGUGACAAACUAAAAGAGUGCAAUGGAAAUCAAUUUAGAUGGCCUAAGCAUGUAAGACGAACACAUAAGAGACAGAAAAUGUUGAAUUUUCUACACCAUUAAAAAAAGAUUAAUAAAAUAAAACAGAUGAAGUUUCUAUGGAGGAGUACAUGAAAGAUUCAUAACAUAGACAGAAGUCAUGGGAUAGAAUGUGGAAAAGAUUUUGGCAGACCACGAAUUUAUAGUUCAAAUACAUAGCAGUGAUCAUAGGAAAAAUGCCCGUUUCUAUUGCUGAAGUUACGAUUUCACUUCUGCCAAAGGCUUAUUUUUAUUAGUUAUUGUAGAAGUUUUUAAGAUUAUUUAUAUAAUGGCCUAGCUGAUGCAAACCUAGAGGUUGCCAAAACUGAAUUUUUAACUUUGUUUUUGUGUAAAGGUAUUCUUGAAAUAAAUAAACUAGGUUCAAUUUAUCGAUUCCGGCGAACUUACUAUGUAAACCAAGGAAGCAAAAAUUUCAGCAAGACGGAAAAUUAAAAUCAAAUUGAAGCAAUACUAAGAUGGUGAUAAACUUUCAAUAUAUGAGAUAAUAACAACCAACUAAAAAUACAUAUAAUAGUUCCACAAAGGUAAAUUCUUUUUAUUGGACUUGCAAGUUUUUAGAUUUGGUUGUUUUAGAUUUGGUUGUUUUGGCAAAUAUGGUUAGAUUGGAAAUGUGUAAUGACCCGACCCACUAGCAAUAAUAAUUCGUUGGGGCUAGAUCUUCGGCUCAACUACUUAAGCCCAAUUAUUACUACUAGGGUGUGAGGACUCAUGUAUACCAAUUAGAAUCGUUUUUCUAUCCGAUGUGGGAAUAUUUGGGCGUUACAGACUCCCCCCAUUUAGAUCCUGACGUUCUCGUCGGGUCCAAACCAGAUCAUAGACAUAUAGACCAGAAUUAUUAGGCGAUGUAUGAUUCUAGAGGUGGCUCAUACGGAUUCAAGAGGUGGCUCCCGUGGAUGAAGGCAUAGUCGAACAACAUAAGUUAUUGUGUUUUUGUGGUUUGCUUUAUUUUGUAUGUUUGCUCUUGUGUUUGCUCUCCAUUGGAUGUUUGUGGGGUAUGGGUUGUGAUACGCCCACCAAGUGUUUGUGAAAUUGCUACUAAUAACUUUCAUCUUUAGUUUGGAACAAUUGGUACUAGAGCUUGAUUGAUGGUUACUUAGCAUUUAUUUAUGGUCGUUAACUCAUAUUUCCGAUAAAGAAAGCAAGAUAAUUUGAGAGGUUGAAUGAGAGAAAGUGGCCUAUAUGGAAAAACAUGAUUGAGGGUUAGUUGAAAAAGACCUUUAUUUACCAAUAUUGGAGAAAAGUGCAUAGCCAUCAUGAAUGGGAUCUACUUGACCAAAAAUAUUUGGCGGCGAUUAGGCUAUGUAUUUCAGCAUUGACAUUGUUUGAUGUUUAUCAAUGCAAUUUCCUGGUUGUCGGAGACUUUGGAGCAAUUGUUUGAACAAGCUUUCGGUGUGAACUGUGAACAAGAUGCAUGUAAUGAAAGGCUCUUUCUCUUGAAAAUGCAAUAAGACUACUAUUCACAAGCAUGUGAGUGAGGUCAACUUUAUUGUAGCGCAAUUCUAGUCUUUCAAAAUCAACCUUGAUGUAAAAUCCUUUGUUUACUCCUUUUGAGUUCCUUAUCUUCAAGUUGGGAAAUUUGAUUUGCUUUACAAGAUACGUGAUAGAAACAUGAUGGAAAUAAGUGAGUUGAAUCCGCCUAGGGAUGUAAAACGGGCCGGGCGGCCCAUGCCCGGCACGACUGCGGGCCGGGCCUAGCCCGACACGAUUACUGUAGCAUCCGUGUCGNCUGCGGGCCGGGCCUAGCCCGGGAUGGCUACUAUAGCAGAUGUGCCGGGCCGGGCUAGGCCGGUUCUUCGGGCCGUGCCGGGCUGAGAUUUUGCGACCCGCAGGCCCGACACGGCACGGCCCGUGUCGGGCCUGGGCAGUGCCGGGUGAUGCGCACCAGGCCCUGUUUCAGACUUAUACCCGUCGCCGAAAACUCAAUAUCUGGCUUGAUGACGUGAUCGCACCAUGAUUCAAACAUUGGGUGCGACUUGAGUUCGAGCCGGAUUUGCAUGAGGAUAGGUUUAGAUAUUUUAGUUAUAGAGAUAUUUUAAAUAUUAUUUUCUGUUUUAGAUUUUUUUUAGAUUUACUUGAAUAUUGGAAUUUUAGGUAAGAACGUUUAUCGGUUUGUUUCAAGUUGUUAGUACAAAACUCUAUGAAUUAGGUAGGACUCCAGAUAUUCAAACUCUUUUGGAAGCAUCUGAUAAGGAAAUUGUGGUUUUAUCUCAAAAAAGAUGACAUAGUUAGGCAAGUAAGCAAGUAAAUUCUAUGUGCCUUGAAGCAAAUCUUAACCUUCAAACUAACACAUUUUUGUUAUUCUAUUUACUUCAAGAUUGAAGUGAAAUGAUUCAAAAAGUAGGAUGAUGGUUGAUCUUUCUCCUUUAUGUAACAUGGUAGGUAUCCUGAUGAAGAAGCUGGACAAAUACCAAUGGCUUUUAUUGUAAAACAACAAGGUAGCACCCUCACCGCACAGCAAGCCAUGGAUUUUGUUGCGAAACAGGUACGUGCUGUUUUAUCAUUUUUAUGUUGUUCUAUAUAUCACCUUCUCAAUUUUUUUCCUCCAAGAUUGUCUCGGUGGUUUCAACACAAUGAAUUGGCUAAAAUGCAGAAAAACUCUUAUAAAUGUCCGCUUUUCUACUUUACCUCCUGUCUUUUAAAAACUCCUAUUUUGCCCCUUUAAAUUUAGAGGUGUAUCACUUAACUCAGCAAUAUUAUAAUUUCGUCACUAUUCUGUUGAUAAAUUGUAUAGUACAGCUAAGAAACUUACUUACAUACUCAUUAAAUUUAGAGGUGUAUCACUUAACUCGGCAAUAUUAUAAUUUCGUCACUAUUCUGUGGAUAAAUUGUAUAGUACAGCUAAGAAACUUACUUACAUACUCAUUAUAUCCUUAAAAAUGGUGGGAAUGCAUAAGCAUCUUAUAUUUUCUUUCAAAUAAGAUAAUUUUUGACAGAGAUCGCUGGAUAUUUACUAAUUUACUUUCCUUUUUUCGUCAUUUCUAAGGAUAAAAUAAGUAUAUAACGAUGUUAAGUGCUGCAACUUAACAUUUUAAGGGGGUAAAAUAUAGAUUUUUAACAGACAUGAGGCUAAGAUGCAAAAGCAGAUAUUUAUAGGGGGUUUUAUGUAUUUUAGCCGAAUGAGUUUUCUUUAUCUUCUCUCGUCGGGACCUUGAGUAGAAUUUGUGGAUUUCCUAAAGCUAAUAUAGCCUGUGCAACUGUCCUCAAAUUUUUUUUUUUGAAAUGAGAUCCUUUGUGCUACUUACUGAAGAUCCUACUGUAAUACAAAACUUUUUUCUCUCUCAAAAUAAAAAAAAGGAAAAACUGAUAAUAUUAUGUUGUUAACUACAGCGAAAAGUUAUGUAAUAACUCUUGUUUUCAUUCCUUAAAAGUAGUUACCGACUCAGCUCACACACUGCCCUUCCUUUGGUCUUUGACAUUCGGUGAGUUCAAAACUUCCUUUUACUAUUUCGAGACCAAACAAAUUCUAGAAAGUAAACAGUGUCAUCUUCUUGCAACAGGUUGCGCCUUACAAGAAAAUCCGCCGUGUUGCCUUUGUCAAUUCUAUUCCAAAAUCAGCUGCUGGGAAGAUUUUGAGAAGAGAGCUUGUUGACUAUGCACUAUUGAUUCCGUCUUCCAACCUUUGAAUGGUGUCAUUUCAUUGCAGGUGCUUGUCAGCUCCGAAGACAUUGUAAGUUUGCUUAUGGUUGUCAUUGUUUUUUUGGGGCUUAACAAGCGUUAUAUAUAUAGAGCUAGGCUCUUAUAAUAUUCAUAGUACUGGGGUUCCGGUAUUAAAGUCUCGUUUCAACCUUAGAAUGUUCAAAUUAAUGAUCCACACCAUUAAAACUGAUAUAGGGUAUUUAAAGUUUUUAGAAAUAAAAUUUUAUAUUUUUUUGUCAUAGUUUAUUCUAUAAUCAAACCGUUUCAAAAUUAUCAAUUUCCAAUGGCUACUAUGACGAGUUUGUAGUUUAAAGGCGUAGAAGAAUCUAAAUUUAUUCAAAUUUUGUUAGAAAAUAUUUUAAACUAUUUAGAUUAAGGUUAACAUCCUUAAUCUUGAAUUCAAAAGUCCUAUACUUAAAUUUCAAAGAUCGUUCAAUUUUCACCAUUCAUUAUAACAUAAUUACUUGCUAAGUAAACGCUAUCGAAAAAAAUUAAAAUUUUAUUUCUAAGAACUUCAUAUACCCUAGAUCAUAUUUAAUGGUGUGGAUCGUUGAUUUGAAUACCCAAAAAUCGAUAACGAGACUAUAGUACCAGAGCUGCGAUACUAUAAGAAGUAUCAUAGCCUCGUUAUAUAUAUAUAUAUAUAUAUAUAUAUAUAUAUAUAUAUAUAUAUAUAUAUAUAGAAUUCAGCUCCUAUACUUUAUAAAAAGUAUUAGUUAUUGGUGCUUGUAGUUUUGUAGCCUUCGGAUGAAGAUUUGGAGAGUUAGGAUAGUAGGGGUCCACUAGGGUUGAGUGGGUGUGUCACGGCCCACGACCACGCCUAUUACAGCGCCGAACAGACACGGUUUUUCCUGUACCGCGGACAGAGUCUUCCCUGUACUGUUCAAGGCCCAACAAACAGUACAAUACAAAAGGUUCCAAACAGAAACAAUAUUCGUACACUGAUUGCAUAAUGGAAGGUAUCAAACAACAUAAACACCUAAGUUAUUACAUGCAUUCACAUUCAUACAUUUUUACAACUCAAUUACAAUUUGCUUCCAGCCAAAAGCAACCUAAGUUAUUACAUCAUUUAUAUCUUUAAUGCAUUUUUGUUCUUUUAAUUCACUACGCCCCUGAGCUAUGUCGACUCGGGGUACUGCUAUCUCUGGUCUCUGGGGGUAGGGCACUACCUACGGAGCUACGCCCUUGCCUUGCGCCGCCGCGCCGCUCACGUGCGAACCUGUAACACCCCAAAGCAACGUGGGAUGAGAACCAACUCCAUGAUUCCCAGUGGGUACGGCCACCCAAGGAAAAAGCUCGACCAACAGGUCCAAAUGAGGCAAACUGCAGGUUAGUUUAAUAAACAGAUAGAUAUGAUAUCUAGAGUAUGCAACUAACGAUACCAUGCUUUGCCUAACAAAUGCAACAAUGCUAUGCUAUAUGCAAAUCAUGCAAUAAUGCAACUAUACAACCAAUUAGUAGUUCAUUCGAUACUACUUCCAAUCCUGCUAACCAUAGCUCAUCCAAUUGACUUCUAAGUUUUUCCUCUAUCUUAGAUUCCUGUCAAUCUCAAUUCUAUUCAUAAGGUUUCGUCUACUUUUACGAGCUAUCCACCCGACUCGGUGUUGAGUCAAUCAUCUGCGGAGUACCGCACAAAGCCAGGCUCGAGGCGAAGGACGUCUCACUUGCACCUCAGCCUUAAAUCCACUCAACUAGGAUACCGAAUCCACUCUAUAGCUCAUGUACUUGUCACCCAAUCACUUGGCUAACCCGAAGGGUCGCCACCAACUCACGUCUCAAAGUCUCAUAGGGGAAGAGUCUUUAAUCGCUCGGCUACCUCCGAGACCGCCUGCGGACAGCUAGCUACUGUCUGGACAGCUCACGACCGCCCCUCAUGUGACCAAACUCCGGAGAGCACAGCUUGUGUGGAGCGACCACCACAAGCGCAGACAGGCUAUGUGAGUAUGAUGAUCCAAUCCUCGUCAACUGAGGUUAUCCUGUUAACUAGGGUCAUCAUCAACAUGGAAUCAAUGUGUUCCUAUACUCAUCAUCCUAGUGUUUCAACUACACUAAGUUCUUAUAUCAUACAUCAUGACCUAUGUUAAGUGUCUCGUCUGUACUAGGUCCUAUGCCACUCACCUAGAUCCAAGUGACUCUAGGUUCAAUGCCCUCAUCACACAACCUAGGUUUAAUUAACUCUAGGUUCAAUCCACAAUCUAUGUUCACGACACUAGAUUCGAUNGCGUUAGUCCAUGGGCAAGUACGUUAGCCCCUUCAUGUGACAAAACUCCCGAGUGCACAGCUUGUGUGGAGCGACCACGACAAGCGCAGACAGGCUAUGUGAGUAUGAUCCAAUCCUCGCCAACUGAGGAUACCCUGUCAACUAGGGUCAUCAUCAACAUGGAAUCAAUGUCAUUCUUCCUAGAUCUUGCUUCUAGGUUCACUUGUUCAACCUAUGUUCACGACACUAGGUUAAUGCCACUCGAUCUAUUCAAUACCUAAUUGUCCACAUCGAGUUUCUAUAAACAUCCACAUUAUCAACAUGCAUAUUAUACUUAGCCUUUUCUCAUUAUGUCACUAUGUGUAACCCCCGAGAUCUCGGUGAAAUAUUGUGGACUUUAGCCAAAUUGACUAAAGUACUCGAAAGGAUUGGUUGGACGCGAUCCCUUAACAUCCCAACCAUGUUAGAAGGUUAAAAAUGAGUUCUAAAAGAGUUGGAAUGGUUUUAGCGUUGUUCGGUACGAAAUAGAAUCGAAAACGAGCUAAAACUGCAUUCUGGAGCAUUGUGUACCGGUACAGGUUGAUGGCUGUACCGGUACAGCAAGCGACCUGAAGAAAAGGCUACUCUCGGAUUUGGGCUGGAAAAAGGCUGUGUAUCGGUGACAGGAUUUCGUGUACCGGUACAGUGCACCGUGGACCACAGAAAAAGGCUGUUGUACCGGUGACAGGAACCCGUGUACCGGUACGGCGCACUGUGGACCGCAGGUGCAGCCUGCUACCGAAUUAGAGAGUUGGAGGGCCUAACUGCAAUUGUAGCAGCCCAAAUAAGACCCAAACCCUCUCCUCUCUUCACAGCAACAAGGAGAUCUCUCUCUCCCUCAUUUUCUCUCUCUAGAGAGCUCUCCAAGAGGUGGAUUUGGAGGAGUAGCUUGAGGGAUUUGAGGCUUUUGGAAGCUUGGGAGUUCUCCAACAAGAAGAACCUUGGAUAGCAUUGUGGCUAAGGUGAGGUUCCGUGCAAGAGUGGGUCUAGGGUUUGGUUUUAUGCCCUAGAACUCAUGGUUUUGGCUCUUUUGCAUAUGUAGAAACCCUCUAGAGUCUUGAGAACAUAUGAAAACCAUGGUUUCUCAAAGUCCUCUCAUGGUGAACUUCUAGGGUUCAUAUUUGAUGCCCUAGAAAUGGUUCAAAUGGUUUAGAAACGAGAUUAGAGAGCUUCUUGGGUGGUUCUAAGCUUGAUUAUGCUUAGCAACGAGAUCAAUCCUAAGAAAUUUAAUUAUGACUUGGUUAGGGCACCAAAUUUAGGGCUUUUGCCACCGGGUGUUUCUAAGAAAAAUUGGCCUUGUAGAAACCUAAUUGGGGACCUAACGAAUGCGUUGAAACGCUCGGUUCGGCAAUCCGACGAACGUACGCGAAGUUAUUGACGAAACGGUCGGUUUUGGUACAGAUAGCCGCAGCACGUGGAAUAAAGGUCUAAAAAUCAUGAGAUCGGAACUGGAGCACAUUGGAGUCAAGGAAUAAACUCCGGAAAAGACGGAUCGCGGUUCGGAGGUCGUUUGGAAGUCGCGCAAGAGUUCGGGCCAAACCGAGCAACGGUUGCCACGGGAGGCCGAUUGCAAAUGACUACAAGCAAUCGGAGCGCGAGUUAAGGUGGGUUGGUUUACUGAAGCGACUAGGUCGCCUUUAUGCCUAAGAAAUCAAGAAUCCAUGUUGAUGCAUAUAAAUGUAAAUGAAGCAUGUAAAUAAUGCAAGUAGCUAAAUAAUGCAUGUUGAUAGUGUGAUGUAAAUGAGAUAUAGAAUGCACUAUGAGCAAGUUGAAUAAAGCUAGAUAAUUAUGUGAAUGCAUGUAAGCAUAAUGCAUAGAAUGAAAGGCAUAUUGAUGACAUAAGUUAAAAUGAGAUAUAGAAUGCAUGAUGAACAAGUUAUAUAAUGCUACAUAAUUACAUGAAUGCAUGUGAACAUAAUAGAUAGAAUGCAUGUUGACAUUGUGAGACUAAAUGUGCAUGAAAACUAAGUUGAUAACCCUAGAAUGAUUAAAGUAAAUGAUGCUAUGUUAAGGUAUAGAUGAUGAGCAUGAUAUGAAAAUAGUACAUGCAAGUACAUGGUAAGAAUGCUAAGAAAAGGACAACAAGUAUAGGUGGACAUGAAUCAACCUAUAGAUCGAGUGGCAUAAAUCCUAGUGUCAAGAACAUAGGUUAAAUAAGAAUGAUGCCAAACCUAACGUAAGGAACAUAGGUUGUGAUAUAAAGGUGCUUAACCUAGAGUCAAGUGAACUUAGGUUGGAAAGAAUAAUAAUCCUAGUGUAAUAAACCUAGGUUAAGAAUGUGAAAGCAAUAAACCUAAUGGGCUAAUUUAGGUUGAGUAAAGGCUUAGACCUAGAGUGGUCAGUUCCAUAGGGUUAAGACCAACCCUUGGUUAAUGUGAUAUGGAUUCCGGAAUCUCAAAGCUUGCUGAUACACCCAAAGUGGUGUCGGGUGUGUGCGACGAUUUCGCCACCCAGGGGCUAGAGAACCAUUGUCGUGGCGUGUGUGCGAUGAUUUUGCCGCUGGAUGGUUAGCCAGUUUGUGGAUCCUACCGCCUGUUGACUGAACCACUGUCGUGGCGUGUGUGCGACGAUUUCGCCGCCGGGUGGCUAAGUCAUUGAACCUAGGCCGUUGUUGGGUGAGGUGCGAUUCGUUCGCCGCCAGACGGCUAGGACAGGAGUACGGUGAGCUGUUGCCAGCUGAGGUGCAUGUGAGAGUUCCUUCACCUCGAGCUAGACAGUGCGCGGACUAUCCGCGAUUGAUUGACUCAAGACCGAGUCGGGUGGCUUUGUUGACUAAGGUAAAGUGACCUUAGAGUAGAAUGCCAAAGGCUAAGAUAUAGCAUGGUUCAAGAAUGUUAAGAGUAAAGAAUAGCUAAAGAACAAAGAGUGGCUAAAGAAUAAUGAAUAGCUAAAGAAAGGAAUAGCUAAGAGCUAAAAGUAAGCAUCAAAUGGCAAAGAGUAAAGAAUGAUUAAGAACAUAAGUAGUGUUAAAGUAACCUACUUGCAUGAUUCCAGAUAUUGCAUAUUGCAUUUCGUGAGGCAGGACAUGUAUUUCAAUUGAAUAUAUAUAUGUUUUAUAUUGUUGAUCUAACAUGUUGCAGUGCCUCGUUAGACCUGUUGGCUGAGCUUGUUCUCUUGGGUGGCUAAACCCACUGAGGACUAUGGACAAUAGUCUCACCCCCGUGUUGCUGUUUUGGGGGUACAGGUACACACGUGUGCGGCGCGGCGGCGCAAGGCAAGGACGUAGUUCUGCAGAUAGCGUCCUACCCAGAGACUGAGAUAGCAGUACCCGAGUUGGUGGUCUAGCUUGGGAGGUUUAAAGAUAAGAACGAACUUUUGUUUAAGUUGUAAUAAGUAAACGAUGUGCUGAUUAUGAUUGUAUUUGGAGGUUAAUUGUAAAAGAAAAAUUAUGUUGUAAAAUGCAUCUAAGUUGAAUGCUGUAAUAACUUAGUAAUUUAUGUUUUUGAUACUUCCUUAUGCAAUCUAUGGUUGAAUACUGUUCCUGGUUGGAACCUCUCGUAUUGUUUUGAUUGCGACGCCUAGGACGUACAGGGAAAAUUCUGUCCGUUCGGCGGUCUGUCGGCGGCGCCGCGACCUGGCCAAAUUGGCGGGUGGUCGCGGGUCGUGACACUAUGCUCCCAUCUAGCAUGUAGGUUAACAUGUCAUAUGCAAAUAACAUCUAGCAUAUAUUUCAACAUACCAAUUUGCCAUUAUCAACUAGCAUGCAUUUCUAAUGCAUCAACAUGCAACUAUCAACUAGUAUACAUAAUAUUUAUAUGCAAUUAUCAACAAGCAAGUAUUCCCAUGAUGCUAGCAUGCCUAUGUUUUCAUUUAGCAAUUAGGUUCACAUGCAUAAUUCCCUAAACCUAUCAAUUCGGUUCACAUGCAUAAUUCCCUAGACCUAUCAAUUAGGUUUACAUGCAUUAUCUUCACCUAGCACACUACAAUGCCAACAUGUACCUAGCAUAUAUUUCACAAGAGGUUGUCAUGCAUUUCACUUUGCUUGUCUAUAUCAUGUCACAAUGUACUCCUCUAGCUUGUAUUCUCACACAUCAACAUGCAAGUAUCACCUAGCAUAUAAUCUCAUCAUGCAUAUUCUAUCUAUAUGCUUUAACACAUUCAUGAUGCCAUCAUGCACAUAUUCUAAUCAUGCUAACAUGCAUAUAUAUCAUCCAAGGUGGCUAUUACAUAAUAUCUCAUGCUUUCACCAAUGCAAUCAACUACCACUAAUAUAUAUGCAUCAACGAGAAAGCACAUUUCUCUUUGACAUGUAGGCGACCUAGUCGCUUCGGUAAGCACAACCCACCUCGAUUCGCGUUCCGAUUGCUUCGGUAAUCUAGAAAGCUAUCAUUGUUGAGCAUCAAAAGCUCACCUCUAAGCUUGUUCCAAUGGCCCAAAGAGGAAGAAGAAGUAGAGCUCUUUCUUCAAGCCUUCUCCUCCACCUUCUCCUUCCUUGCUCCACUUUUUAGAGAGAGAGAGGGAGAGUUAGAGAGAGAGUGUUACGAUAUAUUUUAUCUAUAUUAGGAUGUUACGAUAUAUUUUAUCUAUAUUAGGAUAUUGUGUAUUAUUGCCUUAUAUAGAGUAGUAUCAUUGCCUUCUAUAGAGUAGGACUAUAUAAUAUGUAAUCCUAGUUAUACUCUUACUAUAGUAGUCAUUGUUACUAUAGUAAGACAAUCUCUUGUACUAUAUAUAUUCGUUAAUACAACUCAAGAGGGCAUGCACUUUAGCCCUUCUUUCAUGGUAUCAGAGCGGGAACCCUAACGUUGGGAUAUCGAUUCAUAGCCACCAUCUACCAUAAAUCUCACCUUUUUUCUAUAGGUGUCUUUUCUUUUGGUUUUCUGUCUUCCCAGUACUGCUACAGUACUAUCGCUAUAGUACUGCUAUAGUAUUAUUGCUACAGUACCAACGCUACAGCACCGGCGCUACAGUGCCUCUGCUACAAUAUUUUCAGCCUUUCUGUGAUUCCUCUUUGCUGCUCGGACUGUCCUACUGUUGGUUGCUCGUAUCGCUCGGUUCUUUCCUUGGUGCGGUCGAUCUUAUUUGGUGAUAAGUGGUUCCUCUCAUGUGGUAGAAUUCAGUUUUUAUUUUUAUUUUUUUAUUUACAUCCUGUUACGAUAUAUUUUAUCUAUAUUAGGAUAUUGUGUAUUAUUGCUUUAUAUAGAGUAGUAUCAUUGCCUUCUAUAGAGUAGGAUUAUGUAGUAUGUAAUUCUAGUUAUACUCUUACUAUAGUAGUCAUCGUUACUAUAGUAAGACAAUCUCUUGUACUAUAUAUAUUCGUUAAUACAACUCAAGAGGGCAUGCACUUUAGCCCUUCUUUCAUGGUAUCAGAGUAGGAACCCUAAUGUUGGGAUAUCGAUUCACAGCCACCAUCUACCAUAAAUCUCAUUUUUUUCUAUAUGUGUCUUUUCUUUUGGUUUUCUAUCUUCCCAGUACUGCUACAAUAUCAUUGCUACAGUACCAACGCUACAGUACCGACGCUACAGUACCGGCGCUACAGUGCCUCUGCUACAGCAUUUCUGCUACAAUAUUUUCAGCCUUUCUGUGAUUCCUCUUUGCUCCUCUGGUGCCGCUCGGACUGUAGCGCCUCUGCUACAGCAUUUCUGCUACAAUAUUUUCAGCCUUUCUGUGAUUCCUCUUUGCUCCUCUGGUGCCGCUCGGACUGUCCUACUGUUGGUUGCUCGUAUCGCUCGAUUCUUUCUUUGGUGCGGUCGAUCUUAUUUGGUGAUAAGUGGUUCCUCUCAUGUGGUAGAAUUUAGGUUCUUUUCUUUUAUUUACAUCCGCUACAUUCUGAUUUAUCUGUCUUUCUUAUCUAGUGGUGGAUCCUUAUCUUAAGGUAGUAAAUAUGUCUUCUUUUACCUCAAAUUUGCCAAUUGUUAAUAUCAAAACUCUCAUACCACUAGAACUCACCGAUUCCACAUAUCUUGUGUGGAAACAAGUCUUUUUUAAUGUUCUAGAAAGUUUCGGUGUUACAAAACAUGUGAACGGAACUAGUGUUGUGCCUUCUCAGACUAUCAAUACUGCUGAUAAGAAGGAGGUUAUAAAUCCUGAAUAUGUGAGUUGGAAAAAGAACGAUACUACUAUACUUCCAUGGAUUAAUGCCACUUUAUCUCUUAGCAUAUUACAUAUGGUUGUUUCUAGCUCACCUAAAACUGCAUAUGAUGCUUGGAGAAUUAUUGAGACAUUUUCUUUAUAAGACUGCUUCCACGGCUUUUUCUCUAAAGUCUGAAUUGCGGAGCAUCAAGAAAGGCUCAAUGAGCAUGAGUGAUUACAUGCAAAAGAUCAAGACGAUUGGUAAUGCUCUUCAGGCGAUUGGUGAAAUCGAGUCAGACCAUAAUUUGGUCAUGACUGUUCUUCUAGGGCUACCAGAGGAAUAUCGAGGUUUUGUUAGUGCUCUAAACACACACAGAAAUAAGCCAACUUUUGAACAACUUCGUCUUCUCUUGAUGCAAGAAGAAACAGAAGUUUAGCGUCGCACUAGUGUGACUACGUCCUCUGCUAUUCCCACUAUUGACGGUGAAGCUCUUUAUGCCAAUCGUGGACGUGGUAAUCGUGGAGGCCGUGGAGGUAGAUAUCGUGGAGGCCGAGGACAACGUGGUAGACACUAUUCUGGUCGUGGAUCUCCUGGAAUCUACCCACAGUCUCAACCCAAUUAUCCUCAACAAUCUUACACUCCAAAUCAACAACCAUACAUUCCGAAGUCCGGCAUACAAUGUCAGAUAUGUGGAAAGUUCAAUCAUUCUGCUCUUCAGUGCAGACAACGCUUCAAUCAUUCUUUCGCUGCUGAUGAAGUUCCUCAGACCUUUGCUGCUAUGAACCUUCACGAACCCGGUGAGGAAGUUUGGUAUCUGGAUACCGGAGCAUCAAAUCAUAUAACCGCAAACUCUGGUACGCUAGAAGGUUUCCCUUCCGGGAUUUCCUGGGGGGAAAGAAAGGACUUCUUUGUACAGACUCCUUAAUCCAGAGAGUGCAGUGCUUGAAAGAUAUAUAUUUACAGGAAAAGAAGGAAAAUAAAGGCCAUUAGAAAUAUUUGUGGAGUUUGUCUCUAUCGCUUGCUUCUUCUGAGGAAUGGGGAUCCUUUUUUAUAGGCAAAAGAGGAGGCGGAUUGGGUGAAAAAAACCACGGCGGCACCUGGUUUUUUCAAAACUACGGUUGCCCAUGGUUUUUCCACAGUGAAACCAUCAUGGCGAGGGGCCCAUGGUUUUAUUCAAAACCGGAAGCAGAGGAGGUUUUGGCGUAAUCAUUCGGUGGGGCCCUUGAACACUUCUGUAAGGAAGUGAAUUCUCGAAACUCGAGGAUUAGACUUCGGCCAGAAUCGACUAGUUGUCGAGUGCGUAGGNCCAACUGUGCCGACGUCUGCUUAGUAAUGUUCGGUAAUAAGCUGUUCAGGUCUCAAGUCCAGAUGGAGUAAUAUGGAUACUCCCUCCUGAAGAAGCGAUGUUUGUUGCCCACCAAAAUCCAGGACUUAGAUUUACCGCUUCCCUCUAAGACGUAAUAGAAGUACUAAGCGGUCUUCGUCCGGUAAGCCCCAAAGCAUUCUGUAUAUUCUCUCGAGAGUUCUGGAAGAUGACCUUCCCCUACUUCUUUCUGUAUUUCUUAGUACAACGCAGAACGCUAUAGACGGUUUCUUUGUUCUUGCUUUGUUAAGGGUGAGGACCCGAAGAGGUUGGAGAUAGCUAAGGACUCGCAUAAACCCGACUGUAAAGCUACCUGAAGUAACUACCCAAUGGAUGAAGUAGCCCCUCCUCAUGAUAUAACCAACAUCAACUGGCCGAGAGGUUCAUACGAGUAAAAUAAGGCCACCGAGUAGGUAUGUGACGCAGGGUUUAUCGUGUGAAUAAACAGCUCGUACAAAAAUUUAAAGUACCAUACGGUUGAAGUUAACAUUCACUAGCACUAGGCUAUAAGUGAUCACGAAAAACCUUCCUUAACAAAGCAGAAGUUCCUUGAUUUAAUACGUACUCAAGUCGGAUAGUGGGAGUUAGCCUACCAGUUUGUCUCCAUCAGUUGGCUACAAACCUCUGCAUAGAGGCUACGAAGAGUCCCGUUGCUGGAUUUCUAACCUGGUUUACCGAAGGAACCCGCCUUACCACCAUGUUAUGAUGGAAGGUAAGAAGAUGAGUCUAUUGAGGUAUACUCCGCCAAAUACCAGUCGCUGGGGGAUGAGAUGAGAGCAUAUAAUGGCCCUGAUGAUUACAAGUAGUACAGCUUCACCUUAAUGUUCUAGCCCUAUCUUAGAACGCGGAAAACUUCCUUUUAGAGCUUAGGCGGGUUCAAGCUUACUUCGUUGUUCGACUGUUUGUAGCGUGUCUCGCCCACAAACUUUAACCACUAUACCACAUAGAAUCCGAAGUUGGCAUAGCUGUUCGAAGCCACUGAUAAGCACGGUUAGCGUUCGAAAGAGGUUCUAAAAUACCAGGUAUAUUUUAAAAUCUCUCUUAACCCAGACAGCGGAUGUUUAACCUCAAUGGCGUGCCUAGUUUUUAAGUAGGUCAAAAAGUACAGAGUACGAAUUUCUUCUUCUAUCCGAGGCUGCUGUAUCACCGUAGGGUUAAUGGUCUGUAGAGUCUACCUCACGAUUUCUAACUUGGAUAACGAUAAGAGCUAGCGGCUUACCUCUUUGUAUUCUUAGCACGACAAUGGUUCCAUGAACAGGUCACCCGAGUAGAUGGUGAGCUUCUGCGGUGCACCCUUUGAACCGUGUUUUAAGUCCUCGCUAAAGGCCUAAAGGUUGGAACUCCCGUUCCAACAAAACCUCCUGCCUCCUCUACUACGCUGGGGUUGAAAAGUAAAAUUAUUAAAAGAGAAAUUUAUUUGUUCAAGUUUAAAUUUAUAGACAAUAAAUCCUUAUAUUAAUCCCUAUCAGUUAAUAGAACAAUCCUUAACCAAUCUUCAUCAACUCGAAAUAUAUUACAUUGGUCCCGCAAUGUUCUUUGAUAGUUCAUUUUAAUAGGGAAAAGGGAGUAUAGAACAGGGAUGGAGAGUUAAAGAAUUAAGAGACCUCCGAGCUAGGGGAGCUUCACUAGCUAGGCUAUGCCAUCUUGGCAUAGUGCUCGAGCGGCUGCUCUCUAGCAGUUCCUCCUCUCUCUCUCCCACCCUCGCCUAAUCCCUUUACCCAAAAACUCCCCCAAACUCAUCGACUCUCCUUCACCUCCUCAGUCCCCUCUCCGGUCCACUCGACUCCCUCACUCCUAAAAAAAUUAAAAGAUUUAUAAAUUUAAUAAUUAAAAUUUUAAUUUAAUUUUAUAAUUAAAUUAAAUUAAAUUAAAUUUUUAAUUUAAUUUAAAUUAAUUAAACACCGUUGAAAAAAAUAACGGUAAUAUCUAUUGGUCGCUAAAUAAAAUAGUGGUGGUAUUUAUUGAUUUAUCACCACUGUUUCAUUAGUAAAUCACCAUUUCAGUCAUAGCGGUAAAAUUCAAUUAAUUAGCCAUCUUUAAAAAAAAUAGCGGUAGUAUCUAUUCUUUUAUCACCGCACCGUUGUUUUAUCAGUAAAUCACCAUUUUAAUCCUAGCGGUGAAAUUUAAUUAAUUAGUCACCGUUGAAAAAAAUAGCGGUGAUAUCCAUUGAUAUAUCACCGCUAUUUAAAACAAUGGUAGAAUAGAAACGGUGGUUAUGAUGGAAAAGAACAUCACGACCUUAGCCUUAGCCUUACUCGCUUAGGGAAACAUCCACAUAAAAAAAAUUGAAAAAAUUAAUUUUAUACUCAAAUUUAAAUUUUUAAUUUAAAAAUAAAAAUUUUAAAUUAAAUUUGAACUUAAUUUUUAAUUUUAAAUUAGUUCAUAAAGCUUAGAUUGAAUACUUAAACUUAAAUUUAAUUUAAAAUUAUAUAUAUUUCAAAAUAAGUUUAAAAUAAAUUUUGAAUUUAAUUUAAAUACCUAAGUUUAAUUUUAAAUUUAACAUUAAAAGUCAAACUUAAACUUUACAUAAAAAUAUAAAACUUAAUAGGUGAGUUGAAGUUUCAAAUAUAAAAAUUUUUUUAUCUAAAUUUUAAAAUUGUAAUAAAGUUUUAAAAUUACAUUUAAAAAUUAUAAAUUAAAAAUUAAACUUAAAUUUAAUUAUAUAAUAUUUCUAUUUCAAUCAUAUAAUUAGACUAAUGCAAAAAAUAUAAUGAACUUGGUUUGUGGCUGUUACUCUUACUAAAUAAGGCUAAGGCUAAGUCCACUACUUGGUUUGUCUUAAUCCGUUACUCAGUAAGGCUAAGGUUAAGGUCGAAUAAAGCUAAGGCUAAGACUAAGACUAAGGGCUGAAGCUUAGUUUGUGCGGGAUUCAGAGAAUAUAUAGGUUAGUGUAAAGGAAAGCAUAAACUACAACCUAAUAACUUCAGACUGUUAUUCAAGUCGUCGGCCGAUAACCUCAGUGUUUGGGAGGUACUGAUGUUUUGACAGCGUUGAAAUUAAAAGAGAAUCGGUUUUUAGAAAUCACACAGUAUCUUAUUUUUCAUCAAUCUUAAUUCUACGAAAAUUAUAUAUAUAUGAAUAAUUUUCUACGUAAUUUUCUACGAAAAAGAAGUCUACUAUGAGUAAAAUCUCUGAAGAAAACGGAUGAUCUACUCUUCUAAACCUAAUGUGUACAAUUUAGCUUAGGUUAUUUUAAAAUGCACGUCUUUGGUUAAUCUUGACAUUACCUUUUCAAUGUCGAAUAAACACCAAUUCAGGUUGUAAUAGAUUUUAAUAUCAACAAUCUAUAUUUUUAUAAAUUUGUUGGUAAGAUAGAGUUUGUUGGCAACAUUAAUAUUUUCAAUUCGACUAUCUCUUGCCACAAAUUGAUAAAAAUAUACAUUGUGAGAGUGAGUGCAGACCCAAGCUCUAUAAAGUGUCCGGGUAAUGUAUCUAAACUUAAUUUACCCUCCUACACACUGAGUUUGACUCCUGCAGACUAUGAUAGACUUUACUGGCAAUAUGAGAUUUUAAAAUCGGCUAUUUCUGCUAUAAAUUUAUAAAAAUAUAAAUUGUUAUCAAACCAAGGUGUUGGUGUUAAGUUAGAUAAAUUUCAACAUGGAUAGUUAAAUUUUUUUUUUAAUUUAAACCAAAUGACCACAACCUACAGCUAGUAGGGCUGGGAACUGGGUCAGUUUCUAGAAAGAGCCCUUCGCGCAGCCCCAACUUUGCCGAGGCUUUCUACUGGGAGCUUCACACGCGGGAAAAUGACUUGUUGGCUAAGCCGACUACUCCCUAGGUUAGUCGGCCCAGACUUUCGAGAUAAGAGAGAAGCCAAGACGGCCUACUCAGCUUACAUGCUCCCUUCGGCCCUUGAGCUGGUCCUCUACUCGGCUUGCCGAUUUUGUCGUGUUCUAGACCGGCCGGACUUCUCGGCUUUUACUGAAAGAUAACUUACUUGGUUAUCUUUCAUGUCUUUCUCCCCAAAAUUAGAUGUUGCCUCACUACCGGUACCUCGUCUGUCUGAGGUUCUAAGAUUCAAUGGUUCGAUGACGAUCUUUUUCGCCAUUUACGUCCUUUCUUUCUACGCCAUUUUAUUCUCACCAGAAAACAAGCGUCCCCCUUUUCUGGGAAAAAAUCCCAUAACACUUGAAUAAAUAUCUCAGCGGGGACUCAACCAAUAUCGGGAACGUACUAGUCGGUAAUAGAGGAUAAUAAAACCUGGUGGAAGUCAGCUAGUCUUGGCAGACAUUGACGAACGCCAACGAUAUUGAGGGAGCUAAAACCAUGCCAAGCACAAGGAAGACCACGGGGAUUACAUGAGAGCCACGUGGCGACUUUGGCGACAUGACCAUACCUGGGCCACACGGUCGACAAACGCGGCUUAACCGAGUUGUUAACGGGGGAGCCUUCGAAAGCUUCACUGUGAAGCCAUCGACCGCAAAAGGUUCCGCGCAAAGUGGAAAACCGUACCAAAAUAAACUUAGCGAGCCAAGUUUUAGGGCGGUGACGAAGUUUUUCCCGCACUAGACUCCGUAUGAAAAGUUAGGUUAGUUAAAGUUUAGAAGACGCGAUCACGGACUGCAUUACGUUCUGGGUCACUGAGCUAAAACCAGCAAGUAAAAAAAAAAGGAAAUGCCGGGACUAAGUAAGAGCUAAAAACAGAAUAUACACCGUAAUUAAUACAGGAGAAUUAACGGCGGCAGAUAAGUAGUAGUAUCGGCUGGAGCCUUGAGCGAAGCUACGCUACCAAGCUGUGCUGCCGAAAAGAAGAAGGGGUUCGAAGUGUAAGAAAAACAGAAAAGAUGGAAAAGCAAAGAAGGAGAAGAAAAGACUGCUUUAGAAAAGUAAAGAGGAAGCAGAAGAAGCAGCUUUGGAAAAGUAGAGAAGAAACGGAAAAGGCUGUCAGAAGGAAAGCAGAAGGAAAUGAAAGACAAAGACACAAAAAAAAAAGAACAAAGCUCACUACCGCGGUGAAGGCGGCAAUGGAUGAGCGGGAAGUAACCUAAUGUGGAACGAGUUUGGCAUAGAAGGGAAUCUGGGAUGGUCUAACUAGAACCCUGGAAGAAAAUGGGUUCUAGGUUGAGGACUCCUAAAAGGAAAGAGGUCACUGCCAGAAGGUAAUUACCGACUGAGAUAAGUAGAAGUAAGGACCAUGAGGAGUCGGAGCUGUCCUUCCUCAGAAUCCUGAACCGGCUCGUGGAGUCUACGUAUAGAUAGAACCAAUCUAGCUCAGUUUAGACGAAAUACCGCUAAAAACCUUUCUCUAACCCUAAAUACUUCGAUAGGUCGAUAGCGCCUUUGGGGGAUAUCGACUAUUGAAAAACAAUCGAAGUCGAGAGACAAAAACCAGGGGACAGAGGUUGUAAAAAGAAAAGUCUCCUCCGGGUGAAUGGGGUUGAGAAAAAAUACAUCGGCGGUAACAACCAAAUGCGGGAGUACCGCAAUGGGAGAGGUACCGGAUAUUAGGACUACCACAUAGACUAAAACUCCGGGUAGAGCUAGAGUUACUAAACUGAAUGAGAUUCAAAGAAGCAUUCCAACGUCCACUUAGGGGACGAGGCCAGUGGUCAUUCCUUGUAUGCCGCAAGGAGGACAUGACCGAUACAGUAUUAGAAAAGACGUGAGCAAGCAUCUUUUAGUUAGCUCUAAAACAAGGUUAGCGAUAACCAAAUAGAUUGCCGCUAUUUAACCGGAACCCCAGGAUAAAGGAACGAAAACAAAUGUCCUUUUAAAAACUAAGGUAAUUCGUCAAUGAGAGACCUCUAUCACAUUGGUAAUCGAGUCCAACGCCGUAAAAAACCAAAAACGUUUAUAAAAACGUUUAAAUAAAAGCAUUCAACACGGCUCUUGGAAAUCUAUACCUAAGCCGACGGGUAAAACUGAGGAUACCCGAACGAGAGUUGACGGGAGGCAGCAACUGUAGACCUGUAGGAGAACUAAAAGGGUGAAUAAAAAAGCAAAAAAUACUAAGCUCAGGAGUGGAAGAGUAAAUAACCAGAGGAAACCGACUGGUUCAGUGACCGGAGAGAACCAAAAAUCGGUCCAUACUUAGAGAAGUUCCACUCGAGCGAAGAAGAGCACGGCCGCUCGUAGAACUACAAACCAUAAGAAAAAACCGGGGAGCCCUAAACGUAUAACUGAACUUUUGCGUGAGCUUCAACAACGGGUCGUGGCUCCAAAUGAGAGGUGUCAAACACCGCGCGGUUAAACCUAAAUGUGUCCGUUAGGGACGAGGUCGGUUUGAGAAGUACCGAUUAUGACAGCAAAUAGCGAGCGGAUGGUUCUCAUAUCGGCUGCGGCUAGCCUAAAGUCGGUACCCUUUAGUAGAAGCCGCUAAAAAGUUUAACUGAUCGAAGUUCGGCUUAAUAUGGCCUCAUAAUCCGAAGGUGAUAUGGCAAUUAACCCUAUAGAAAGAGUUCUUGUGGAAAGGAGGGUAAUAAAGCGUACGUGUGGCGUUCUGAGCAGUGGGUGAGCCAUACGAUAGAGUAAAUUCCAACUAAAGUUAGUUUUUUUCUCUUUUCUAUAGUCAAACUACUUUAUAAGUAAGGUGCUUGGGCUAUUUCUAUCAGUAUAUCAUGAGGAACGGACAUUCGUCGGCCACGACACUCUCAGUACGACUCCGCGCCACGGAAACCAGCUUAGGGACAACGGAGGAACUUUCUCUCUACAGGACUUGGUGAUCUGCUAUCCCCGUAUAACAGUGCAGGGCGAUAGCGGUUAAACCAGCUAGGCCCGGGCGCGUGUCUGCGGCUUGCUUGUCGUGGAGGAGACAAGCGGGUUCCGAGUUGUUGUUGCUCAUGUACAUAUUUCUUUAUUUAUUAAGGGUCCUAGUGUAAAGUCAUAUGUACCGAACGUGCUUCCGUUCGUUGUUGUGUUCACUAUCAUUUGAUUGACAUGUUACUUUAAGUGACAUUAAAUUUUGAAAUGUAUUGACUUGAACAUUGACUUUGUAAAUCAAUAUAUGUACGAAAGACAUGUAAGUAAAUGCACAGAGACAUGUAGUUUUACCUACUAUGUACUUAAUUUGUUCCACCCAUGUUGGAGUAGGAUAGGAGAUCGCAAUUAACUCUGCCUCGUCCUGACGUGAUAAUGCAUCAGCAACAGAAUUAUCAACUCCCUUUUUAUAACGAAUUUCAUAAUCAUACCCGAGCAGUUUAGCGGUCCACUUCUGCUGCAUCUCUGAAGAAACCCUUUGCUCCAUCAAAUAUUUAAGACUACGAUGGUCGGUAUAGAUAAUGAAAUGCCGUCCUAACAAGUAUUGGCGCCACUUGUUGAUCGCGUGCAAUAUCGCCAUCAUUUCCUUUUCGUACGUCGGGAGAGCACGAUGUUUUUCAGAAAGAGCCUUGCUAGUGAAGGCUAUUGGUCGACCUUCUUGCAUUAGAACACCACCAAUCCCAAUACCAGAAGCAUCACACUCGAGUAUAAAUGUUGUAGAAAAAUUCGGUAGUGCCAAGACUGGGGCCGAGACCAUGGCUUCUUUAAGGGCAUUAAAGGCCAAUGAUGCCUCGUCAUUCCAAUGGAAAGAGUCCUUCUUUAAUAAAUUCAUUAAAGGUGCACUAAUCUUGCCGUAAUCCUUAACGAAUUUUCGGUAGUAUCCGGUAAGGCCUAGAAACCCCCGGAGUGCUUUAAUGCCUUUUGGUGUAGGCCACUCAGUUAUGCAAGCUAUUUUUUGAGGAUCGGUCGCAACUCCUUCGCGCGAUAUUAUAUGCCCCAGAAACUCCACCUGCUGCUGGCCAAAAGAACACUUCGAACGUUUUAUAAAAAAUUGAUUAUCCCGAAGAGUUCGAAAAAUUACCUCGAGGUGAGAUAGAUGAUCUUCCCAGGACGAACUAUAAAUUAAUAUAUCAUCGAAGAACACCAAAACGAAACGCCGUAAAAAAGGCCUGAAUACAUCAUUCAUAAGACUCUGAAAAGUAGACGGAGCAUUUGUUAGCCCAAACGGCAUAACGAGAAAUUCGUAAUGCCCCUCGUGCGUUCUGAAGGCCGUUUUAGAAAUGUCAUCUUCAUGCAUUCGAACCUGGUGAUAACCAGAUCGAAGAUCAAGUUUAGAAAAAUAAGCCGCACCAUGUAGCUCAUCCAACAAUUCAUCAAUAGUCGGAAUGGGAAAUUUGUCCUUGAUAGUAAUAUUGUUGAGUGCUCGAUAAUCAAUACACAUCCUCCAUGAACCGUCUCGCUUUCGCACUAGCAGAACAGGGGAUGAAUAAGGGCUGUUGCUUGGUCGGAUAAUGCCAUUCGCGAGCAUUUCCCUAGAUUGCCGCUCGAUCUCUCCUUUCUGAUAAUGAGGGUAACGAUAGGGUCGAAUGUUUGGGGGUUGACUACCCGAAAUGAGAGGAAUCCGAUGAUCAUGGGAGCGCCUUGGUGGUAAAGUGGAAGGAAAUCCGAAAAUACCAUCGUAGGCCCUUAAGAGGUCUAUCAGAUCCGAAGGUAAGGAAUCCUCUACCGCUUUCUCCUCUGUCGAGUAUAGAGUCAUGUAUACAGCAGUCUUACUUUUCGUCAGCAGUUUCUCGAUCAUAUAGCCUGCUUACGAUCUGUGAUGCUGGUGCUCUUGAUCCCUUGAUUGAAUACUGCUGUCCAUCGAUUGUAAACUGCGUAGAAAGCUUUGAAAAAUCCCAAAGAAUAGGUCCAAGAGUAUGAAGCCAUUGGGCUCCAAGUACCACAUCGCACCCGCCGAGAGGAAAAACAUAGAAAUCUGUUGUAAAAUAAUAAUCUUGAAGAGUAAUAGGUAGGCUGGAACAUUUACCUCCGAUUGCGACUUUCUCGCCGUUGGCAACCAUCACCUCAAAAUGCUUUUCUUCGGCAAUUUGAUAAUGCAUUCUCUUGGCUAGAUCGCAAUCUAUGAAAUUGUGGGUGCUUCCUGAGUCGAUGAGAAUAGUAACUGGUUGUCGCUUAAGAAGACCCUUCAAACGCAUUGUUUGGGCAGACAACGACCCGGAUAUAGCAUGCAUAGAAAUUUCCGCCGGCAAUUCUUCGAUAUUAAUAUCCUCGGGAGUGUCCUCCAUAUUAUCUUCGUCAGGCUCGCCUUCGAUCAAAAACAAUUGUUUUGUUUUGCAUCGAUGACCAGGGCUAUACUUCUCGUCACAAUUAUAACAUAGUCCCUUCUCUCUUCUUAUUUUUGCUUCGGCCGGCGUGAGACGCUUAAUUGGUGGGAGACAUGAGCAAAACCAGGUUGAUACAUGCUCCUAAUAUACCCUCUUAAUCGUUUUGAUGUUGUUCCAAGCUGCGUUUCACAAGCACUAAUAGUCCGGGCUAAACUUUACGAACGUUUGGCGUGCUGCCCCGAUAGGCUCCGUAAAAAGUAUUCGACAAAAUAAUCGCCGAACGCCCUCCUGGAGUUCGUACUACAGGCUCGUAAGGCUGGUUGUAGAUACAGACGGCGAUAACCAGAACGUGCGGAAGUUCUCCUCUUCGAGAAUCGGGUUGCUGCAGUCCACUCUGGAUGGGGAUGAUCCGGUUCAUUAAGAUGCUGGUGUUUGGGCUUUCUUCGNUUUAAAAAAUUGUUCUGCUUGGUACACCCAUCCAGCUGGAUCCUCGCCAUCAAACCGAGGAAACUCCAGUCGUGUGACACGAGGUAUCACCAUCAUAGAGUUCUCCAUAGAAGGAACCAAUGUCCUUUCCUUGAAAGGAGUAGGAAGAAGGGGGCGAUUUUUAUCGGAACUGGAGGCGGAUGUAUCUACGGACGGUGCUUGCGGUUGCACAUCCAUUUUUGUGUUCAUAGCGAUAAUUAAAUUUUUAAUAUCGUUAAUGGAAUCGCUAAUGGAUUUUACCUCGGUCUCCAGUUUGUUUAAUCGAAUAUCAACGUUAUUCAUUUCCUCCCUUCUUACGAACUCUCCGUCCAUCUUUCGUAAUAAUUCCCGUUGUGCUCGAGUCAGGACCAUACAAGCUCUGAUACCAAAUGAUACGGUUCUACCGUAUCGGAUCGAUCACUUCGAGGGGAUCGAGCCUCCAGAGAAUUAAGAAGUUGAGAGGUAGGGACAAGAUAUGAGGAAAAAGAGAUAAUAUUACUUGAUAGUUUCUUGUAACGCCCCGGUUACAUUAUAUAGAGUUCAACUACUUCUAAUCAUUUCCUAACAAGAUAAUUGACUAUCCCUAAUUAUAUUCCUAAAUAACAGAUAUUUAAAUUUGAACUUGUUUAUUUAAAGAGAAAAUUAUUAAAAUGAAAAGUUGGGGUCGCAUCAGAUCCCGAACCUUAAUUUGAUUUUUGACUAAGUACCUGGCCUUUUAGUUUUUGCAAUGUGUCUCCAAUAUUUUAUUAUUUGUUUCAAUUAAAUGUCAGCCAUAAAAAACCCUAUCAAUUUGGAUAGAAUUUACAUGCCAAGUUUGGUGGUGGUGUUGAUGCGGUAAGCACUGCUUGGUAAUUAAUAUGACAAUUGUUUGUUGAAGUUACAAGAUUUUUUUAUUGCAAGGGCUUUAACUAAAUAGUGAAGGACUUGAUUGCAAAAUUAAAAGUUGGGGAGGUGGAAGUGAAAAAUUGGGCGUGGACCAAUUUAAUCAUUUUCAUAUGUUCCAAGUUGGAAAGACUUUAAUUUUUUUAGUAGACCUGGAAAAAUCGAAAACAUUUCUUUCUGCUUAAGCUUGAGCAAUUUUUGGGCGAAGCAGGUAAAUGCAUUUCAGCUGUCUUGUAAGAAAUUGUUGACUUAGAAAAAUCUCUGCCGAAAAUAAUUUGUGUGCGCUCAGGUAGCAUUAGGCUUGGGAAAUAAACCUUUUUUGGUUUCUCUGAAUUAUCGUAAGAAAUUGUUGACGUAGAAAAUUCCCUGCCAAUUAUUAUUAUUUUUUAUUUUUUAUUUUUUAUUUAUCAUUUUUUUAGGUAGCAUGUGGCUCGAGAACAAAAGUUUGAUGGAUAGCUUUCGAGUGUGGCUUUGAACAAGGGAUAUAUCAGAACUAGCUGGAACAAGUACAAAAAUUUGUAUUUGGCAUUAUUGUCUGAUAUAUAUAUAUAUAUAUAUAUAUAUAUAUAUUCCCUGAGCUAGUUUGGAUGAAGUAAGUCAAGAACAAAGCCUAAUAUUUUUUUAAAAAAAUUUGCCAAAAGUGCCUUUCUAUAUCAUAAUUGAAGUUUAGCCCAGUUUCGAAAUAUUAAAUUGGGACCUUUCUCGUCUUAAGUUUGUUGCCAAGCACAAGUACGGCAGUACAUAGUUACACAAUAAAUUUGGUGAAGAGUUAAAAGUAAAUAAAUUAGGAUGUAAUAUAGGACUUAAUUAUGAUAAAGUACAGGACUUCGUUAUGACGAAGUAUAAAAUUUUAAAUUCAUAUGUUUUGGAGUAUAUAAUAUCGUGAAAAUUUUAACUUAGUUCGUCGAGCAUAGUUAAACAUUGAGCUAAUUUCUCAAAUUCAAAAGGCAUGCACAAUUAAUUACGUAGCAGCGAGAGUACAGAUCUAGCGAAAGUUGGUAGCUCUCAUCACAAUAGGGACAAGGAAUAAACUUGUGUCCACUGUUCCAUAAUUGCUUGGUUAUAUUAGUACGGGGUGUGCCGCCUCAUUGUGCUUCAUCCAGAACUCUUCCGUAUUUUCCUCUAUACUCAUUACUAAUAAAGAAAGAUUUUCGGGAAAGCCUCGAAUUUCUCUGAGCCCUGCACUUAUUCUCAUCUCUCAGCCCCCGAUCCCCGAAGCUUUACUAGGUCUCCUCUUUCUCCAUGAAUUCACUCGACCACUCGGCCUUUGUUCCCUUGGAACAGAGUAGAUGUCACCACCACCUCGCAAGAGCAUGAUUGAUGCUUCUCUGUCCAUUUUCUUGUUUUUCGCACAGCAGGAGAUCGAUCGAAAGCACGAGUUCCAAUGGCCCAGCCUUCAAUGCAGGUCAAAAGAAAAGCAUAUGGUCUCGCUAAAUCUGUUGUGCCGUCAUCAUUAUCAUCACCUGGGGGCAGGGGUUCUACUACAUCCAUGUUAAAGUACAGAUUGUUUCCUCGAUGCCGUCUAAUAAAAAGUAUGUCUCACGUAGCAUGCAUGCUAUCACAAUUUGACACUGCAGUUUGUAAAGACUUGGCAUUCCUUGAAGACGAGGCGAAUUUUGAAACGGUUUUAUGAAAUCCCAAAUGCCUUUUUCCUCGGCAUUCCUUUCGGGUUAUUUGGUUUCUAAGAAAAGUGUGGAAAUAAAAAUUUCAAGAAAAAGCUUUUCAUGACAAAUUGUUUUCUUUCCAGUUUUCUGUCCAUUUAUUUUCAAGGAAAACAAACUUUUGUGGAAUUUUUUUUUUCAUGUUUUAUAGAAAACUAGUGAUUUUGCUGAAAAAACUCUAAAAAGGAAAAUGCUAGUUUUCCACAACAUAUGGGAAAAAAGGUUUUCAAAAUACUUGUUUUCCUUCCAAACAAAUGAGCGAAAAAUUGCAAAAGAAGUUUUCCAUGAAAAUUUUUUUUUUUUUUCCCACACUUUUCGAGGAAUCAAACAACCCCUUAAAUAGAUGAGUGGUGAGAAUUAUAGAGAUCUCAGCGACUUUGAUGAGACUCAGCAUUCGUAUUGCCACUGAGUUAGCUCAAAUGGUAAUGCUCGUUCAACCUGAGAUCUUUACGAUGACUUUUGUAAAGAUGAGGAUUAUUAAGUAACUCGACUCCUUUCCAAUGAAAUAAAAUUUCUCACUUUAGAAGUUCGUCAGUACUGUUAGUUAAGAGAGCGAUUGUGGUGUAGUUUUCCAUAAUAAAGUGAUGUUUCAGAAAUAAAAUCGGAUGAGACUGAACCCGAUAUAAUAGAGUUUUUAUUCAAAAAGCGCCAUAUUUUGUAUGUCAACUUACGAUGAUUUUAGAGGUGGAGAAAUUUAUGAGCAAAACAAACCGGUGGUUAAGUUUUGAGUAGGAAUGUGAACUAAAGGGGCUAAAAUAUAAUUUUUACAAAAUAGUCUUACGUACGAAAUUUUGGAAUUUAAUUUGGCAAAUGAAAGGACUUACGUAAAUAUAGGCUUAGAGAGAGACGUGUGGAUUCAAAUUUCACGAAAUUCAAAAAAUUUGUACAAAAUGGCAUAAACGUGAAGAUUGAGAGUCAAAAUUGAUUGGCGGUUUUCUUGCAAAAAUUGUGAUAUUUUAUGUGUGGAAUUGUAAAAUUUUACUGCAAGAAGGGCUUUUGUGCAAAAUGCGAAUUGCUUUGAAGUUAUGGGCGAGAAAGCAACAACGGAUGAUCUAAUAUGCAAAUGUUACAACUGAAAUCCUAAAAAACUAAACCUAACCCUAAGGGUGCGUUUGGUUCGCAUUAUGAAAGAUUACUAGGAAUAUAAGAUAUCCGAGAAUCUUAUUCCUAUUCAUUCUAUUACUAAGAAUGUGGAAUUCCUGUGUUUGGUUCGCACGGUAAUAUUAAUUAGUCAUAUUAUUUAAUAGUAUAAAAAAUAUACAAUUAAUUAAUUUAUUUAUUUAAUUAAUUUUAGAUAAUGUUACCAAAAGUUUCAACAUCUUUUUAGAAAAAAGGGAGAGAGAGUAUAAGUUAGAGAAAGAGAGCAUAAUUAAAAAAAUAGAAAGAAAAAUAUAAUCGAAAUUAGAGGGAGUGAGAGAGUUGAAAUUUUAGAAAAAGAGAGAGAAAAAGCUUAGUUUAGAGAGAGAAAAAAAAGUUAAAUUUUAGAGAGAAAAAUAAGUUUAGAGAGAGAUAUAAGGUUAGAGUGUAAAGAAAAAUAAUAUCAAUUAGCCGACGAGUAAGAAGAAAGAAAGAGAUUAGAUAUAUUAUGAUUAUCCAAAUCUAUUAAUAUGAGGAUACCCACCAUCACUCAAGGGAAUGAGAUUAGUACUUUGGGGUGAAUCUUAUUCCCAAGUGAAUCUAAUAUUACCAACUAAAUUACUUAGUGCGUUUAAUCAAACACCGUCAUAUUUUUUUAUUCCCAUUUGAUUACUAAAAAUCUUUAAAAGAUAGCGCGAACCAAACGCACCCUAAACUUAAUUCCUCUCUCUCUCUCUCUCUCUCUCUCUCUCUCUCUCUCUUCGCCCAAACUGCAGCCGCUUGUCACGGCACAAAGAUUUUCUCCGCGAUUUCGCUUUGCAAUCACCCAAACUCCAAAGCGGACAUCUGACGGAGGUUUUGGCUUGGAAUCUUCUAGAAGCUUCUACGCGGAUCUCGAGACUGAUGGUGCGGAUACCGGAGAGUCAAGAGUCCCUUGGGGUUUCUAGGUAGCCCAUUAAUGUACUUAGAGUUUCUAUGCAUAUUUAUUAUGACUCUUGGGAGACCGUAGCGUACUUAUUGGCCUCCCCUUUUGGCUUGUAGUAUUGUGCCAUUUGGCACCUUUUCAUUGGAUGUAUGGGCGGCGAGUGGCCUAUAAAUAGUGUGGCCUCCACCCCCUCUCAUUUCAGAAUCUCAUAUUGUAUUCUCAAGUUUAAAGCAAUAGAAGAGCUUUCUUCUUAUCUCUCUCUUGUAUUUAGUCUAGGACAAGCGAGGUCCUAACUUAGCAAGUAGAGAGACAGGCUUGCUCACUUCGGGAAGGAAGGCGAGCGCCGCACGGGCUUUUGCGAGCAAAUUCAUUAAGUCCGUGACAGUUGGUAUCGGAGCCGGUUCGAGAAGGAGCCAUGUCGUCAUCAGAGGCCGCUGCUGGCGACGUUGGGGGUGAUGCCUCCAAGCAACCCUCCAAGCGGGGCAGGGGCAAGGGCAAGGACACGCGAAUCACGAAGGAUUCCGUGUCGGUCGAGGACCGCCUUGCACUGUUGGAGGACAUUCUAUCGAAGGUGGGAGAAAGGUACACUGAGAUGACCGAUACCUUUAACGCCUUCAAUGACGAUGUUCGCAGUAUGGAGGAGAGCGUCGCCACUGCCAUGGCGACCUUUCGAGGCAAGCUCGAGAAGUUCCAAGGCAACAUCACCCGUCGUGACGAGGAGCGGAAGAACUUGAUCGAGGAGCUAGUCACUCGAGCCGACGAACUCAAGACGAGGGUGACUAUCCUUGAGAAGGCGAUGGCUCGAGGCGGUGAAACGCAGAAGGAGUACACCCCAAAGGUCCGCGUCCCUGAACCCCAAUGCUUCAAGGGUUCACGCGACGAGAAGGAGAUAGACAACUUCCUUUGGCACAUGGAGCGCUACCUCAAGGCGCUGCGAAUCGAGGACGAGGAGGACAAGGUCCAGACCGCUUCCAUGUACCUCACUGACAAUGCAAUGCUGUGGUGGCGUCGGCGUUCUGCAGAGGCCGAGAAGGGCCAAUGCAAACUGGAUACUUGGGAGGACUUCGUGCCCGAACUGAAGGCACAGUUCUACUCCGAGCACGUCGAAUACUUGGCGCGGAGGCAACUUCGACGGCUCAAGCAUAUAGGAUCCCUCAAGGAGUAUGUCAAGGAGUACUCCAAACUGAUGCUUGCCAUCACCAGCAUGGCCGAGGAGGAUCGGCUGUUCUUCUUCCUCGACGGUCUCCAACCGUGGGCUAACAAGGAGCUCGUGGCGAGAGACGUCCAAGAUGUGAACUCCGCUAUCGCUCAAGCGGAGAAGCUGCUGGAGUAUGACAAGCCGGACUUCGCUCGUGGCAAACCAUCCAAGGCGGGCAAGGCCAAGGGUGGGGGAGACCGUCGCGAGCAGCGUGAUCACAGGGGCCAAGAGCGAAAAGGCCCUCUGCAGAAGAAGAAGAUCUCUUGCUAUGUCUGCGGGGGUGAUCACUGGGCGAGAGAUUGCCCAAAGAAGAAGACCGUCAAUGCCAUCCAAGCCGAGGAGGGCGAGGAACAAGCGGAGAUGAAGAUGGGCGCGCUACGACUCGUCAGCACGAUCCAGGGCAGGCGAGCAGCAAACCGCUCAAGGAGCUGCUGUUUGUGGACGUGACCCUCAACGGGAGGGCCACUCGUGCGCUCAUGGACACGGGAGCGACCCACAACUUCAUCGCCGAGUCUGAGGCCAAACGGCUGGGCCUCACACUUGAGAAGGACACGAGCAAGAUCAAGGCUGUCAACUCGGUGGCACAGCCUCUCGUGGGAGUAGCCAAAGGGGUGACGAUCGCUGUAGGACCUUGGUCGGGUACAGCGAACUUCACCGCCGCCACCAUCGACGACUUCAAAGUCAUUCUCAGCAUCGACUUUCUAGCUUCAUCGAAAGCGGUCCCGAUGCCGCACCUCGGGGCCUUGAGCAUCAUGGAGGAGGCAGCCCCGUGCAUGGUCUUGGCUAGCCGCAGCGAGCCAGCGGCAACCCACACCCUCUUCGCUCUGCAAUUGCGGAAGGGGGUGAAGCGCGGCAAAAUCACUUAUCUUGCGGCCAUCCGCGAGGUGAGCGACGAGGACCUCGAGGAGUCCUGGGGGAGUUCAAGGACGUCAUGCCCCAGGAGUUGCCCAAGAGACUUUCACCAAGGCUGGAGGUGGACCAUGCGAUCGAGCUCGAGACAGGAGCAAAGCCACCAGCAAAGGCACCAUACCGCAUGGCCCUGCCAGAGCUCGAGGAGUUGCAACGUCAACUGAGGGACCUCCUCGAUGCGGGCUUCAUCAGACCGUCGAAGGCACCCUAUGGAGCACCAGUCUUGUUCCAAAGGAAGAGCGACGGAAGCCUGCGGCUCUGUAUUGACUACAGAGCGCUCAACAAAGUGACGGUAAAGAACAAGUACCCUAUUCCCCUUGUUGCUGACUUGUUUGACCAGCUUGGCGGAGCUAAGUUCUUCACCAAAUUGGACCUUCGCUCGGGGUACUACCAAGUCAGGAUCGCGGAGGGCGAUGAGGAGAAAAUGGCUUGCGUGACGAGGUAUGGAGCCUACGAGUUCCUCGUCAUGCCAUUCGGCCUGACGAAUGCGCCAGCGACCUUCUGCACCCUGAUGAACAAGCUAUUCCACCCCUACCUCGACCGCUUCGUGGUAGUGUACCUCGACGACAUCGUCGUGUACAGCAACACUCUGGAGGAGCACGUCGAGCAUCUGCGGACGAUCUUCCAAGUGCUGCGGGAGAACCAGUUCUAUGUCAAAAGGGAGAAGUGCUCCUUUGCGAAGGAGGAGGUGCACUUCCUUGGCCACUGGAUCGGCCGAGGACAACUCCAUAUGGACCAGCAGAAAGUGCGGGCGAUCUGUGAGUGGGAGGCGCUCACGACGGUGUCCGAGUUGCGAUCCUUUCUCGGACUUGUCAACUACUAUCGCCGCUUCAUCGCGGGCUACUCUGCUUGAGCAGCCCCUUUGACGGAUCUGCUGAAGAAGACCCAGUCGUGGGACUGGACCCCUCGAUGCGCGGAGGCAUUCGAGGACCUAAAGCGGGCGGUGACAGAGAAUCCGGUGUUGUGGCUUCCCGACUUCAGCCAUCCAUUCGAGGUACAUACUGACGCCUCGGACUUUGCCAUUGGUGGUGUUCUCGUGCAGGACGGACACCCCAUCGCUUAUGAGAGCCGCAAGCUCAACGACACCGAGCGGAGAUAUACGGUGCAAGAGAAGGAGAUGACCGCCGUAGUGCACUGCCUCAGGACUUGGCGGCACUAUCUCCUUGGAAGCAAGUUCGUGGUGCGGACGGACAAUGUCGCGACGAGCUACUUCCUCACUCAGAAGAAGCUGUCACCCAAGCAGGCAAGGUGGCAGGACUUCCUGGCGGAGUUCGACAUGGAGCUCAUGUACAAACCCGGGAAGGAGAACCAAGUAGCUGACGCACUCAGCCGCAAGGCGGAACUGGCAGCGGUGUGUCAGAUCCAAGGCGCGAUCAGGGAGCGAAUCUGCGAAGGGACUUGCGAGGACUGUUAAGGAUUUUAUAAGUUGGCGAAUUUCGUGAAGGGUUUGGAUGGAGUCUCGAAGAAUUAGAAGAUGAAGAUUGACGAAAAGAAUUGAAGUUUUGUGAUCAAAGACACUUGAGAACUCAGGUAUGAUUAGAAACAAUUUAUGGUGAAGUUUUCAUUAUUAAAAGAUGUUUAGAAAACUUGGUUUUCUUUUCAUUUAUUCAAACUUAAGUUUUCUGAAAAAAUCAGGGGUCGGGGACCGGUCCUUGAUCAGAGGGACCGGACCCAUCAAGCUUCUCUGCGUAGAAGUUUUGGGAGACCGGUCUCUGGUCUUGAGGACCGGUCCCCGUAAGUGGUUUUCCUUGUUGCGCAGGGAAGGACCGNNNNNNNNNNNNNNNNNNNNNNNNNNNNNNNNNNNNNNNNNNNNNNNNNNNNNNNNNNNNNNNNNNNNNNNNNNNNNNNNNNNNNNNNNNNNNNNNNNNNAAUGGUGAAUGAAUGAAUGUAUAGUCGUUUCUAUAUUCAUUUGGUUGUGGUUGUACCUGGGUUACUCCUUGUACUUGUGCGACGCCGUGCAAAUAUAGGGGAGACUCUGUCCGCGUGAACAGUGGAUUUCCUGUAUUUGUGGCGGAUCUGGCAUUCCCUGGCGUUAGGUUUUCAAAAAAAAAAAAAAAAAAAUUUCCGCGGUGUUUUUAACCUAAAGGACCCCGGGGCUUGACAUAAUUCAAAAUUUAAAUUAGUAAAUUUAGAUUUAAAUUUAUGAACAAAAUUCAAAAUUUGAAGUUUAUUUUGAAUUCAUAAUUUGAAAAUAAGUAGUUACUUAAUUUCAAUUUGAAACAAUUUGUUGACAGACCCAACAUUUAAAAUUUAAAAUUAAUUUUAAAAUUUGAAUUAAAAUAUAGAUUCACGCUUGAAACUAUAAAUUAAAUUUAAAAUUUAAAGUCGAGCUAAUAUAUUUUACUUAAAGAAUUCUAUUUUUUAAACCUAAUUUAUUUUUAGUUAUUUAAUUGAAAGAUAUCGGAUAUUGCAAGCAUUUUUUGUGUGUUUGCACGCAAUAGAUAUUCUUUAGAUGGAAAUUCUCUGGAUAAGUAUAAUUCUUUUUCUAUUUUAGCAAACAUAAUGAAAUAUAAAAAAACAGGUUAGUAAAUAAUUAUUUUAAUAGUUAUUUCAAAUUAACAUAAAUUUGCACUUUAAAUUUAUCAAAAAAUUUACAAGAAAACUUUUAAUUUUUAAGAAACUAAAUUAAUUUGUAAUAUUUUAUUUCAAUAUAUCUAUCAUAGUAUAAUUCAAAUUUCAAAUAGUUGCCGCUGAAAAAAAUUAUAUAGUUAUAUAUUUUUUUCUUUUUAUAUAAAUUGAAUAUUUCCUUAUAUUUUUUCUUUCUAAAGAAUCUAAAAUUUAAAUAUAUGUUUUAAAAACUAAAAUUACAAAAUUUUAAUCUCGUUUAUAUUCAAAAUUAAAAUUAAUUUUUUAUCUACUUUAAUUAGUAAUUUUACUGUUAAUUGACAUUUAAUAUCACAAAUUAUAUUUAAUUCAGGAUUUAAACUCAAAUUUUAAUUUUAAUUUAAAAUUUUAUAAUUUUAAAUUUAAAUUAUAUAAUUAAUUUCGACUCUAAAUUUUAGAUGAAAUAAAAAUUAUUAAUCAAAUAAAAUUUUAAUUUAUAUAGAUAUUUAAAUUUAAGUUUAAAUUUGAUUAUUGGUUGUAAUCAAUAAAAGUUUAGAUAACAACUUAAAAUAAUAUUUUAACAAGUUAAUUAAUUAAUUAAAUAGGAAUAUUGUAUAAGAUGAUGGAAAAGCAUGUUAAUUAUUAAUAUAAUAAUAUUUUAACAUGUUAAUAAAUUAAUUAACUAGAAAAAUUUGUAUAGGAUGAUAGAAACGCAUGUUAAAUAGUGAAUUAAUUAUAAAAAAUAAAUUAAAUGUGUUGCCUAAUUAAUUAAUUAUACAUUUAGUAUUGAUUAUUGGUUGUAAUCAAUAAAAGGUAAGAUAACAACUUAAAAUAAUAUUUUAACAAGUUAAUUAAUUAAUUAAAUAGGAAUAUUGUAUAAGAUGAUGGAGAAGCAUGUUAAUUAUUAAUAUAAUAAUAUUUUAGCAUGUUAAUUAAUUAAUUAACUAGAAAUAUUGUAUAAGAUGCUAGAAAAGCAUGUUAAUUAGUAAAUUAAUAAUAAAAAUAAAUUAAAAGCAUUAACUAAUUAAUUAAUUAUACAUUUAGUUGAUAAAUUAAGUAGAUAAGUUAAAGUAUUAAUUAUUUAAUUAAUAUAAAUAUUAGUUAUAAUUUUAAUAAACAUAUCAAAUUAGUUUAUUAUUUAAUUAGCUGAAUGAUUAUAUAUAAUAAAUUAUUUAUUAGUAUUUUAUUAAAUAUAUAUUAAUUUAAUAAGUCUAGUGGUUAACAGAUAUUUAAAAGCUAAUUUGUUAUUAAUUAGCAAUAUUUUAUUAUUAUUAGAAACUAAUUAAUAGAAAAAUUAUUUAAGAACUUAAUUUUUUAAGAAUAUAAUAUAAUACUUAUCAUAGUUUAAUUAAUAAGUCAGUAUUUAAAGGGGAGAAUAGAGGAAAAGAGUAGCUGUUCCAUGAGAAGGCAUGAAUAGUAAUUCUCCUCUCUUAACCGGUUAUUUUAGAAUAACCUUUUAAGAGUGGAAAAACCAUUUUUAUAUCCCAUUUGGUAGAAUAAGGGGAUAUGUUAGAAUUUAUUGGAUUUUUUUGUGAUUUAAAGCUUGUUAGACCAUGGGCAGCCCAAUACUUAAUAAGCCUUAUUUGGGAGCCCAACUAAAGUUUUCAUAUGUGAGGUUUAGUCUCACAUUGAAAACUAAAAAGGUGUUGUUAGUAUUUAUAUAUUCCUUUAUUCUCAAACUAGUUGCUUGAAAGAAAAUGUGAGUUAUACUUUCAUUUAAACGCACACACUGUCACGCCCCGGAUGUCACGUUCCCCGGGCACGCCGACAAAUCCGCCGUAUACAAAGGAAUUUUUCCUGUAUACGAAGCGACAGCUGUACCUGUAAACAUACAAUACUACAAACAGUAGUAUAGAGCUGCACGAAUAAACAAAAGCUAAACAAACGAAACUCCAUAUACAUAGUCCAAUACCAAAAACCCAGAGCUACUCGCACUGGCGAGUUAAGUAUACUAUGUACAUGAACUCAAAACAAAACAUCUACCUGCAGUAAGGGUGCCUCUAGCUCUGCUCGUCGGGUAGGGCUCUAACUCGCAAUGCCUUUGCCCCGAUCCUGAUCCGCGGAAGGUGCAGCAGCCGAAACCUGUGGCUCUGCAAAACAGGGGUAACAACUGGGCGUGAGAACUACUGUAAAAACAAGUAGUCCUCAGUGGGUGCUGUUAAGGAUUUUAUAGGUUGGCGAAUUUCGUAAAGUUGAAUGGAGUCUUGAAGAGUUGAUCGCGGAAGUUUGAAGAAAAGAUCCAAAUUGAAGAACAAAGACUCAUUCGGAAGCUCGGCAUCUCAGGUAUGAAGAAUAGAUGAUUUAUGGUGAAGACGUUUAAUUGUAAUAAGUUCAGAAGGCUUAGAUUGCUUUAAAAAUUCUUUUACUGAACUUUUGUGUGUUCUGGGACCGGUCCCUGUGUUGAAGAGACCGGUUCCCCUAAGGUCCUCACUGCGUGAACACUGAUGCAACCGGUCCCCUGAGAUGAGAGACCGGUUUUCGAACGUUCUGUUUUUUAUCACGCAGCAAGGGACCGGUUCCUCACUUAAGAGACCGGUCUCUCACAGACCGGUCUCCUCGAGAGGACCGGUCUUUGAGGACGACAUAUGUUUUUAAAAAGGACUUUUUGCAAUCCUAGUCUACUUCUAAGUCUUCUAAACAUAUAAAUAAGCUAUGGGGGUCAUCUUAAAAAGUUUAAGGCUUUGAAUUUUCUAGAUUCUAAACCCUAGAAACUUGUUUUUCCGUUCUAAUGCUUCUUUUCACCUAACAAGUUUCGUAAAAUCAACAAUCGACUUGGUUCUUCGUUAUUACUCUAGAUCUUAUCCUAGAAUCAAGUUGAUAUUUGAUUAGAAGAUGAACCCCCAUAGCUUAUGGGAUUCUAAAGCUUAAUCACCACAAAUCUUCGAUUCUAAAAGCUCCGGAAGGAGACUUGGCGCGUGGAGCUCGCGUGUAGCCGAGGAUUCGGUAGACGCUUCGAGGAGUUGAGACGUUGACGCUGCGAGAAGUUGCGGCGAGGUCGAUUGGAGGAUUCCUAUCGAUCGAGGACCGGCGAAGAUCACCAUCAACAAGAAAUCGGUAAAUUGAGUCGUGUAUUUUUGUCAAAAUCACUUGUACUCAAGUUUUCUUAGUGGAUUUUCUUUGCGUGAUCGGUCCCGUGGGUUUUUCACUCCGAAUUGGAGUUUUCCCACGUUAAAUUCUCGGUGUCCUAUUUUAUUUUCUGCUAUUUCGUUUUAUUUGCAUCGAGAUUUUUGAGUUUGCCGUUUUUACACCUAUUCACCCUCCUCUAGGUGUUACUUACCUUUUAGAUUCUCGAGAUCCACAUCUUACAGGUGCCGCCCAAAACACAUCGGUCCACCCACUAAGUCUACAGAAGGGAGCAAUGGUAAAAGUAAAAUGCGGGAAUGAACUCUACAGUUACUAGUCACUACACCAUCCUGCUCUAUGUAACCAACUGUAGGAAAUGUCAAAACUGAUCCAAUCCAAUCGGGACUGUAAACAUACCUGUCCUGGGGACUGUGAAUACACCCGUCCCUGCCCCGUUGGGACUAUCCAGCUACCUCCACACUAACUGGUCCGUGGAGAGCAAGUCCAACCGGCAUGAGCGACCCCAACGCAAAAGCACAAAGCCCAUCUCCGGAGUGGCACUCGUGGGCGCUACCCAACCGAGUAUGCAGCGUAUCUCUGUCGAGCUCAAUCAGGCUCUGUCAAGCCAAAGUCCAACUAACCGACUCUAACUGGUCUAACAACAAACAAGUAACGUGCCCUCGGCACAAUCUGAUGCCAAAACGGCGAACCGGGCCCACCGUCAACCCUAACGGCGCCCAAGAGUCCGAAACAGCCCAAACGACCCUGUAAAAAUCCACUCGGCGUACUAGCACGAACGUAAAUGUAUUCUAAACUACCUGGAGUACUCGUCUUGAGGAUACUGCGACAGUACAAUUUUAUAACGGCUCCUAGAGCUAAAUCAGGUAGUUUAAACAAGUGACAGGUCCAAAUCGCAGGUUUUCUCCUAAUUCAAAUUCCAAGUCCAACAUGUAUAAUCUACUCAAUUUAUUACCACAUUCUCCAAAUUCAGAUUUGCAAUCUACCAUAUAAUCCAUGAAUUCGAGCUAGAGUAGAGUAUCCAAAAGUCGAAAUUUAUACAUGCCGACGAUUAUGAACUUAGGAGUAAAACUGAUGUAAACCCACCUCAAGAAGCUAGCUCCUGGCAGCGAACGAAGCCUCGAACCAAAGUGACCCCUGCUGGAUCAACUGGAACCCUCCAAUUCUAGCACUCGAGCUAACUCCAAGCUCUACGAUCAAAAUCCAUCAAUUUAAUCCGAAUUUCGCAGCAACAGAGUAGAAAAGGGAUUCGACCAAGCUAAUCUUCACCAAAUCUAGCAAGUAAGGGCUUCGCGGAUUCCUCUCGAAGUCCCGAAUCCAACGAACCAAGUCUCGUCACAAUCCAAUGCUCCUACGUCGAGUACGAGCUGAAAUACUAACAGUCGAUGAUGAAUUUCAGCAAACAACAUCACUCCGAGUUGAAGUAGUAAGAACUUGCCCAAAAACAAUGGAAAAGCUUAAAUACCCACCUCGACGAUGCCAAGCACCUGUGUGAUAGCAAGAACGGCGAAAACCUACGCUCGCCCGGCCUCCACGCGCUACCCCGGCGUCAAACACGAGCUCGAACGGCUUCGCGGCGCGACGUCGGCGACAAAAUCCUUCCUUGCCUUCAACCGGAUGGGAGUGAGAGAAAGAAGAAGAAAUGCUCCCAAAGGACUCCUCUCUCUCUCUACACAAAGCUAUAUAAAGAGAGGGAGAGCUGCUAAUACAAACGAGGUGGAGAUUUACUCAAAUACCCUCUCACCUACCCCCUUGUACCAGUACACGAGCUCCUGUACCGGUACAAGAGCCAACCCGAGAGCUGCUAAACCAGUGCGCGCUGGUUGUACCGGUACAGCUACGCUGGUUGUACCAGUACAACAAGCAGAGAAAUCUGCAAAACUGCAGAUUUCUUUGCUAUAAGCUGCCCUCGCGUCGCAUGGAGUCCGUUUUGCUUCUAUUUGACGCCAACGCGACUCGGACUUGUCCCGACACUGUCCAGAGCUGCCGACAAGCCUCCACAACAGAACACCAGGGAUCUCACACGCACAGCACCAGCAAGAGUUGCGGCCCGCGACACGCGCCGUCCAUGCACCCGGAUUAUUUUAUUUUAUUUUUCUUUAUUUUUAUUUAAGAAUUUUGUCUUGGUUAUAUAUAUUAGACGAUGUUGCAUGAGUUCAACAGGAACCCAGACAUACCUAAGAGCAAAACCCUACCCUCUAUCUCGUCUUUUUCUGCUUUCUCUCCAUUGAUCUUUUACGCCGUUUUUCACCGAGCUUUCUCAUAUUUUGCUAUAUCUGAAGCUUGUUGGAUUCGUCUUGUGACACCUUGAAAGCAUGCUGACAGGGAGGAAUAUGAUUGUUGUAUCACCGAAAGUAAUUGCCGGGAAGUCUCGCAUGUGGAUGGACAAUUUCGCUUCUAGGAAAGUACUCUGCAUGUCUCGAUCCACAAGCUUUUUUUAAUCCUUUUCUUUACAGUACUUAUUAUUUAUUUUUUUUUCGGAAUUUUUCAAAAACUAAAAUUAAACUUUUAGUUAUUUUUAAAAAAUAUUAUAAUAAAAAAUCAGAAAGAUUUUUCCAACAGGAUAAACACCUUUACUCCCUGCUUAUCCUCCAUUUUGUUUAGUCAAUUUCCGCAAUUAAAAAAAGUAGAGUUAAGGACAAAUUUAAUUUAAGUGAACAAAAUAACAAAAUGGAUAUUUACGUCAAAAAUAAUUUUACUUCUUUUCGCUCUUGAUGAAAUAAAUUUACUCUUAAGAACUUGAUAGUUGGUGCACGAUGUCUCAAAUUCCAAACUGUUGGUGUCAUAUAUUUCUUCUUAAAUUUAUUUUAAAAAAUAAACGAAUUGAAUAAUUUAUUAAUUUUCUGUUUAUGAAAAAGAAAAAAAAAAUUAGAGCAAAGUCAAACUGUCUGUGAGAUCCCUGGUGUUUAGCAGUGAAGGCUUGUCGACUGCUCUAGAGAGUGUCAGGACAAGUCUGAGUCGCGUUGGCGCGAAAUAAACGUAAAACGGACUCUGUGCGACGCGAGAGCAGCAUUUAGCAAAAAAAAUCUGCAAAUAGCUAUUUUUCUGCUUGCUGUACCGGUACAGCCAUCACGGUGUACCGGUACACUACACAGGCUGUGCGCUGACUGCUCUCGGGUUGGCUUCUUGUACCGGUAUGUUAGCCCGUGUACCGGUACGCCAGGGUAGGUUGGAGGACUUUUUGGUCUUUUUCCCCCUCGUUCGUAUCACCAUUUCUCUCUCUCCCUAUUUAGGCUUAUGUAGAGCUGAGAGAGAGAGUUUUCACUAUCUUUAUUCCUCUCUCUCCUCUCCUUGUGCGUGACCGAGCGUGGUGGAGGAGCUCGGGUAGAGUUGUUCCGUCGCCGACGUCGCGCCGCGGAGCCGUUCGAGCGCGCGUUUGUUGUCGUUGCAUCGCGAGGAGGCCGGGCGAGGGUGCGUUUUUGCUGUUCUCGAUGUCGCGCCGGUGCUAGAAUCGCUGUCGAGGUGGGUAUCUAAUUUUCCUCCCUGGAUUAUUUGAACGCGCUAUUUUGGGCUCUUAGGUGCUGUUUUGCUGAUUUUCAGCGUCGACCGUCGGCGUUUCGGCUCAUUCUCGGCGUAGGAGCGUCGGAUUUCAACAAGACUUGGUUCGUUGGAUUCAGGACUUAGAAAGGAAUCCACGAAGCCCUUAUUUUAUGGAUUUGGUGAAGGUUAGCUUGGUCGGAAUUAUAAUCUCCUCUGCUGCUGCGUUUCGGACAGAAUUAAUGGAUUUCAGUGCUUUACCUUGAUGUAGCUUUGUUGCUGGAUUUGAGGGCAUUUCGGUUGAUCCGGCAGGUUAUCCCACAACUGAGGGAGUUCAUCACUGUUAGGGAUUAGCUAUCGAGGUGGGUUACAUCGGUUUUGUAGCACACUGGACCUUUGCAAAUUGCGAGGUUUGAGUGUUUGGAUGUAUUUCGAGCUUUUCCACACUUGGUGGAGGGUUCUAGAAUGUUUUCCGACCUAAAAAGUUCAAAAACUGGAAUUCUGGACAAGUCCUGAGAGUUUUUACUCUCGGGGACCGGUCCCUGGAAGGAGAGAUCGGUCCCCCAGUGAGCAGUGUUGCGGCAGCCCUGAGGCAACCGGUCCCCGAGCGCGCCUUCGCAGAGAGAGACUGGUCCCACGCAGGGAGAGACCGGUUCCCGAAAAUUGGUUCUCCGGGUUCGCAGCAAGAGACCGGUCCCUGCUGGGGAGAGACCGGUCCCUCUGGGCGAAAACUGCCCAGACCGGGCUGUGGUAAUAUUGGAUUUUUGGAGGACCUAGCUGGAUUUUGUUACAAUAGAUGGUCUAUAUGACCCAUCCACCCUCUCUUCUCCUCAUUUUCCCUCCUCACACUCUCCCCACAUCCUUGCUAGAGAGAGAAGAAGGAGAAGAAGAGGAAGGAGAAGAAGAGGAGAAGGAUCUAGCUUGGGCUUGGAGCAUCCCUUUGCCUUUCUUCCUCUUCCCACCUUGUUCGUGCUUGAAGGCUUGGACUUGGAGCUUGCAAAGGAGAAGAUCUUCACCCUUUGAGCUUGGAUUGGAGCUUCUUAGAGGUUGGUAGCCCUUUCUCUCCAUCUAGACCUUGGAUUUGAGGUUUUAUUGUAUUGGAACCCUAGAAUGAGGUUUUAGGGUUGAUUUUGGGGCUUUUUGAUCUAGGACUUUUGAGGCUAGAUUGAUUGGAUUAGAACAUUCCUUGAGCUUGGAUUGGAAGGAUUCUAGCUCUCUUUUAGAGCUUUGGAAGAGAUUUCUUCUCUUGAGGUGAGUUUUAGCCCUUUUUGUUAGGUUGUUAAAGUUUGACCUUAUAGAUUGGUCGUAAUGCCCGUGUAUCUCUUCGCUCAAUGCUUCUAAGGUAUUUCGAGACUCGGGGACAACUUUGUUCGGCGAAACGGGGCACUACACGACGGUUCGGUGGGUUUGACCUAGCCUACCUAUGAGAAAUUCUCAUAUAUGGUUAUAUAUGUUCCGUAAAUUGAAAAAGCAUGCAUGUUCAUACUAAAUGUAUUUAUUAUGAUUUUUAGAAUGCUUAAAAUGCAUAUGUUAUAUAUGAUGAAAUUUUGGACCUCUAUGUAGUAGAGAGUUGCUUGGGAGAUCUUUGGUUGCAUUUAGCAUUCUUUAUGAGACUUGGUUUCAUGCUUCUAUAGUAUAAAUGAGUUCGGAUUCAUGCAUUUAAACUUGAGUUUACUUGUGACAUGAAAGAUGACAAGAUUGCCAUUUAGAAGGUAUGUGAACUAGAGAGCUAAUGUCAUCAAGCGGCAUUGAGCUCGGGACAUGUGAGAACCUAGUGGAUAGGGCCAUUGAGGGAUUUGGAAUACAUGUUGAACAUCAAAUUGCCUAAGUGUCAUCAAGAGGCACUAGGCGUAGUGAGUGUUUGGAACUUCGCUUUGUGACUUAAACUAGAUCUUCGGGAUGCUAGUGACGAUACCAUGUUAGAGACAUGAGGAUUGGAUACUUGAGACUUGGACUAUGCUUGCUUGCCAUUUGUGCUCAUUCGCACAUGCUUGUGAGGGUCGCUCCCUACAAGCCGGCACUCCGGAGUUAGCCUACGCGACUUAUGUUCGCUCGUGCGGUAUUGAGAAGCCUACGGGGUCGAGUGGGACAGACACAUUCCAAGAGUAGGGAUGUUGGGCUACCACAGGCACUUAGGCGGCGCAAGCUGGACUACCCUUGGUAGGUCCCUAAUUGGAAAUGGAAAUCGACACGGGAUGAGUUUGUUAUAAUCACUACUAAAUAGAGAGUGGUAGUUGGAUUACUCGGACUUGCUUCUAGCAUAGGUUUGGACUUUGGGUAUACACACAUACAUGUAGCAUGCUAGGAGGCAGUGUUUAAUUGCAUUCAUAUAAACAACGUUGCUAUGAUAAGGGAUAAUCCUCAUAAUUUCAUUUAAGCAAACCAUGACAUUAUUUAUGGCUAAGUAGAGACAUACUCUUCAUGACAGGAUAAUUGUGCAUUACAUAAAUGCCAUGUUUAAUCGCAAGUAAUAUUUUAGCAUUUCAUUAUGCUUUCAUAGAUGCAAAUUACUCGUUAUUGCUAUCGCUUUUGACUUACCCUUUUUCUUUUGGGCCUAGUGGUGCAAUGAGCUGAGGUCAGUAAUUGCCCACUGGAAACUAUAAAUUAUAAUUCUCACGCCCUCUAUUUUAUGUUUUCUUUCAGAGCCUUCCACGCCGGGAGAGGCUAGGGACCGUGGGAAGGGCGUCGCUUCGAGUUAGCCCUUCAGCGAGAGACGAGUUUAGGUGGUCUACCUCUCGAUGUUUUAUUUUGUGAGAGGUUGAGAGUUGUACCCGUAUAUGUAUAGAGACCACCUUUCUUUUGGAUCUUGGUAUUUCUUUUGAGGAGUUAGUUUCGUAUCACCUUAUGUUUUACUUUCUUCGUCUUGGCAUAUUGCCUUUACUCUGGUUUAUAUGAUAGAACUUUGCUCACUCUGAUAUCAUUAGUUGUUACUAUUCUAUUUGUUCUAUUUCUUGCUUUUACUUCCGUUUUAUUGUAGACGCCUUAUAUGUGUAGACAUAUGGCGGGUUUGGGCACGCUACCGGGAGGGCCUCUGCCGGUCCUGGGGCGUGACAGAUUAAUUUUGUAACACACUGGACCUUUGCAAAUUGCGAGGUUCGAGUGUUUGGAUGUAUUUCGAGCUUUUCCACACUUGGUGGAGGGUUGUAGAAUGUUUGCCGACCUAAAAAGUUCGAAAAUUAGAAUUCUGGACAAGUCCUGAGAGUUUUUACCCUCGGGGACCGGAGUCCCUGGAAGGAGAGACCGGUCCCCCAACAAGCAGUGUUGCGACAGCCCUGAGGCAACCGGUCCCUGGCGGGCGAAACCGGUCCCCGAGCGCGUUUUCGCAGUGAGAGACCGGUCCCGCGCAGGGAGAGGCCGGUUCUCGAACGUUGGUUUUUCGGGUUCGCAGCGAGAGACCGGUCCCUGCUGGGGAGAGACCGGUCCCUCUGGGCGAAAAAUGCCCAGACCUGGCUGUUGCAACAUUGGAUUUUUGAGGGGCCUCUCCAGAUUUUGUUACACUAGAUGGGCUUAUUAGCCAUUUCCUCCUCUCCCCUCUCUCAUUUUCUCAUUCUCAUCCUCUCCCUACACUUCCUAGAGAGAGAAGAAGAAAAAGAAGGAGGAGAGGAAGAAGAGGAGCUAGCUUGAGGGAGCUUGGAGCUCAACCCCUUUCUCUCUUUUCCACCUUUGCAAGGCUUGGAGCUUGCUUGUAGAGCUUGGUGGUGGGCCAAUCUUCAACCCUAGAAGGCUUGGAGCUUGUUUGGAGGCAUCUUGGGAGGUUAGUACUUGGAUUCUACCCUUUGAUCCUUGAUUUUGUAGGUUUUACCAUAUGGAACCCUAGAUUGGAUAUUAGGGUUGAUUUUUGGGGCUUUUUGAUUUAGGGCUUUUGAGGCUAGAUUGAUUGAUUUAGAACCUUCCUUGGGCUUGGAUUGGAAGGAUUCUAGCUCUCUUUUGGAGCUUUGGAUGAGAUUUCUUCUCUUGGGGCCAAUUUUGGCCCUUUUUGCUUAUAGGUUAAUAUUUGAUCUUAUGGUUGGUCGUAAUGCUCUCGUAUCUCUUCGCUGAUCACUUUUAGGAUAUCUUGAGGCUCGUGGACAACUUUGUUCGGCAAAUCGAGACCCUACGCGACGGUUCGGUGGGUUUGACCUAGCCACACAAUGAGAAAUUCUCAUUUGUGCCUAAUUAAGUAUCGUUAAAUGAAAAAUCAUGCAUAUUCUUGUUAUAUGUAUUUACUGUGAAUUUUAGAAUGCUUAAAAGGCCUAUGUUAUAUAUGAUGAAAUUUUGGACCUCUAUGUAGUAGAGAGUAGCUUGGUAGGCCUAUAGUGGCUCUUAGCAUUCUAUAUGAAACGUGGUUUCAUGCUCCUAUAGUGUAAAUGAGAUUGGAUUCAUGCAUUUAAACCUAAGUUUAUUUGAGACAUGAAAGUUGACAAAAUUGCCUUAUAGAGCUAUCGAACUAGAAUGUAGGUGAACUGGAGAGCUAAUGUCAUCAAGCGGCAUUGAGCUCGGGACAUGUGUNNNNNNNNNNNNNNNNNNNNNNNNNNNNNNNNNNNNNNNNNNNNNNNNNNNNNNNNNNNNNNNNNNNNNNNNNNNNNNNNNNNNNNNNNNNNNNNNNNNNNNNNNNNNNNNNNNNNNNNNNNNNNNNNNNNNNNNNNNNNNNNNNNNNNNNNNNNNNNNNNNNNNNNNNNNNNNNNNNNNNNNNNNNNNNNNNNNNNNNNNNNNNNNNNNNNNNNNNNNNNNNNNNNNNNNNNNNNNNNNNNNNNNNNNNNNNNNNNNNNNNNNNNNNNNNNNNNNNNNNNNNNNNNNNNNNNNNNNNNNNNNNNNNNNNNNNNNNNNNNNNNNNNNNNNNNNNNNNNNNNNNNNNNNNNNNNNNNNNNNNNNNNNNNNNNNNNNNNNNNNNNNNNNNNNNNNNNNNNNNNNNNNNNNNNNNNNNNNNNNNNNNNNNNNNNNNNNNNNNNNNNNNNNNNNNNNNNNNNNNNNNNNNNNNNNNNNNNNNNNNNNNNNNNNNNNNNNNNNNNNNNNNNNNNNNNNNNNNNNNNNNNNNNNNNNNNNNNNNNNNNNNNNNNNNNNNNNNNNNNNNNNNNNNNNNNNNNNNNNNNNNNNNNNNNNNNNNNNNNNNNNNNNNNNNNNNNNNNNNNNNNNNNNNNNNNNNNNNNNNNNNNNNNNNNNNNNNNNNNNNNNNNNNNNNNNNNNNNNNNNNNNNNNNNNNNNNNNNNNNNNNNNNNNNNNNNNNNNNNNNNNNNNNNNNNNNNNNNNNNNNNNNNNNNNNNNNNNNNNNNNNNNNNNNNNNNNNNNNNNNNNNNNNNNNNNNNNNNNNNNNNNNNNNNNNNNNNNNNNNNNNNNNNNNNNNNNNNNNNNNNNNNNNNNNNNNNNNNNNNNNNNNNNNNNNNNNNNNNNNNNNNNNNNNNNNNNNNNNNNNNNNNNNNNNNNNNNNNNNNNNNNNNNNNNNNNNNNNNNNNNNNNNNNNNNNNNNNNNNNNNNNNNNNNNNNNNNNNNNNNNNNNNNNNNNNNNNNNNNNNNNNNNNNNNNNNNNNNNNNNNNNNNNNNNNNNNNNNNNNNNNNNNNNNNNNNNNNNNNNNNNNNNNNNNNNNNNNNNNNNNNNNNNNNNNNNNNNNNNNNNNNNNNNNNNNNNNNNNNNNNNNNNNNNNNNNNNNNNNNNNNNNNNNNNNNNNNNNNNNNNNNNNNNNNNNNNNNNNNNNNNNNNNNNNNNNNNNNNNNNNNNNNNNNNNNNNNNNNNNNNNNNNNNNNNNNNNNNNNNNNNNNNNNNNNNNNNNNNNNNNNNNNNNNNNNNNNNNNNNNNNNNNNNNNNNNNNNNNNNNNNNNNNNNNNNNNNNNNNNNNNNNNNNNNNNNNNNNNNNNNNNNNNNNNNNNNNNNNNNNNNNNNNNNNNNNNNNNNNNNNNNNNNNNNNNNNNNNNNNNNNNNNNNNNNNNNNNNNNNNNNNNNNNNNNNNNNNNNNNNNNNNNNNNNNNNNNNNNNNNNNNNNNNNNNNNNNNNNNNNNNNNNNNNNNNNNNNNNNNNNNNNNNNNNNNNNNNNNNNNNNNNNNNNNNNNNNNNNNNNNNNNNNNNNNNNNNNNNNNNNNNNNNNNNNNNNNNNNNNNNNNNNNNNNNNNNNNNNNNNNNNNNNNNNNNNNNNNNNNNNNNNNNNNNNNNNNNNNNNNNNNNNNNNNNNNNNNNNNNNNNNNNNNNNNNNNNNNNNNNNNNNNNNNNNNNNNNNNNNNNNNNNNNNNNNNNNNNNNNNNNNNNNNNNNNNNNNNNNNNNNNNNNNNNNNNNNNNNNNNNNNNNNNNNNNNNNNNNNNNNNNNNNNNNNNNNNNNNNNNNNNNNNNNNNNNNNNNNNNNNNNNNNNNNNNNNNNNNNNNNNNNNNNNNNNNNNNNNNNNNNNNNNNNNNNNNNNNNNNNNNNNNNNNNNNNNNNNNNNNNNNNNNNNNNNNNNNNNNNNNNNNNNNUUGUACUUGUGCGACGCCGUGCAAAUACAGGGGAGACUCUGUCCGUGUGAACAGUGGAACUCAUGUAUUUGUGGCGGAUCUGGCACACUCUGGGGUCAGGUUUUCAAAAAAAAUUUCAGACGCUUUUCCGCUACCUUUUAAACUAAAAGGGACUCUGUGGCGUGACAGAUUAAAGUGGUAUCAGAGCCCAAGUUACAACCACAACACCAUUCACAGGUUGUUUUUUUUUUUUUUUUUAAAAAAAUAUGAAAUAAACUGAACCAUUGGUUAGGUUGACCUUUUGUAAGACUUACGAUGUUUAGGCACGUGAGUGCUGGGUUUGUGAUCGAGUCCUGGUUAGUUGUAGUCGAGUCGAUUAUUCGAUUGACGGUGUUUUCUGUUGCAGAUGGCUCGUGGUCCUGGUAGACCUCNAGUUGUAGUCGAGUCGAUUAUUCGAUUGACGGUGUUUUCUGUUGCAGAUGGCUCGUGGUCCUGGUAGACCUCCUCGUCGGGGUCGUGGCGGUGGACGCACCACUGAGGGGGCAUCGGACAGUCCUGGAGGGCGUGUCCCGAGAGGCAGGGGUAGGGGGGAGCAGGCUGGCCCCGAGCAGCUGGGUGAUGUGCGUACCCAGCAGCUUGAAGCCGAGGUAGCAGCGAUGAGGGGUCAGCUGACGGCCCUCUCGGGGAUGUUCCAGCAGUUUUUACAGCAGCAGACUGUAGCUGCUGCUCCCCCGGCUCCACCUCCGACACAGCCGGCUCUAGUUACUUCGGACACUCCGGUUAUACCUCCACCUGCCACAGCUCCGACUGGCACGGCGACGACGACUACCACGACGAUUUUCGCUGGGGGUGCUAAUACCUCUGCAGCGGAGGGCGAUCGCAUGCGGGCGAAGUUGGCCCAGUUCCGAAAAUUUGAUCCGCCUAAGUUCGCUGGGAAGAAUGACGACGCAUGGGUGAUCGAGCACUGGGUCACCCACAUGGAGAAACUGUUUCGCGAUCUCCACAUCGAAGAGCAGGAUCGCGUUCCUCUGGCCGCGCAUUGCCUUGAGACAGAUGCGUAUGCAUGGUGGAUCCGCCACUUCGUGAACAAGCUCUCAAGCACUUAUCCACCCUGGGAGGAGUUUCGGAGACUUCUCUAUGAGUAGUAUUUUAAAGAUAGAACGAAGCAGAGCUUGGAGCGCGAGUUGCAGUGUCUCAAGCAGGGCAAUCGCACUGUAGCGGAGUACGAGCGAGACUUCAGCCGCAUUGUCGGGCUGAUUCCCUUCGCAGUGCGGGACGAGUACCACAAGGCGAGACUUUUUAUUAGGCGGCUGAGGCCCAACCUUCGGCUCCUGGUCACGUCCAAUGGCGCGAUACCUUUCGACGAGUGCCUAGAUCGGGCUUUGAUUGUGCAGAGCGAGUCAGAGGAGGUCCGAGCUGCUCGUGAUGCAUCCGAGCGAUCAGGCGACAGGAAGCGUUCCCAUGCCAGGUCUAGUGGUGGCCCUUCUUUUAGUAAGAAGCCACCGAAACAUCCUCGCACUCAGCAGUCGGCGAGGAGUACACCUUCAGGCAAUCAGCGGAUGGGUGAUCGACCCUGUGUCAUAUGUGGGCAAGCACAUAAGGUGACGGCUUGUCCACAGCAGAGGGACCACUGUUUUCACUGUGGUCAGCCGGGCCAUCUCCGAGCUCAAUGCCCUAAGAGGGAUGGGGCAAAUCAGAGUACUGCUUCUUCUCCGGCUAUAUCCAGACAGAACCGCGGAGCUCCCAGUGCAGCUGCUUCGUCUGGGCGUCCCUCUUCCUCACGCCAAAAUGGGGGGGCGCGCUAGGCAUCUGGUGGACGGGUCUUCGCCCUGACUCAGCCCGAGGGCAACACUGGUGGCGACGUCCUUGCAGGUAUUGUCACCCUCUCCAUCACUCGUGCUAGAGCUAUUUUCGAUACUGGAGCAUCGCACUCAUUCAUUUCGCAUUCAUUUGCAUGUGAGCAUGGUCUUUCCUCGCGCCCACUUGUUAUACCGCUUCGAAUUGAGACACCUGGAGGUGAUCUAGUCGCAGACAGGUGCAUCUUGUCGUACCCUGUCAUGUUAGAUGACCGGUCUUUCCUGGCAAAUCUGGUGGUGCUUCCGAUGAAGAAAUUUGAUGUGGUGCUUGGGAUGGACUGGUUCACCAGGCACCACGCUACUAUCGACUGCGAGCGGAGGACGGUGACAUUUAUCGGGCCCGGCGAAGAAGUAUUCGUAUACCGAGCAUGUAAGAGCUCCUAUUUUGCCGCGUCUAUCUCUUCAGCUAGAGCAAAGAGGCUUAUGAAUGCCGGAUGUGUGGCCUACCUGGCUUCAGUAGAUGUCACCCGCCGAGUUGCACCACCAUUGGAGGAUAUUCCAGUUGUUCGGGAAUUCCCGGAUGUCUUUCCAGAUGAGCUUCCGGGAAUGCCUCCGGACCGGGAGAUCGACUUCUUCAUCGAGCUAGUUCCAGGCACGGCACUGAUCUCGAAGGCCCCCUAUUGCAUGGCCUUCGCUGAGCUUAAGGAGCUGAAGGCUCAGCUUGAGGAUCUGUUGGAGAGGGGGUUUAUUCGACCUAGCGUGUCUCCUUGGGGAGCCCCAGUCCUCUUUGUCAAAAAGAAGGAUGGUAGUCUUCGACUGUGCAUCGACUACCGGGAGCUCAAUAAGGUCACUGUGAAGAACAAGUAUCCACUACCCCGGAUUGACGAUCUCUUCGAUCAGCUUCAGGGAUCAUCGGUGUAUUCGAAGAUCGACCUACAGUCCGGGUACCAUCAGCUUAAGAUCCGGGAUGAGGAUGUGCCGAAGACCGCCUUUAGAACUCGAUAUGGCCACUACGAGUUCACGAUGAUGCCGUUCGGGCUUACCAAUGCCCCGGCAGCUUCCAUGGAUAUGAUGAAUAGGGUCUUUCGGGCAUACUUGGAUCAGUUUGUCGUGGUCUUCAUUGACGACAUCCUGAUUUACUCACGGAGUGAUGAGGAGCACGAGCAUCAUCUCCGGCGAGUACUGCAGAUACUUCGAGAGCACAAGUUAUAUGGUAAGCUCAAGAAGUGCGAGUUCUGGCUCUGUGAGGUAUCUUUCUUGGGGCAUAUUGUGACUCCAUCGGGCAUUACGGUGGAUCCAAAGAAGAUAGCCUCGGUGGUCGAGUGGCCUGAACCGACUUCGGUGACUGAAGUUCGGAGCUUUCUAGGUUUGGCGGGUUAUUAUCGGCGAUUCGUUGAGGGCUUCUCCAAGAUCGCCGCACCGCUGAACAAGCUUACCAGAAAAGGAGAACGGUUUCAGUGGACCGAGCUAUGCCAGCAGAGCUUUGAUGAGCUGAAAGAUCGAUUGACCCGCGCACCCGUUCUUACUUUACCGCGGCUUGGUGAGGAUUUUGUGGUCUAUUGUAAUGCCUCCCGGGUCGGUCUGGGGUGCGUGCUUAUGCAGCAGGACUGGGUCAUCGCUUACGCCUCUCGACAGCUAAAGCCGUAUGAAAAGAACUAUCCGACUCACGAUCUGGAGCUUGCAGCGGUAGUCUUCGCCCUAAAGCUGUGGAGGCACUAUUUAUAUGGAGUACACUGCGAGGUAUUCACCGAUCAUCAGAGCCUGAAGUACCUUUUUACUCAGAAGGAGUUGAACCUCAGGCAGCGACGUUGGCUCGAGCUCUUGAAGGACUACGAUCUCACGAUCCAGUACCACCCGGGAAAGGCGAAUGCGGUGGCGGACGCCUUGAGCCGGAAACAGCCUUCAGCUUCGUUGUCCAUCAUGAUCACGAGCCAGGAUCGACUUGUGGAGGAGUUUCGCCGUCUGGAGAUUGAGGUUGUCUCCACCGGGGCCACGACCCAAUUGAUGACCCUAGUGGUACAGCCUACUUUGACGGAGCAGAUUUUGCUUGGGCAGCAGAGCGACCCGUGCUUACAGAAAGUGCGGGCGGAGAUCGAGCAGGGCAAGGACGGGGACUUCACUAUCCACACUGAUGGAUCUUUGCGCUUCAAAGGCAGAUGGUGUGUGCCUAGUGACUCGGAGCUGAGGAACGACAUCUUGUCCGAGGCGCACCGAUCCUCUUACACAGUUCACCCAGGCGGUACCAAGAUGUACCGCGACCUGAAGCAGAAUUUCUGGUGGCCUGGGAUGAAGCUUGAUGUGGCUCGGCACGUGGCUUGGUGCUUGAUUUGUCAGCAGGUGAAAGCCGAGCAUCAGCGACCAGCAGGAAAGCUGCACCACUUCCGAUCCCCGUGUGGAAGUGGGAGCAGAUCACUAUGGAUUUCGUCACCGGAUUGCCUCGAUCACAGCGAGGCCAUGAUGCGAUCUGGGUUAUAGUUGAUCGGCUGACGAAAUCGGCUCACUUCCUGCCGAUGCAUACGACGUGGUCCCGUGAUCGACUGGCACAGUUAUACAUCGACGAGAUCGUCCGGCUUCAUGGUGUGCCAGUGUCGAUUGUGUCUGAUCGGGACACUCGCUUCGUUUCCCACUUCUGGAGGAGCUUGCAGCAGGCUAUAGGUACGAAGCUGAACUUCAGUACGGCAUUCCAUCCCUAGAGCGACGGACAGUCAGAGCGAGUCAUCCAGGCUCUUGAGGACAUGCUCCGUGCAUGUGUCCUGGAUUACGGGGAUGGAUGGUUUCGAUACCUACCGCUAGUGGAGUUCGCCUAUAAUAAUAGCUACCAGGCGAGCAUCGGGAUGGCACCGUACGAGGCUUUAUAUGGGCGUCGAUGUCGAUCUCCUAUUUGUUGGGACGACGUCGGAGAACGCCGGUUGAUCGGGCCAGACUUAGUGGAGGAUGCGGAGGCGAAGAUCCGCAUUGCGAGAGAGCGGCUGCUGACCGCACAGAGUCGACAGAGGAGCUACGCGGAUCAGCGAAGGCGUGACCUAGAGUUUCAGGUCGGUGAGCAUGUGUUGCUCAAGGUGUCGCCAUCCAGGGGGAUCAAGCGGUUUGGUUUGCGGAACAAACUUAGUCCGCGGUUCGUGGGACCGUUUGGGAUCCUAGAACGCAUCGGUCCGGUAGCGUACAGAUUGGCUCUUCCUCCAAGUCUGGCCCUGUGUACAAUGUCUUUCAUGUGUCCAUGCUUUGGAAGUACAUUCCAGAUCCGUCUCACGUCAUCAGUCCGACGUCUAUUCAGCUACGGGAGGAUCUGAGCUAUGAUGAGGCUCCGUUGAGGAUUUUGGCACGUGAGGUGAAACAGUUACGGAACAGGAGCAUUCCAUAUGUAAAGGUUCAGUGGGCAAAUCACGAGGAGCGUGAAGCUACGUGGGAGCUGGAGUCUUCUAUGCGGGAGAGUUAUCCGCAGUUGUUUGCGGGGGAUGUUUAAAUUAAGUUUCGGGGACGAAACUUUUUGUAAGGGGGGAAUGAUGUAAUAACUGAAAUUUUUGAAAAAUAAAAUUAAACCCUUGGUUGAUGAUGUUUUUGUGUGUAAUGUAAUUACUAAAGCACUCAUCAAAUUUAUGGAGAAAAUGAGCUAAAAUGGAGAAAUUACGCGACCCGAACCGACGACUUAAGUGAAUAGUAACUCCGGCUUUCCGGAUGAGCCAACGAUUAGAGAAGGGUUCUGGUGCACGUUGAACUCCGAAUAUAGGACUUCAAUAGCUCGUUUCGAACGGCUCGACCAUUCUGGACCCAAUGGCACUGACGGAAUUGGGUUCUGAUGCACGGUUGUCGAGAAAAAGGGGUUUAAUGGAUAUUACAUGUAAUAAUAUAAGCGGUUAUAUGGUGGAAAUAGAGAGGGCAGGUUUCGUCGCUGAUCGGAAACCAAAUCAGACGGAAUAAAAUGCUAGAUUCGAUGCCCUAGUCGUGCUGAACGCGCUGGCGCAAUCCGUUCAGAAAUCCGACGGACGGAUCUUCGGGAAUCGUGAAAAGUCCGCUGAGAGGUUAUUUUGCCAAAAUCAAUUAAUCGCGAAAAGUCCCUAUAUUUUAUGCGCCGUUUCGCAAGAUUUCGAUCGUUGGAGUACGUACGCGCAAGUUACACACGUCGGCAGGGGCUGGACUGUAAAUAUUAGACGUUGAAGGGGUUCCUUGCAAAUUACACCUAUGUAUUUAUAUAUAGGUACUAGGGUUUCACAAAGAAAACCCUAACCCUAAUCAUCCCCAGCUGCCCUAGCCGCUUCAGCUCCACCCUGCCCAACCCGUGCGCAUGCCCCGGCCGCCGGCGAGCUGCAAGCUCUUCCCUAGGCUGAGACCCAGCUCCGGCGUCCUCCCCCGCCGGCCCCGGCCACCCCGAGCGCCGCCGGAGCCACCCCUGCUCCCUGCGGCCAGCUCGGGUCAGCCCAGACCNNNNNNNNNNNNNNNNNNNNNNNNNNNNNNNNNNNNNNNNNNNNNNNNNNNNNNNNNNNNNNNNNNNNNNNNNNNNNNNNNNNNNNNNNNNNNNNNNNNNNNNNNNNNNNNNNNNNNNNNNNNNNNNNNNNNNNNNNNNNNNNNNNNNNNNNNNNNNNNNNNNNNNNNNNNNNNNNNNNNNNNNNNNNNNNNNNNNNNNNNNNNNNNNNNNNNNNNNNNNNNNNNNNNNNNNNNNNNNNNNNNNNNNNNNNNNNNNNNNNNNNNNNNNNNNNNNNNNNNNNNNNNNNNNNNNNNNNNNNNNNNNNNNNNNNNNNNNNNNNNNNNNNNNNNNNNNNNNNNNNNNNNNNNNNNNNNNNNNNNNNNNNNNNNNNNNNNNNNNNNNNNNNNNNNNNNNNNNNNNNNNNNNNNNNNNNNNNNNNNNNNNNNNNNNNNNNNNNNNNNNNNNNNNNNNNNNNNNNNNNNNNNNNNNNNNNNNNNNNNNNNNNNNNNNNNNNNNNNNNNNNNNNNNNNNNNNNNNNNNNNNNNNNNNNNNNNNNNNNNNNNNNNNNNNNNNNNNNNNNNNNNNNNNNNNNNNNNNNNNNNNNNNNNNNNNNNNNNNNNNNNNNNNNNNNNNNNNNNNNNNNNNNNNNNNNNNNNNNNNNNNNNNNNNNNNNNNNNNNNNNNNNNNNNNNNNNNNNNNNNNNNNNNNNNNNNNNNNNNNNNNNNNNNNNNNNNNNNNNNNNNNNNNNNNNNNNNNNNNNNNNNNNNNNNNNNNNNNNNNNNNNNNNNNNNNNNNNNNNNNNNNNNNNNNNNNNNNNNNNNNNNNNNNNNNNNNNNNNNNNNNNNNNNNNNNNNNNNNNNNNNNNNNNNNNNNNNNNNNNNNNNNNNNNNNNNNNNNNNNNNNNNNNNNNNNNNNNNNNNNNNNNNNNNNNNNNNNNNNNNNNNNNNNNNNNNNNNNNNNNNNNNNNNNNNNNNNNNNNNNNNNNNNNNNNNNNNNNNNNNNNNNNNNNNNNNNNNNNNNNNNNNNNNNNNNNNNNNNNNNNNNNNNNNNNNNNNNNNNNNNNNNNNNNNNNNNNNNNNNNNNNNNNNNNNNNNNNNNNNNNNNNNNNNNNNNNNNNNNNNNNNNNNNNNNNNNNNNNNNNNNNNNNNNNNNNNNNNNNNNNNNNNNNNNNNNNNNNNNNNNNNNNNNNNNNNNNNNNNNNNNNNNNNNNNNNNNNNNNNNNNNNNNNNNNNNNNNNNNNNNNNNNNNNNNNNNNNNNNNNNNNNNNNNNNNNNNNNNNNNNNNNNNNNNNNNNNNNNNNNNNNNNNNNNNNNNNNNNNNNNNNNNNNNNNNNNNNNNNNNNNNNNNNNNNNNNNNNNNNNNNNNNNNNNNNNNNNNNNNNNNNNNNNNNNNNNNNNNNNNNNNNNNNNNNNNNNNNNNNNNNNNNNNNNNNNNNNNNNNNNNNNNNNNNNNNNNCCUGCCUUUCGAGAUAGCAUACGAUCUGGGCUAGGAGUGGUCGACAGGGUGAGCCUGGACGAUGCAGUGGACAUUACCCCCGCCCCCCACUCUUGUACAUUUGUACAGAGGGGAGGGUCACCCAUGGCGUUCGGCUUCUUCCGGUCCCUAUGAGUGAUCAGUGCCUCUAUUUGUUCCUAUAUCUAUUACCAUCAUGUCAUCGAUUUUAUUUGUUCAUGACUUUACAUAUAUUUAUUUGGUGAUGUCGAUGACAUACGUACGUAGUUGCCCUGUUAGUCAGGUUUUCAUGGGUUAAACUUUACCGGCAUAACCAUGGGUUGUGGAGUCCGGAUACGGUGUAGACGAGACUGUCUUUGUUCGGUAUAACCAUGGGUUGUGGAGUCUGACUUUCGUAUAUUGAAGUGUUCCCGAGUGCCCAACUGUGUUCGUUGGUGAAAAAGUCUUUUCUUGUGGGGAACGCCAACUAGUCUGGCGGCCACAAGCACUUUACGCACGCUCGUCACCGCUAGCUACGUCUUACGAGUUAUCGGUUGGCAGCCGUUGGUCGAUUGUUAGGACGGGUGAGUCCCGAGUGACUGGUAUAUCCAGUAGUACAUUGGUUGAGCUGGUUUGUCCAGUGUUCAUGUCCUAUACUUUGAGCUGGUUGUUCCAGUGUUCAUAUCCUAUCUUUUUAGCUGGUUGUUCCAGGAUCUAUGUUGUGUCCUCUUAGCUGGUUGGUCCAGCGUCUAUAGUAUACGACUACUUUAGAUGAGAUGAGGAUGUAUUCUAUGAUUUGUAUCUUUGUUGGUUCAUCUCAUUUAUGCCCUUAUUAUGCCCACGUUCCGAGUUAUACAUAUACUAUUCGUUAUAUUUGUCAUUCCCACCUUCCUUGCAGUGGCUCGCACGUGGUGACAUGGCUGCAGCCCAGCUUCAUGGGUGGACAUGUACAGACUGCUUUUAGAGAGCUGACACUUCUGCCACGUUGGCUUGGAUGCUUUCCAGGUGGCCCAAUCUUGGAUUGGGUGAUGAUUCUUUGGGAGUUUCGUAUUGGGGUGCCUAUUUAGGUGCCCUUAGCUAAAAGGUUUUAGCUAAUGGUUUGUGUGGCCUUCAGGGCUUGUUGCGUGGCCUUUAGUUGCUAACCAAAAGCCUUUCCGAACCCCGGAACCUGCUAGUCAGGUCUCCAAUAGGAGUCGGAUGUGAACGACGGUUAUCGUCGGUGUAGCUUCGUUUUUCGUAUUUUCGGGAAUGGCGAUGUAUCUUAGUGUAGUAAAAUACACUAAAGAUCCGAAAAGACCUGGCACGUGCGUUUGGUCUCCAGAUAAUUAGGCUGGCAGCGUGAGCGACUGUCCAAAGUCAUACAGCCUCCGGCACGAGUGGAAAGCCUCGUGACGGCCGGUGACGCCACGCGCGUGCUCGCUGCGCUUCAAGACAAUUUGACACGCGUGUUGCACUUCUAGCGCUGAUUGAGUAAUUGGUCCCGUAGAAACGGCGACAGCCUCCACUCGUGCUACAAGUCGUGCUCAACAUCUAGUAGCACGAGUGAAGGGCUUCAAAUCCUCCGAAUAGCCUAGUGACCUUUCCACUGGCCUUGGAGCUUUUUCGUAGUUUGGUUUAUCUUCCCUUACCCUUCAUGCUUAAAUAAAUAACUAACUUAGACAUAUUAUGGUUCAGUUUUAUUUUACUAUUUGGAUAUCUGAGUUUUCAGUUGGUUUUGGAAUGUAAUAAAGGAAUUUGUGUUCUCUUGAAAUGAAAAUGGUUUUCUACCCCUCGUGGUACCGUUUUGAAAAGAUAAAAGUUCCUGUGUAGGAAACAGUUUUCAAAAGAUUUUCUGUGGAUUUUGUGUCUUAGUAUUUCAAAACCUGUUUCUAUGGUUGAAAACAUUUUAACUGAUAGAUGUGGAUUUAUAUUUAAAUAGCGAAUGUAUAUUUGUGAAUCUGUGGUGAAUGGUGUAUGAAUGUAUAUCUGUGGUUAUUUGUAUGUUCAUCUGGUUGUAGUUGUUGUAUGAUUGAACUCUUGUACUUGUGCGACGCCGUGCAAAUACAGGGGAGACUCUGUCCGUGUGAACAGUGGAACUCCUAUAUUUGUGGCGGAUUUGGCACACUCUGGGGUCAGGUUUUCAAAAAAAAUUUCAGACGCUUUUCCGCUACCUUUUAAACUAAAAGGGACCCUGGGGCGUGACAAAUAAAGAUCUACUAAUCAGGUUCCGUCGGAUUUCAGGAGAAUGCUGCACAUUGUGAAGGAUUAACGUCUUUCCUGAAGUUAACUUCAGCUUGACUGUUCCGAUCCCCAAUACAUUGACAGCUUUUCCAUCUCCAACAGUCAUACAUCCUCCACUUGUGUCCUGAUAAGAGGAGAAUAGGGAUCUAUUAGUGCAAACAUGGACAUUGGCUCCAGAGUCUAACCACCAAUCUAAAUCAUGAUAGGUAAGGUUAACAUUAGGUACAAAUGAUACUGACCUAAAAGUGGAGUUGGAAGGUCACUCUCAAUCAUAUUGACCUGAGGUUUAGGAUAGUUGUUCUGAGUGUUUUGGCCCUUCUUGUAGACAACCUUCUCUUUCUUCCGAUGAAAAUAUUUUGAAGCAAAAUGGUUGUCACGGCCACAUACAUAUCAGAAACCAUCCUUCUUCUUAUUCCCACUAGGUUGGUUGGUAUUAGGUUUCUGGGUAUAGUUCCGGUUUCGAUUAGGGUUCCUACCUUUAAAACCUUUACCCUUAGGUUUAAAAUUUUUACCUUUGGGUUUAGGCUUGUGGCUCUGGUUUUGAAUCUCGGUCAGGUUUAUGUUUGAUCGGUUGUUGGACGGUUUAAUCUCCCUAAGUCGGUAUUGGUCUUCUAUUCUAAUAGCUUGGAUUACCGAUCUAAGCUUAAGAGUUUUCUGGGUACGUCCAAGCUCAUGGGCAAAUUUGGUCCAGGAAGGGGGUAAUUUAUCCAAUAGACAGGUUGCCUGAUAGGUUUCAUUUAAGAUUGAUCCAUUUCUAUGAAUUUCUUGGACAAAAUUCUGAAAUUGAUGGAUUUGAUCAUUUAUAGGAAUGUUAUCUACCAUUCUAAAAUUGUUAAAAUAGGUAAUGGUAAAUCUGGCGACACCUUCAUUAUCUCUAAUGUAGGCAUCUUCUAAGGCAAGCCAUAAAUCUUUGACAGUUUGAUAUUUCCUAUAGGUUUCAUAAAGUUCAUCAGGUUGGCAGUUAAGUAUUCUAAACCUACAGUGAAAUUCAAUUUCCUCAGGAGAUUUGUCAGUUUUAGGUUCUGUAACUGAGGUGGUAGUAGAAUCAAAUGGAGGAGUUUCAAUAGGUGGAUCAGAAGAAUUUUUAGAAGUAGGAUAAGGAGGUGUUUUUCCAAUUGCAGUUAUGAGGCCUAAGGUGAUAAGCCAAGCCUCUAACUGCUCUUGUCACCUUAAAAAACCUACCUCUUUAAAUUUUUCUGGUUUAAGGCUAGAAGUAUCAUCAAAACCCAUUCUAAACAAUCUAGUUGAGGGAACAAAGAAAUUAAGGAUGAUUGAAAAGAGCUGCAAAAAAGGUUCAAAAAACUUUUUUAGAAAAACAAACAUGUUAAGGUUUCUACCUUAGUCAACCAGAAUAUUUUAGGGUUUAAGUUUUUAAAUUUUAUCUUUUAUGAAAGUUCGUUCAGCAGCAAACAGAUGGCCUAAACAAUUUAAAUAUUUGAUUUCAAUUAAGUAAUCUUGAAUAGAUAUAUAUAUGCAAUCAAAUACUCUUUAUGCAGCAACCAGAUUAUAUAGAAAAUACUGAAACAAAAGAGAUUAUAAAAAUGGAAUGGGCUUGUUGGUUAGGUCCAGCUUUUAUAAAGUAGUGGAGAUAACCAGCUGAGGGUUCGAGUCCUCCUUAAAGCAAAUAUUUUUUUUCUUUUUUUUUUAUAUUAUCAAAACAGUAAAAUAUAAAUAUAUAUUUGAAAAUAGUAUAUAUAUAAAUUAAACUUUAAAAAGCUGUACACUUAAAAAUAAUUUACUAUAGCAAAUGUUUUUUUUUUUUUUUUUUUAAACCGUACAAGUAGUUUAAAACUUUUAACAAACAGUAAAAUUUUUUUUAAAAAUAAUCAAAAAGUUUUAUUGUAGCAAGAUUCAAACGUACACAGGAGAGUUAUAAAAAAAAAUUCACUGUAACAAUUAUUAUUAUUAUUUUUUUUAUGAAAUAGUUUUACUGUAGCAAAACUAAAAACUUAAAUUUACAGUAGCAACUAUUUUUUUUUUUUUAAAUAACAGUAGAAGUCAAAUAAAAAUUGCAAGUAAACUAUAUGCAAUUAGAAUUUGAAAAUGCUAAUCCCAACUUAAAUUAAUUUUGUAUGUCAAUCAUACAAGCAAGUUAUCAAACACAAAUUAUAUGCAAUAUACAUAAUUAUUAUUUUUCGGAUUAGCAUUUGUUAGAUUUUAAUCACAAUCAAAUUGGAAUACGCCUUAGAUUGUUGGAGAAAAACCGCAACGAAUAAUCCGAUUGUGACUAGAUCUAACAAAUUUAGUGAUGAAAUUAAUAAAAUCAACUUACCGAUAAUCGCUAAAUUCUAAAAUAUUGUAGAAGAAUAAUGACAAAUAAUUUGAUCCGGAAGCGUGCGAAGCACUGCCCUAAGGCGUAUUCCCGUCCUUCGUGCGGGAUUAACCGAAAACACUGUCCCAAGAUACGACCGGAACUCCUCCUCCUACGAGCACGAACGUAGAAGAGGUUGACGAAAACUUUUUCAACACCCAGCAAUAAAACGAUCAAAUGAAGUGGAUGAAAUUAGUAAAAAGAAAAUUAAAAUUAACUCUUAAAAAGCUAUCCUGUGAAGCUCUCACACAUUCAUUCAUUUACAUGUGUAUGAAGUGCUCUGUCCUCACAUCUUAAAAUACUAUGAACAUAAUUAGAACGUUGGGUCAAACGUUCUUCUUGAAACCGACUCGUGAUGGACGCGCGGACGUGCGCGGAGCGGUGCGCACAGGGAGCCGGUUCGCUCGCCACGCAAACCGAAACUUCUGCAAAAAUAAAUUCUUCAAUUAAUAAUGGAUUAAAUGAAAAACAUAAUAAAGAUUUUGAAUUUUAUUUUAUUAUCAACAGGCUGUUACCUUCCUUCAUCGGCAAGAUGAAUUACAUCUCUUAUUGUCGCUUCUUCUAUCACCGUUUUCUUUUUUUUUGUUGGCUAUUUUUUCUUCACUUAUCUACCCAAUUGCAUUACACUGGUUACUUCACUACUGCUACUUGAUGUGUGUAUGCUAGAAAGUUAUUUUCUUUCUAAAUUGUCAUUGAUAAAAUCAAUAUUAUAUAAAUAUAAGUUAUUUUUAGUAUUUUAAAUUUUAAAAACCAACACACAAUAAACAACGAAUUGUAGAAAGCUAAAACUAAAUGCCUAGUUGCCAAGUGCACAAUGUUGAUUUCAUUAAUAAAUUAACAUUCUAUAAGACCUUUGGGCGUUCAGAAAUAACGAAUAUUAAGAUAAAUUUUUUUAUCUCUAGAAUAAUUUAUUAUUCGAAAUAGUUAAAAAUAAAAGUACAAUUUUAUUUUAUUUGUAAUACUGCUAUUCUCAAGAAUAAUUUAAAUUGCAUUUUGGUUAUUUUAAUAGAAUAGUAGAGGAUAGUUGAAAAAAGUGAUGGUUGAAUUUGGUAUAAAAUAUAUUAUAAAAAUAAUUUAUUUCUUUCAAAUUCUACUUCAACAUUAAAUAUAAAAAAUUAUUUAUUAUAAUAUUUAAGUAUAAUAAAUAAGUACAAAUAUUACGUAUUCAUGUUGUAUAAUUAAAAAUUUUAUAAUAAAAAUAAUUUACUAUAAUAUAUAAUAUAUCAUAUAAUUUAUUUUAGUUCAAUUUAUAAUAUCAAUAAAGCUUAGAAGUAAAUUUUGGAAUAGCACUAUCUAUCCCAAGUUAUUCCAAAAUAAUCUCUAAUUGGGAAUAGCUAGGUUUGUCUGACAUAUUUUAUUCCGGUCAAAAAAUACCCCGAAAUAAUGGGAAUAACUUUUAUUAUAUUCACUUUAUUUCCGAACCAAACAGUGGAAAUAACUUUUGUUAUCUCCACUUUAUUCUCGAACCAAACAAGGUUGCGGUUUUACAAUACAUUUCCUUUUUCAAGUAAGAAUGCAAAUUCCACAUGCAAAAUUGACAAUAUUGCUAGAUGAAUACACCAUGAUUUGAAUCUUCAGUUUCUUGGGUUAGAUGUAAUAUAACCUAUACGGUAGAUAUUAAGACCCUGUUUGGUUCGGGGUAUAAGCAGGGAUAACCAAAGUUAUCCUUGAUAUUCCGUCAAAUGAGAUGAUUUGUAGCCGGGAUAUUUUAUUCCGAUCAACCUUGUUAUUCCCGGCUAUUCCGGAAUAUCUUGGAAUUUACUACUCCACCAUAUUGGUGGAAUAUAUAGUACUAUUCCAAUGUUUAAUUUCAAACUUUAUUAAAAUUAUAAAUUGAAUUAAAACUAAAUUAUAUAAAUAUAAUAUAUUAUAUAUAACAAUAUAUUAUUUUUAUUAUAAAAUUAUUAAUUGUACUAUAUUAAUAAAUAUUAUUUAUAUUUAAAUAUUAAAAUAAAUUUUAUAAUAAAUUAUAUUUAAAUUAUUAUAAUAACUUAUUUUCAUUAAAUUUAAGUUUAAGUAGAAUUUUCAAAAAAUUUAUAAAUUUAUUAAUAAUAAAAGUUUAUAAAUUUAUUAAAAAUUUAGUUUUAGCAAAUUUAUAAAUUUAUCAUAAUAAAUUAUUUUUAUUAAUUGUUCCCGCCCUAUGUCAUGCCCCGGGGUCCCUUUGAUUUUUAAAUUCAAUGCGGAAGUGCCCAAUUAUUAUUAUUUUUUUUUUGAAAGUCUUGACCCCAAGGGAUAUCAGAUUUGCCAUAAAUACAGGAAGCCCACUGUACACACGGACAGUGUCUCCUCUGUAUUUGUAUGGCGUCGCACAAAUACAAGAUACAACCACAGUAUAUAAACAACCAUAUAUAUAUAUAUAUAUAUAUAUAUAUAUAUAUAUAGAGAUAUAUUUAUAUACUUAUAUAUAUAUAUAUAUUAUAUAUAUAUAUUCACCACAUCACAGAGAUCCAUUCACAUUCAUUUCAUCACAAGAUUGCAAUACUUUGAUCAUGAAUCCACAUCUAUUAGUUUAAAACGUUUUCCAUCCGGAAACUCAUUUUGAAAUGCUAAAAUUAUGAAAACCGAAAAACUCUUUUUAAUACCGUUUCGCACACGGAAAUCUUUUCCUUUAAAAUGCUUACCACGAGGGGUAGAAAACCAUUUUCAAUAUUUUUACAUGAAAACCACGAGUACUUUCAUUAACUUCACAAAGCCAUGAACAUUUACUUAAAUGAAACCACUGAACCAUAAAGUGUCUAAGUUAUUUAAUUUCAAUAAGAAGGGAUAGAAAGUAGACCGAAUGUAACCGGGCCGAAAACUCUAUCGACCGCUACAUACGUGCCUCACGCACCGUCCUGACUCGGACCAGCAAUGUCACUUGAAAGGGUGGUAGGGGGGUGAGAACAUGUACACAUGUCUCCUCUCUUAGUGGGUACCGCAAGCCGACGAAGGCAAUGAGUACUCACCGGCAGAAAGAGAUCAACAAAGUCAUAGGUAGAUAUCACAGAUAUAGUAGCUAUAAUGCCGGAAGGAAAGGAAACAGUAAUAGAACAUGCAACUAUCGCUAUUGUAAAAUAGAACAAAAUGCAUACAUGGAUAUCAUAACUAUAGUAGCAAUGAUGCAGAGGUAAACAACAGUGCAAAGGAAUAUAACUAGCCGCUAUUGUAAUACAGAAUAAAGUGCGAGUAUGCAUCAACCGGACGAUUAGUCCCAAAUAUACCUAAUCAGAAACCUGGCAUGACGGUCCACAGACCUCAAGCCUGUGCCACUGCCCCUCUACCUGUAUAUGACCCAGACUAGGCCUCUGGACUCACAGGCUACAUAUAACCCAGACUAGGCCUCUGUGCUCACAGGUUGGCACGUCCAACCACUUUUAUGAAAAAGAACACCCUCUUGCGGUGGAUUAGACCGCUGGUGAUUGGGAAAUGCGAAUGAGUCUCGGGCGAUCUGUAGUACACUAAACUUUAGCAAAUUGCGAAGUUUGAGUGUUAGAAUAGUAAUUAGAGCUAUUUUAUAUCUUUUGAGAGGUUGUCAAGAGGUUUUCGGCAAGUUACUUGAGUGAUCAAAUGGCCGGAAGAGCAAAAGUGCAUUGAAGCGGCGAAAUUCUGCAUUUUGCACUGAGUACCAGUACCAACUUGCCCUAGUAUCGGUACCUAGCACAACAGCUGCAUGGAUUAAAGGGUUAUUUGGUAAUUUCACUCUAACCCUUAUCCUUUGACCCUCCUAGCUCGACCCCUGAGCCUGUUCUUAUUAGGAUUGAGCUGAAGAACAGGGUAAGACUUGCUCUCUCUCUCUCUCUCCAGGGUUUUGGGGUUUUUGUGAGUGGAAUUGAGGAUUUAAGCUUGUUUUUGUUAAGUCUUGUGUGUUGGCAAGUUUCAUGAAGUGAGUCGGAGUCUUGAUGGAUCGGUGCGGAUCAUCAAAGAUUGAAGAAUUCAAGACUUCGAGGAAAGUGGAAAUAACUCACGACGUGAAUCACGAUGCUCAGGUAAAGUUUUAAUUCAUGUUAUGGUGAUUCAUACUUAAUUGUAGGCACUAGAAUCAUAUACUCAAAGUUUAUUGGAUUAGAAAGUGCAUCGGAACUUGCGAAACUCAAAACUGUGGAAAAAUGAGGAAAAUGCAAAGUGUACCGGUACAGUAUUGAAAGUGUACCGGUACAAAUUGUGUUCCAGUAAAACCAGCGACUUGUCACCGGUUAUAGCGUUUCACAGGUUUUCUCUUCCGUCAUCGUGUAACCGGUAACAGCUUAAAAGUGUACCGGUACACAAUGUAAAAAUCUAAAAAUAUUUCAAAUCCGACUCUAAUUGAUUUUAAAGUCUAUAAAUAAGCUAUUGGGGUUCUCUAACAGAUAAAGGAUCAUAAGAAUACAUAUUUGAGAAACCCUAGAGGCUAGGAUUUCGUUCAUAACCUAUUUUCUUCAUAAUAACCUCUUUUAGGUCAAAUCGAGAGAUUGUAAUUUGAUAUCAAUUUGUCGAUUUGAUCUACUCUUCGCUUGGAGUUCUCUUCCCUGGUUUUCAUCGAUACUCUAAGCGAAGGAUGACCAUACACAUGAUGUUCUUCAUUGAUGGUGUCGUGGAUUCGGCGUGAUUGAAGGUGGUUCGUGGAUUCGGAUCGUGAGCUCGUGGAUUCAAGUGGCGUUCGUGGAUUCAGACGUGUACGAGGCGUUCAUGGAUUCAAACAUGAGGGCGUGGACAACCCGGAGGAUUGUGUGAGAUUCGUAAGAGGUUAAGAGAGGUCGAGUCCGUAGAGUCGAUAAUCACCUUGUAAUCUUUUCUCUUAGUGAAUUAUUUUUUCGCGUGUUGGUCCCGUGGGUUUUUCUCCAAGUUGGAGUUUUCCCACGUAAAUAUUGGUGUAAUUUUUAUUUUCCGCAUUUACUUUUAUUGCAUUGAGAUUUGUGAUUUUUGACUGUUACACCUAUUCACCCCCCUCUAGGUGUUGGAUACAAUUUAGAUAGAUCCUUAGGCACUCCAAAACUUUCAAUUGGUAUCAGAGCGGGAUCUAGAUAAAUUGCUAUCUAAUGGCCGAAGGCGGUAACAUUAAUCGACCAUCACUCUUCGAUGGCAUGAAUUAUGCCUAUUGAAAAAUUCGCAUGAGAGCUUUUCUAAUUCCAAUCGAUGAGCGAGUUUGGCAAUUUAUUGAAUUCGGAUGGAAACAUCCAACCAAAGUCGUCGAUAAUGCUACCGUUCCUAAACCGCGAAACAAGUGGAUGAAAGAUGAAAACGAGUCAUCUUCAUUUAAUGGCAAGGGCACAAACGCUUUAUUUAAUGCUUUGUCACAAACAGAGUUUACUCGCGUUUCGGCGUGUAAUACCGCCAAGAAAAUUUGGGAUACUCUACAAGUUACGCAUGAAGGAACUAGCUUGGUAAAGGUUCAAAAAUUACAAAUGUUGACAAGCAAAUUUGACUCGAUUUUAAUGGAAGAAAAUGAGACCUUUACUGAGUACUAUACUCGACUUCAAGACGUUGUUAAUACAUGCGCUAACUUGGGAGAGAAAAUUCCGGAUUCUAAUAUUGUUUGAAAAAUUCUUCGGACUCUUCCGGAACGCUUUUGGGCAAAAGUUGCCGCAAUCGAAACCGUAAAGCAUCCGGACGAGAUGAAAGUCCAAGAGUUAGUAAGUGCUUUGCAAAUUUAUGAGAUGACUUUUUAUACUAACCAAUCUUCUUCCAAGUCUUCUUCUAAAAGUACGGGGGUUGCACUCAAAUCGACAAAGAAAGAAGACGGCGACUCGGAUUUCGACGGAGAUAUUUCGCUCACCAAUUUCGAACAUCAAUUAGCGCUCCUAACGAAGAAGUUCCGACGAAAUUUUCGGAAGAAUAAAUUGGACAAGGCUUCAUCGUCUAAGCAACAAUCUUUUUCUAAAUCAUCUUCAUCUUCUAAAUCUAAGGAUAAAAACUUUGCAAAGUCUUCGAAAGAAAAAAAUGAAUUUGAAGGGAAAAUCCAAUGUUACAAGUGUAGAAGCUACGGUCAUAUUGCAACGGAUUGUCCCUCUAAGAAAUCAUAUACAAAGAAGGCUUUGCAAGCUAAAACUUGGGAUGAUUCAUCUUCAAGUGAAUUAAGUUCAAGUGACGAAGAAAAGAAUGAUCAUAUUGCUUUAAUUGCUAAUAAUUCUUUGUCUUUAUCGAAUGUUAUGUGUUUAUCCUCUAUUGUUACGAACUCUAGUGUUUCGCCUUCCUUACAUGGGUCUUCGAACGACAAUGGAGAAAGCGAGGAGGAAUCAAACAACGAGGAUAUAGCGGAAGCGUAUCAUCAACUCCUCGUUGAAUCCAAAAAGAUGGCGAAGCACAAUAAAAAAUUGAGGAAGCGUCUACUUGAACUUGAAGAAGAAAACAACAAGUUGAAGACAAUGAAGAAAGCUAUCGAGGAGGAAAGGGAAUCAAAUUUGAAAGAUCGUUCAAUCCUCCAAGAGAAGCUUGAUGAAGCGGAAUCAACGAUCAAAUCCUAUAAAGAUAAAGUUGGAUUUUUGGAGCAACAAUUUGAGGAAUCGUACACAUCUAACAAGUCCUUGACCGAUCAAGUUCGUCAACUCCAAUCCGAUAUUCAAAAAUUUUCUUCGGGAUCGAAGAAAUUGGAUCAUAUGCUCGGAUUGGGUCAAACGAACAAGGUAGGACUCGGAUACAAAAGGACUUACGUUGAGAAGGAUUCAAAAUCAACUCCUAAAAUCUCAACAAAUUCAGAUGAAAAGGUGUGUCAUCGAUGUGGCAUCAAAGGACACAUCAAAAAAAGUUGCCCGAACAAGACAAAGAAGAAUCAAUCGGCAACUUCUAAUCGUCAAGUGGCACCCUCUACAACUCGACUUCCCCCACGGAAUCAAAAGAAAAAUCAAGUUCGUCGAGUACCACAAGCAAAUCGGAUUCCUAAUGCGCAAUGUGAAGUCCGAACGAAGCCUCAAGAGAACCGGAAUUCUAAAUCUCACCGGCAACUUCAGUUGAAGUCACCUACAAUGAAGCAAUCUACGAUGGAUCAAAAAUCAAAGCAAACUGUACCAAAUGUCGACAACCCAAGACAACCUACUAUCCAACAAGUGUGGAUCCGGAAAGGUGAUAUCUUUCCUUGUUCUUUGUCUUAAGUUUGUUUUGAUUGAUUAUGUAAUGCUUUGUUUUGUGCUUAUUGCAUAUUUGUAUUCAUUGCAUUACAUGUUUGGACGAUUUUUGGUGCUUGAAUUUAUUUGUUUAAAAAUCGUUUUGAGGAAAGGUGUUUGGGAGAUUAAAAACUUUCUUUGAAAAAGGAGAUGAUUGAAAAUCAUUAUUUUGGGGAGAUUAAACUUUUCAAAGUGCUUUAAACGGUAUUUAACUUCACAUUCAUAUUAUGUUAAAUUCAUAUUAAUUAUCGGUUUUACUCCACUUUUUAUUAUUUUGACGAUAAUUUAUUAUAUGAAUUCUUAAUACAUAUAGUCAACAAAAUUUUGAAAUAAAAUUUGAUCUCUUGGUGAUUAAUUCAUCUUGAUUGUGUGUGUUGGAUAUGAUGGAUGGAUAUUCGCUAAUAGACCAAAAUUUGUCAAAAUUAUUUUCAAUUGUGAGAUUGUCUAAUUUAGGGGGAGUUUGAAGUAUUUAAAAAAAAAAAAAGAAAAAGAAAAAAAAACUCCUAUGUUUAAAAGAUGUGAAAAGAGUUACAUCUAAAAUGAGUGUGAAAACUACCACCACGUGUAGGAAAGAGCUACCACCCUGAUCGUCCGGUAAGUGUAUGAAGCUACCACAUGACAAAUUUUUUUGAAUAAUCGAAAAUGUUUGAAAAAUUGAAUAUGUUAGGUUUUUCGGUGUUAUAAGGUGGUAGGAUGAAAAUAUGCUCAAUAUAACGUAUCGAAAUCCGGAAGAAAUUGUCGAACUUUAGCCAAAUUGGUUAAAGUUGUCGAAGGAAAAGUUGGACAAGUUCCAAUUGGCAUUCCAACAAUUUUGGAAGGGCUAAAAAUGAGUUUAAGAGCUGUUAGAAAGAUUUUAGCAUCGAACGUCGCAAAACUGCAUUCUGGAGCAAAGUGCACCGGUACAACCAGCGAGUUGUCACCGGUACAGCCCUGCAGCCCGAGAAGAGUAAGCUCUCGGGUUUGAGAAAAAUUGGGCCAUGUGAAACAAGACAGUGGCCAAUGUGCUAAUGCGUCUCUCGUUGGGCUCUCGAAUGAGCUGAGCCGACGACUCGAUAUCUCGAGUGAGCCGAAUCGACGACCUGUCAUCUCGAAUGAGCCGAGCCGUUAAAAACAGUCANCGUGAGUGUGUUACCGGUAACACCUCUGGUGUGUACCGGUACACUUUGGUAAAACCCGAAUAGCAGCUCUUGGGUUGUCUCUGCGUGAUCGUGUUACCGGUUACACCCCAAGUGUACCGGUACACUUUGGGCUGACAGCACAGAAAUAAUCUGCUACAAUUUUGGAGGGUUGGGGGGUUUUGUGGCUAUUGUUACACACUAUAAAAUAACCCAACCCUCUCCCCCUCACAACAAAAUAGAAAUCCUCCUCUUCUCUUUCAUUUUCUCUCCCUUUCUCUCUAGAGACUCUCCACCAAGGCUAGAGGUGGUGAGUUGGAGGAGUUUUAGAGGUGAUUUUGGAGGAUUAGAGGACCUAGAAGCUCUCAUACAAGGUGGAUUUGGAGGAGCUUGGGCUAAGGUAAGCUCUCAUGCAAGGAUACAUCUAGGGUUUGGAUUUCUACCCUAAGAUCUAGAGUUUUGAUCUUCUUGCAAGCUUUAGAACAUUGUAGAGACUUAGAAACACAUGAAAUCCAUGGUUUCUUUAAGGUGCUCUAAUAGUGGAUUUUUAGGGUUUGUUCUAAACACCCUAAGAAUGGUUCAAAUGGUUUAUAAAUGGUAUUAGAGAGUUUCCUAGGUGAUUCUAAACUAAUCUUUGCUUAGGGAUGAGAUCAAUCUAGGGAAAUGGCAAGACGACAUUGUCAGGGCACCAAAAUUUGGAGCUUUUGUCGUAGAUGGGUUUAAAUGUAAAUUGACCCUAUGUAAACCUAAUUGAAGGUAUUUCGGACGCGUUGGUGAAGUCGGUUCGACGAUUCGUCGAGCCUACGCGAAGUUAUUGAAGAAACAGAUCAUUAAAGCUUCGUUUUCUCCUGGAGGGCCGAGGCGACGUCCUAAAAUCAUGAAAACGGAAUCGUGAGCUUGUGGCAACUAACCGUAAACCUUUAAUUUUCGGAUCGUGAAUUGGAGGCCGUUCGGGUGAUCGCGUGAGAGUUCGGGCCGAACCGGGUCACGGGUGCCUCGGGAGGCCGAUUACAAGUGACUACCAGCAAUCGGAGAGUAAGUUAAGGUGGGUUGUAUUUACCGAAGUGACUAGGUCGCCUGUAUGUCUAAGAUGAGUGUUUAUCAUUGAUGCAUAUUAUGGUAGCUAGUGGUAGAAUGUAUAAAUACAUGAAAUGAAUACUAUAUGGGCCACCAAAUAGUGCAGGAUAACAUAGUGUGAAUAAUGCUAGUGGAAAGCAUAAAGUAAAUGACAUAUGUGUGUUGACGUAUAGAGAACUAUGUUAAAUGACAUGUGCAUGUGGACAUAUAUAUAUAUAUAUAUCGAGUGGCAUUGAACCUAGUGUCAAGGACAUAGGUUGAGUAAGAGUAAUAUUGAACCUAGUGUUAAUAAACAUAGGUUAAACAAGUGUGGCACCGAACCUAGUGUUAAUAAACAUAGGUCGAACAAGAGUGGCAUCAAACCUAAUAUUAGAGAGCAUAGGUUGAGAUUAAACCUAGAAUUAAGUCAACCUAGGUUGUGAGAUAAAGAUAGUGAACCUAGAGUUAAAGUAACUUAGGUUAUGUGAUAAAAGUGUUAAACCUAGAGUCAAGUGGACCUAGGAUGGAAAGGAUGAUGGACCUAGAUAGGUGGAUACUAUGGGGUUAAGACCAACCCCUGAGUUAUAUGAAAUGGAUUCCGGAAUCCCAGAGCUUAUGGAUCACACCCAGAGUGGUGUUGGGCGUGUGAGACGAUUUCGCCGCCCGGGGCUAAACCAUUGACGUGGCGUGUGCAACGAUUUCGCCGUCGGAUGGUUAAGCUGGUUUGUGGAUUAGGCCGCCAGGUUUGACUUGAGCCAUUGUUGGGUGAGGUGCGAUUAGUUCACCGCCAGAUGGCUAAGUCAAGGGACUUGAACCAGUGUUUGGCGUGUGCGACGAUUUCGCCGCUAGCUGGCUAGGUCAGAGAGGGCGGUAGGCUAAUGAGCAGCUAGAGCGCGGAUUAUCUGCAGUUGAUUGACUUAAGACUGAGUCGGGUAGCAUAGAUGGCUAAGGUAAAGGUAACCUUAUGAAAGAAUCGCCAAUGACCAUAGUGUGGCAAGGAAAUAAAGUAGAGAACGACUAAUGAAUAACAAUAGCUAGUAAAAGUAAAGAAUGGCUACAAGUAAAGAAUGGCUAAGAAUAUAAGGUAGAAUCAAUUUAUCUACUUGCAUGAGUUACAGGAUUUGCAUAUUGCAUAUUGUGAGGCAUAGCAUGUUUUUCCUUAUUUGUAUAUAUCUGUUGGACUAACAUGUUACAGUGCCUCCUUGGACUUAUUGGUCGAGCUUUUUCCUUGGGUGGCCGUACCCACUGGGAAUCAUGGAGUUGGUUUUCACCCCACGUUAUUUUGGGGUGUUAUAGGUUUGCACGUGAGCGGCGCGGUGGCGCGAGGCAAGGGCGUAGCUUCGUAGAUAGCGGCCCUACCUCCGAAACUGAGAUAGCGGUACCCCGAGGUGGUCUAGCUUAGGGGUUUGAAGACAAAGAAACAAACUUGUAAUAAAUUGGUAAAAGAGUUUGAUUGUAUUGGAAGUCGAAUGUAAAAGUAAUUGUGAUGUAAAAUUCACCUAACAUGAAUGCUGUAAUAACUUAGUUGUUUUAUGUUUCGAUACUUCCUUAUGCAAUUUUUGGUUGAAUUCGGUUCCUGGUUGGAACAUCGUGAAUUGUAUCGAUUGCGACGCCUUGGACGUACAGGGGAGACUCUGUCCGCGGUACAGGAAAACCCUGUCCGUUCGGCGGUCUGUUGGCGUGCCCGAACCCAACCAAAUAAGCGGGGCACGGGGCGUGACAGUCAAAGAGCCACCCCCGGUGUCAUAUUAGUUAAAUCUCUAUUUUGAACGACUUGCGACAAAUGGAAGUCAAUUUUGCCGAAUUUCUAAAAAUUAUUUUUCAUUAACCGUUACAUCUGGAUGAUUUUGAAACACUAGAUUAUUUUUUAUUUCCAAAUUUUGAUGUUUCGAUGUAGUUUGAAAUCCUAUAAUAUUUUAUCUUCAUCAGAAUGAUUUUUGGAGUACAAUCUUUAAUUUUUAUGAAAUUAAUUAGAUUUUGAAGGAUUUUUGAAGGAAAAAUUCACAAUUUUCGAAAUCUGGCAAAGUGUAUCGGUACAAAAUACCGUAUACCAGUACAAAUUACUGUAGACCGUGUUAUUAUAACCGGUUACAGCAUUCGGUUUUUCCCCGAAACACAAUCAAAACUUCUCCUCUCUCUCUCUAAAAAGCCCCAGCAACCUUCUCCUCCAGAUCCAAGUGUUUUUCCCAAAGAUUUGUAAGUAUUUUGCUAAAAUUUGAAGAUCUAAUCCCGGUUUUUGCUAUUUUUUCGAAAAAUUUCGAGUUAAAGCAUGAUCUCUGUUUUAAUUCAUUUUUUAUGCAAUUUUUUUGCUGUGAAUCAGUGUUUAGACAUAUAUUCUUACUUCUAGAACACUUAGAUUAGGUUAUAAUGCUAUAUUUUUUGCUGAUCUAUUAUCCGUACCUCUAUAUACCUGGAAUUUCGUGAUUUUUUAUGAAAAUCAAUUUUUGAUGAAAAUUUUUGCAUGAUUUAGUUAGAAAUAGAAUUGUUAUUCAUUCUAAUAUUAUUAGAAAUUUUUAUGCUAUUUUUACAGAAUUUUUUGAAUUUUCUUCAUGCAAGGCUCAUUUUUUUAUGUAGGAAAAAUGGCGUUCUCGUUCGUGGUGCUGCUGUUGGUGCUAAUGGCCACUGGUCGUGGUCGAGGACGUGGUCGAGGCCAUCGAGGGGCCUCCAAGAGGACUCGUACUGCAGGCGAGUCGUCCGGGGCUGAUCCAGAUUACCAAGCGAGCUCUCCGGAGGAUACUGAAGAACCGAUUGCUCCAACUGACAAAGGGAAAGGCAUAGCUGGAGAAUCAUCACGCGGAGGUGGCUCUCGUGCAUGAGAGAGUCACUCAAAGCAAGCCGCGGAUGUUCCACCGGAGCGGCGGAGGACGUUCUCGAGCAGGUCAUGCAUUGCAGAGAGAUAUGUCAACUUCAACGAACUCAUCCAGGAGGUUCCAGAGUUUGGACGGUUAUUCCACUGUCGACUGGUGCUACUGACGUUGGAGGAUUUGGAGUUGGAGCAGACGAUGAUGAUGAUGAUGAUGAGGACACCGAGUGACGUCAUCUUCGAGCUUUGUUUUUCUACUUUGCUUAUUAGGAUGAUGUUUUAGUUUUUGCUUUGCUUAUCUUUGCAUUUUCUUUAGGCCUGUAUCUAUGACAUGACUACUCUUAUGUUUUCUAGUUGAUUUUCUCUCUAUAUACUUUCUUUUGACAAUUUUUGACAAAAAGGGGGAGAUCAUAGAUGAACAGGUAUUGAUCGAAGCAGGGGAAAAAGAACUCAUCAACAAAGGGGGAGAAGUGAUCGAGGACAAUGAUAAUGAGAUAAUGACAUUGAAAGGUAUAAAAGUCCAAUGGUUUCAAAUUAAGAUAUCAUCUUUGGAUAAAUUGUUUUGCAGGAAAUCAAGACUUCAAGACUCUUAGUUGCAUCUAAGUCAUAGAGUCUGUUUUAGGAGUUUUGAUAUAUUUUUGAGUUUCAUAUUAAUAUUGUAUUUGGACUACAUGCGAGGUGUUCAAUGUUUUGGUGAUAACAAUUGAACUUCGAUUCUUAUUAUGUAAUUUUGAGUUUGUGAGUUUUGUCACGAAAUUGCCAAAGGGAGAGAUUGUUAAGUCUUGUGUGUUGGCAAGUUUCGUGAAGUGAGUCGGAGUCUUGAAGGAUCGGUGCGGAUCAUCGAAGAUUGAAGAAUUCAAGACUUCGAGGAAAGUGGAAAUAACUCAUGACGUGAAUCACGAUGCUCAGGUAAAGUUUUAAUUCAUGUUAUAGUGAUUCAUACUUAGUUAUAGGCAUUAGAAUUAUAAACUCAAAGUUUACUAGAUUAGAAAGUGCAUCGGAACUUUGCGAAACUCAAAACUGUGGAAAAAUCAGGAAAAUGCAAAGUGUACCGGUACAACAUUGAAAGUGUACCGGUACAAAUUGUGUUCCGGUACAACCAGCGACUUGUCAUCGGUUAUAGCGUUUCGCAGGUUUUCUCUUCCAUCAUCGUGUAACCGGUAACAGCUUAAAAGUGUACCGGUACACAAUGUAAAAAUCUGAAAAGAUUUUCAAUCCGACUCUAAUUGAUUCUAAAGUCUAUAAAUAAGCUAUUGGGGUUCUCUAACAGAUAAAGGAUCAUAAGAAUACAUGUUUGAGAAACCCUAGAGGCUAGGAUUUCGUUCAUAACCUAUUUCCUUCAUAAUAGCCUCUUUUAGGUCAAAUCGAGAUAUUGUAAUUUGAUAUCAAUAUGUCGAUUUGAUCUACUUUUUGCUUGGAGUUCUCUUCCCUGGUUUUCAUCGAUACUCUAAGCGAAGGAUCACCGUACACAUGAUGUUCUUCAUCGAUGGCGUCGUGGAUUCGGCGUGAUUGAAGGCGGUUCGUGGAUUCGGAUCGUGAGCUCGUAGAUUCGAGUGGCGUUCGUGGAUUCAGACGUGUACUAGGUGUUCGUGGAUUCGAACGUGAGGGCAUGGACAACCCGGAGGAUUGCACAAGGUUCGUAAGAGGUUAAGAAAGGUCGAGUCCGUGGAGUCGGUAAUCACCUUGUAAUCUUUUCUCUUAGUGAAUUAUUUUUUUUGCGUGUUGGUCCCGUGGAUUUUUUUCCAAGUUGGAGUUUUUUCACGUAAAUCUUGGUGUGAUUUUUAUUUUCCGCAUUUUCUUUUAUUGCAUCGAGAUUUGUGAUUUUUGGUCGUUACACCUAUUCACCCCCCUCUAAGUGUUGGAUAUAAUCUAGAUAGAUCCUUGGGCACCCCAAAACUUUCAGUUUUCCUCUCCUCUCUUGGUGCUUGCUAGUUUGGAAGGUGUGGAGCAGCUGUGGAAGAGUGGAAAAGGAGUCUUGGGAGAGGUAUUUCGUAACCCUAACUCAGUAGGAAACUGAGUUGAAGUUUGGUAAGGUAAGCUAUUCAACUUCUUUUUAGUUGAUGCUAUAGUAGUGUAGUUGAUGUUGGUUCUUUGUUCCUUAUUACCAGCUGGUUUGGGAAGGUUUAAAACAGCUAUAGAGGAGUUGUUUUGUUGAGAUUCUUCAACCUAAAACCAGGGAAAAGCUAAGUUGAAGCUUUAGAAGGUGAUUAGCUAACUUCUCUCUUGAGUUGAUGCUAUAAUAGUUGUAGUAGUAAAAGUAGUGGUGCUGUUUUUGGUGUUUGCUCACAGCAGGGUUGUGAACCACUUUGGAUGAGUUUGAGUUGUCCAUGUAGAUCAGUUUUGGUGUACUUCAACUUGAGUUGGAGCUGUGUAAGGUGAACAAUCUAACUCCUUUAUAGUUUUGAUGUGUUGAUAGUAGUAUAAAGGGGUUUAUGGUCUAUGUUCGCAGCAGGUUCGCAGCAGGUUCGCAGCAAGUUUGAUGAUCACCUUGAGCUAAGUUUGGGGUGAUUCUUGAAGGCUGGAUUUGGUGUGUUCCAACCUGAAGUGGAGUGGAGUUUAAGUUUGGAUUCUAAUCGAAGUGAGAUUCUAGCCUUAAUUAUGUGAUUAUGUGAGGUUUUAUGUGAAAGCUUGGUGAAGCUCCUAGCUGAUUUUAGAAUACUUACCAGGGUGCUUGGAGGCUUCGAAUUACCUUCGUUGGAGGAAUCGACGAGAGUCGACAGCGAUUUGGUGGGUUUGACUUUACCAUAAUAGGUGAAUUCCCUCUAUAUCUUCUUGGACAUUAGGAAAUUGGAAUUGUUGCAUAUUCAUGUGAAUUUAUGUAUAAUUGAAUGAAAUGGGGCAUGCAUCAAUAUGCAUCUUAUAUUGAGCAUAAUGGAACCUCUAUGGAGUAGAUGAAAGAUUAUAAAAUUGCUUAGCCUACAUAGAUUGUUUGCUCGGUUAAUAUGUAUCCAUGACAUUAGUAAACUUUUGUAGACAAGUUAAGUAUGACAUCAUUCAAUAGGGUAUAGCCGUAAAGCUAUGAAUAUGACAUUUGGACAACUAAGUGAAUGAUGUAUUAUGAUGUUGUAUCUUUGAGUUAACUCAUGCGGUUUCAUGUGUUAGACAUGAUGACAGGACUUCUAGCAUAUUAUAUAUAUAAUGGAGUUACAUAAGUAUACAUUCAUAUUGUGGAAUGGCUUGUGUAGAGAUCAUGCGUAAAGUAUCUUAUAUGAUGUUUUGCCUACUUUUGUUAAUAAGUGAUUAUCGUUUUCAUAUAGCAGAAAUGGCAUGAAUUUGACGUUCUUACAUUUAACCUAGUUGGGUAACUAUAUACUAUUGAAUAGAAUCUAGUUAAAUAACUAGAAUUGGAUAUGAGGAUAUACAUGUGUAGUCAAGUAGAAGUAAUUACAUAUUACUUGUUUACUCUCAGUAGUGGAGGUUUAUGUAGAACUAUAGAAUAUGUGUCAUGAGUUAUUUGAACACCAGAAUGAGUCAUUGGAUAUGACCUUGGUAAACCACUUUCCUUAAGUAUAAGGAGUAGUGAGAGGACUAUAUGUGAGUAUGCGGGUAUAGCCCGUUAGAAUCAUCUAUAUGAUGUAAACCAUAUACUUGUUUAAGUCAUACUAACUAUUGAUAGAAUUGUGUCACCAAGUAGUUAAUAGUGGAAUUUGAUUUAUUGUUAAUUGUUGACCUUGUGUCAAAAAGGAAUUCCAUGUUAGAGACAUGAUGAACUUGUGAAUGCUAUACUAUGAGUUAAGCUUGCUUGCCAAUAUGCUCAUUCGCACAUGCUUGUGAGGGUCGCGCCCCACAAGCCGGCACUCCGGAGUUGGCCUAUGUGACAGAUUGCUCGCUUAUGUACGAGACUGAGCACCGAAUUGGAUUGCCGUGGGUAGUGUUGACUUCCACGGGCCAUUAGGCACGACACUAGCUUGGACUUUACCAUGAGUAAGUCUCCUGUUAAUUGGGUUACUACAGUGAACUUAGACCUAGAUAGACCUAGUAGUAAAAGUACUUUAUGUCAGUAGUUGAGAUAUACCUAGUAAUGAACAUACUAGAUGGUUGGCAUUUCUGUUAGUCAUUAGUUGUAAUGACAUUACCUGUAGGAUUACACUCCGAUUAGUAUAGGAAGGUAGCUGCAUGUUGUUAUUAUCUUGUUGAACUACGAUCAUAGAAUCCUACUUUAAUUGGCAUAUAGUUAAAGAUGAGCAAAUUGGUAGCUACAUGACAUACAGAAUUGGUAUACAUGAUAAGUACUAUAUAAUACAUGUUAGAAAGCAUAUCUUGUUGAGGCAUGUUAUAAUUGAAUGAUUUCAUUUACUUAUUGCAUUUACUUCUCGCACCUAUUAUAGUUUUAUUCAUGCCUCAGUUGACUUAGUGGUGUACUUCGCCACUCUCGGCGGCUUACCCACUAGGAACUAUUAUUUAAUAGUUCUCACGCCCUUUUGUUGGUUGUUUUUGUGCAGAGCCUUCCACAACGGGAAAGGUUAGGGUUCCUAGCAAGGGGUUAGUGGCUAGCUAGAGCCUCCUCGAUGUUAAAUAGAUGGAACCGUACCAGCUUUUCUAGUUUAGUUUAGUAUCGUAUAUUGGAACUAUGUAGAAUGUAUUUUGUACUUUGGUUUUAAGCUGUAAUAGGGUUUUGUGGUUGUAUAAGCUUAUGAACUUUUAGUUUUGCUCUGAUUACCUAAUUAGAAUACUAUGCUUUUGCUAUGUUGAUUGUAGACGCCUGGUGUACACUUAAGGUUGUGGUGUACACGGCGGGACUGUGCACGUGACUGGUGAGCUUUCGCUGAAGUCCAGGGCAUGACACAAUCAAUACUGAUAUGCUCAAUAGCCAACCAUCGGCAACUAGCCGACAAUCUUACCCCUCAGGGUAUGUUGACCGUAUAGGAGUAUCGACCACUCAGGCCAACUAGGAUGGAACAAUUCAACAUCCUUCCGAAGAUAUGAAAGUAUCGACCACUCAAUGUCAACUAACAGAUAUGCACAAGAACCGACAAAUAGGUCACAAUACGAGAUACAAGAAACCGACCGACUAGGUCACGAGAAUGUCAAAUCAUGGAUCAAUGUAAUCUAUAAUCAUCCUUCGGCAACUAGCAGACAAUCCUACCCCUCAGGGUAUACCAACCUCAUCGAUCAUCAAACAACAGGAGUCACAGAACCAAUCGAAUAGGUCACUACAUAUAGUCCACUCUACUUCUAAAUCAUGAUGAUAAAUACGAAAAGUAACCAAGUAGAGCAGUAAGUACGAAGUCAAAGGGUGCUAGUCUCAUAACAUGAUAUGCAAGGUAAUAAAAAGAGGGUGGAGAGAACGUCACCGAGCAUGUACCACUGUACCGACUUCAGAUCGAAGUACCCACCCGUACGUAUAUGGCACUGGUCUCUUGACUGCGGAAAAAGUAUCAACCGGACCUACGAAGGGUCCACCGGGUUAGUAUUCAACCCACACAAAUGAAACACUAACUCACAGUCCAAUCUAUAACCCAUAGGAAUCGGUUUCCCAAAACCGAUUACCGUAACUCGCCGGAAGUCCCGAAAAUUGCACCGGGACAUCGUCGGGACCCCGAAAUGUCCCGGGACUCACCGACUCGUGCCACAAGUCACCCGCUGCCACCCAACACAAUAAUUUGUGUGACCUGGCAGAAAACACAAGAUCACACCUCCAAACAAUUAUCGUCGGAUAAUCGUUCGAAUCCGGGUUCUCGGAAGUGUCUAUUUCGACACCGUAACCCACCAUUGCCCACCCGUCAUCUCCAAACUCAUGAGAUGACUAUUGUGACCAGCCAACAAGGCUCGGCGACAAAACAUAACUCGCCUUAGCACUGUCGGAAGAAAUUCGAACUGAAACCGCGUUCCGUUGGCGAAUUUCGCCAAAAAACGCAUCGAAAAUCGAUACCCGAUUUUCGUAAAAGCCUCGAACCUUGGACAACCAGUCCAGAGGUCACCCGCUGCCCACACACACUUCCCACAGGAGCCACGAAGCAUAAAUUGUAUAAAAGUCCCAGUGAUCACCUAAAAUCACAUUAUUUUAUGUGAUUUUCAGGGUUUUUACGGCCUGAUAGCGCAAAUCGAGGAUUUUCAAGCCUUGCCGAGACACACGCUGAUAGCUCUCGAUGUGCUGGAGGUCGUGCUCAUGAUUCGGAGCAUGGCCGUCCACUGUGGGAGGCGUGGGAGCUACUAGAAGUUCAGCAAACACUGCGCGCUGAGACUAAAACACGUCUAAUUCUGCAAUCUGGGGUUCGUUGACCCUAAACGAGGCGAGCACUGUGAUCAGCACUAACCAACGAUCACCAUACGCACCUCCGAGGACGUCGGAACAGUCUCGGGUCGUCAGAACAAAGAUCCGAAAAGGAAACAGUGUGCAGACAGCUUACUAAAAGCAUACCGGGCAAGGUGGGGCUAGGGCACGGUCGGCGGCGGCCCGGCGGUGGGAGGACUGGUGGCAGGCGGGCGCUGGCAACGUAGGGAGGCCAGGGCACGUGUCGGCUGGCGACGGAAGACGGUGGCGGUGGCCGACAAUGAUGCCCUAGCCGCGCGGUUUGAUGGAGAGCUUGGCUUCAGCUCGGCCGGUAGGGGCCUCCGCCGGCGGGAUCGCCGGCAGCAACCGGGUGCGGCCGACCGGGAAGGACCGGCGCUUACGCCGGCCGGCGGCGGGAGGCGGCGGUAGUGGCGUUAGGAGAAGCUGAGCCCGCACGGCCCUAUCUCGAGCUCAUAUUGCUUCUCCAGCCACGGCAAUGGCCGGAGCGGGCAAGGGAGGGGCGCGGCCUUCACCUGGAGCCCAGAGGAGGAAGCGGAGACGGCGGUCGGCAAUUGAGAAGGCGGCGCGGCCAGGCUCGGCCGUACCAGCCCGAGCUAGCAGCGUGCCGCAGUAUCCGCGACGGUGGAGCUCGGGGGCGGCUGUGGCCGCUCGGGGGAAGUCGACAAAGGUCAAGGCGCAGAAGGAGAGCCCAAGGUGUGGGAUCACCUGCCUAGCUCUCAAGUAGAGAGGGGGAUGGGUUGGUGGCAAAUGUGAGUGGGAGAGAGGGAAAAGGUUGGUCGAGGAGCUGGUUGGUCGACCGGAGCUCAGUCGAAGGUGGCCGGGGAGCGCGCGGCACACGAGGUUAGUGAGGAGCGGCGGCUGGGAGUCUGAUGGAGCUAGGGCAAGGGUUUUCUUGGAAGAAAACCCUAGUUAGCUCAAUAUAUAAAUGGCGACAACUUGCAGUUUAACCCACCAAAGAUUGAUAUUUUCAACUGAGUCCCUCACGGCACGAGUAAAUCGCGCGGAUAUACCUCCAUGCCAAAUUUCACGUAAAACGGUAUAUAAAAUAUAGGGUGUUUUGCAAAAUUACCAUUUUGCCACUUAUGACCCCUCCUCGAUCAAAGUGCGAUAUCAGGAGAUCCGUCCGUCAUAUUUGCGAACGGAUCGCACCAAUGCGAUCAGAACGACUGAGACAUCAAACUCACUAUUUUGUUUCACCAAGUUCAGUCGCGGAUUUGUGACGAAACCCAUUCUCUCUCCAAUAAGAAAAACCACACACAAAUACAUAGAAUAUAUGUGUAUAUAGUUUUCUCGAAAUCUCUGCGUCAAACCUGAAAUCCGUCAGCGCCACUAGAUCCAAGACAGUCAAACCAUUGAAAAUGAGCUAUUGGAUCACUAUGAACGGAGUCUGAUAUGCACCAGAAGCCAUCUCCACUGAUCGGCCUCUCCGGAAAAUUGGAGUUAUUCACUUUAAGUGAUUAGUAAUGAUCGCGUAACUUCUCCAUUCUAACUCGUUUUCUCCUGAAACUUGACGAAUGCUUAUGUAAUUAAAUUACACACGAAAACAUCUUCAACAACGAGUUUAGCUACAUUGUCAAAUUUUCAGUACUCAUAUUAUCCUCCCCUUAAAGGAAGUUUCGUCUCCGAAACUUCACUAUGCACCGGCCGUAAUCAAAUUUGGAUACCAAACUGCUAUUUUGGUUCCUCCUUCAAGUUUUAAUGAUACUCCCAAUUCAAAAUCUUUUAGCCUUGAAUCUGGAUAGAUCAACUUCCGAAGUAGGGGAGAACUGCGGUUCCACCUGGACGAGACGAGUGAAAACAACUAAUCCAAGAUCUAUGGACCAAGACUCACCGGGAUCAACACCAUUCUAUACCUUGCGGAAAAACAGUUCCACGACCAGGAUUAUCCGAUCCCAAAUAUGCCAAAACUGAGAUAAUAACUUAUCACUCAGAAACUCUAGGUUCACCCAACCUUGGUCCGUGUAGCAGUAACCGUCUCAAUCUACGUCAAAAGUUCAUGUAGAAAAGUCACAGGACAACACCACUAGUCUAGAGUAUAUUUUCAUAAGCCAAAAUGACACAUUCCGUGUGAGAUAUUGAAUCCCGAUGGAAUUUGGCUAACUUUGGCCAAAUGGACCAAAGUGGGCAAUUGAACGGUUUGGACAAGUUCCAUUCGGCAUUCCAACAAGUUUGGAAGAGCUAAAAUGAGUUCCAAAGGUGUUGGAUUGGUUUUGACAUCGAACGGCGCGAAUUAGAGCCGAAGAGAUGUGAAAACAACUUUCUGGAGCUGUUGUACCGGUAUAAGAGUGAUGGCUGUACCGGUACAACCAUCGCAGGCUCUCAGGUUGGAGGCUGCCAGACCUUGUACCGGUACAAGGGGGUCUUGUACCGGUACAAGCCCUGCGAAACCGAGAAACCGAGCUCUCGGGUUGGGCUGUCUGCCAGGCCUUGUACUGGUACAAGAACCCGUGUACCGGUACAAGGGACCCGAAAAUGUGGAUCUGGUUGGAAAAUUAGUUUUUUUGAGAGGGCUUUUGGGAUUUUGUUACAAUAGAGGUCUUAUACCUCUCUCUCAGCCACUCCCUCUCAUUUUUCUCUCCCUCUCUCUCUCACCUCUCUUGCUCUCUCUCUCUCUAAACCGAAAAGAGAAGAAAAGAAGGAGAAAAAGGAGAGAAAGAAGAAGAAGAGAAGAAGGAAAGGAAGGAGAAGAUCAAGGAGAAGAAGAAGAGGCUUCUCUCCCUCCUCAUCCUCAAGCUAGGGCUUGCUUUGGAGCAAACCCUAGAGGUAAGCCUCAACCCUAAUUUGAGAUUCUAGGGUUUUGGGAGCUUUUUGUUAGUUUUAAUGGUUCAAAUGGAACCUAAUGAGUUUAGAGGAUAUGGAUCUAGCUCACAAUGAAGCUAGAAAUCAUGGUUUCCCAUGGGUGCUAAACCUAGGGUUGGAUUUUGGGGUUUUUGGGAAUAUAGGGUUUUGAUCUAUUUUGAUGGGUCGGAAACCUAAUUGUUAUGCUCCCGAACGCGUAGGCGAAGAUGGUUCGUCGAUCCUUCGAGCGAGCGCGGAGAUAUCGCCACUUUGGUAGCUCUAGGGUUCGUUUUGACCCGAGGUGUUGAAGCGGCGCACGUGGAUUUCGACGCCGAGUUUCUUAGCUUUUCGGCACUACCACAAGGUGGGUGGUGACCUUCCCGAAGCCGCGGGGCUACGUUCUAUGUCCAAGUUUAUUAUUGAUCUAAUUGCAUCUUAUCCAUGUUGCAUAUAGGGUUAGAAAAUGAUUGUUGUUGCUUAUAUUUGCAUGCUAGUAGCUAUAUGUUUAGUUGAUUGAUCCAUGAUCUAGUAUGCAUGAAAACUACACGAUGAAAACCUAGACCCUAUAUGUAAUGGUUAAUGUUUAUGAGAUUAAAGAACUAGUAAGAUGUAACUAGUGUUGAAAAUGAGUCUGUGUGAUGGGCAAUCAGAGCGCACUAUACAGACUCUUGAGGACAUGCUUCGAGCCUGUGUGAUUGACUUACAGGGAGGAUGGUCACAGCAUCUAUCGAUGGCAGAGUUUGUUUAUAACAACAGUUAUCAAGCAAGCAUCAAGAUGAAACCACUCUAUAAACGGAAGUGUAGAUCGCCACUUCAUUGGAGUGAAGUUGGCGAGAGAUUGGCUUUAGGCCUCGUUGUGCUCCAGGAAGCAGAGGACAAGGUUCGCAUUGCUAGGGAGCGACUGUUUAUUGCUCAGAGUAGGCAGAAGAGUUAUGCUGACAAGCAUCGACAGGACUUAGAGUUUCAGAUUGGUGAUCAUAUCUUCUUGAAAGUCUCACCGACCAGAGGGAUUAGAAGAUUUGGAAUCCGAGGUAAGUUGAGCCCCCGAUACAUUGGACCGUAGAGGUUUUGGAGCGUGUAGGCCCGGUAGCGUAUCGGCUUGUUCUACCACCGAACAUAUCGGGUGUACACAAUGUUUUUCAUGUAUCGGUCCUUCGGAAGUACAUCCAGGAUCCGGCUCACGUGUUGGACGCUACACCUUUGGAGCUGAGGGAUGAUUUGAGCUUUGAGGAGCAACCUUUGAGAAUUUUGGCUCGCGAAGUAAAGAGAUUGCGGAAUCGUGAGAUGCCCUACGUGAAGGUGCUUUGGAGCAACCACAAUGAGCGCGAGGCCACGUGGGAGUUGGAGAACGCGCUGCGGGAGCACUAUCCCUAUCUUUUCUAGAUGGAGGCUUGAGGUACUUUGUCUUUCCGAGUUUCGCGGACGAAACUCCUUUUUAGAAGGGGUGAAUGUAACACACUUGACCUAUGCAAAUUGCGAGGUUCGAGUGAUUGGAUGUGUUCCGAGAUUUUCCACGCCUUGUGGAGGGUCAUAACAGGUGUUCCGACCUAAAAAGUUCGAAUCCUAAAAUUCCAGCUAAGUCCUGAGAGUUUUCCUCUCGGGGACCGAUCCCUGGUGGGAGAGACCGGUCCCCUUGGAACAGUAUUGCGGCUGACUGCGAGGCAACCGGUCCCUGGCGGGGGAGACCGGUCCCCGAGCGCGUUUUCGCGGGGAGCGACCGGUCCCUCGCGGGGAGAGACCGGUUCCCGAACGUUGGAUUUUUGGGGCAGGCUGAGAGACCGGUCCCAGGUCGGGGAGACUGGUCCCUCAGUCCGAAAUCUGCCCAAUCCGGGCUUGCACGGGUUGCAAAGUAGAGGGGCUUUUCUGGAUUUUGUUACAUUACAUAGUGUCACGCCCCGGGACCGACACCAAUUUCGACCCGAGCACGUCAAACAGACGCCGGACGGACAGAGUUUCCCCUAUCCGCACAAGGCUCAUCACAUGUACAUUUUCAUCAUUAGAGAAAAGCACUAGUGGAAACAUACACAAACGGCUUACACGAGGGUAAGCAAUAGCCAUUAGUGAAAGAAAGGAAAACUAAACAUCUACACAAGUAAUAUGAUUCAUUUUAGAUCAUAUACAUUGCAUCCAUCUCUUACAUUUAGGAUUCUUUGCAUUUCAUUACAUAAUUUCAUCAUUUCUUCCUUACAUCACAUUUACCUCAAAAUAAGCUUUACAUUCUUUUCUUUACAUUACUAGUCAUCAAAUACAAAAGAUGAACAUAGGGUAGCUACUAUCAAAAUGUAAACCCAACUUUGGUUUGGUGGCCUCUGACUAAGGUGCGAUACCUUUACCUCGGUCGUUCGCCGGCUCGCUCGGUCCCGGCUCUGUGGAAAUAGUGGGGUGAGAACUACAACAAAGUUCCCAGUGGGUUCGGCCUCAACAUCACCGACUUUCCCACUAGGACUAACUCAGGUAUAAUAGAAAGGAUAAGCUAAAAUAUAGUAACCAAUCUACAACAUGAUGCUAAUAUGCCUGAACAAAAGCAAGGAAUAUGCUGAACAUUAACAUAUGCAGAUUAUGCAAGUUCUUUCGUUCUUUAUCUUCACACUUUGUUCUUUGUUCUUUGCUCUUUGUUCUUUAUUCUUUAAUCUCAAGGCUAACUCGGGGGUUUCGCCACAUUAACUUGCUUCACAUUAAGUCCAUCAUCGCAGAAACUCACCCGCUAGGACCGUCCUUCGGGUUUACUCCAACCCGUGAUGCAUAACUCCGGAGCGCAUCGCCCAAGGGGGAGCGACCGCCCUCGAGCACGGAACUCAUAGCAAGUAUGAUCAUAUCCUUAACUCAAAGGAUUUAUAAGUUCAAUCUUGACUUUACACUAGCUCUACUGUUCAUUACAUCACUUUAUGUUGCUAACUCUAGCAAUCGUUAUUCUUUACUUUUCUUUUACUCUUGCCAUCCUUAGCAUUCUUAUUCUUUACAUUUCUUGUUCUUAUUGCCCCACUUCACUUUAACUUUAUACAUUGUCAUUUUCAUCAUUCUUUACAUCACUUUGGUUCUUUGGCUCACACUAACUCUAGUGUCACUUUACUUUACGUUUUCAAAUGCCACUCGAUCUAUGUCAUUGUGCCACUCAGUUCUUUUGGCUCACUUUAGCACUCACAUUUUUCUCUCAUGCAUACAUAUAGGGUUCUAACAUUCAUAAGGUUCUCAUUCAUCACAUUAUGCAGGUUGUACUCACAAUCAUGCAACAUUAUAUUUUCAUCAUCACUUUACCCUAAAAUGCAUGCAACAACAUAUAUAUAUAUAUGCUCAAAUGAAUGACACAUUAGGCAUAGAGAGAAGUUCAACGAGUUUGAGAAGCACCACCCACCUCGUAGGCUUUCAAAGGUGCUCCGAUGAUUUUCUUGGGAUUUUUAGACCCUUCGUUCUUUACCUGCGACAUAACGAACCCUUAUUAGGCCAUUUUGCCCAUAACUUUUGAUUGUCCUUUCGUAUACUUCAACGGAGCGCACCAACGCGUUCGUUGGGUCCCCAAUUAGGUUUUUAGAGGGUCAAUUGCACUUAGAAAUCCUCAUGAGCAAAAGCCCCAAUUUGGUGCCCUAGCUCCAACACAUAUCUCAAACCUAGGGUUUGAUCUCAAAGAGAAGCAAAAGUAGCUUCACUAUACUCUAAAUAGUCCAUUAGAACCAUUCUUAGGCUUUCCAAAACCCUAAGAAUGGUUUUGAUCUUUAAAUAAGCAAAAAGAAAGCUUACCUUGUAAGAAUGGUUUUAUAUCUCAAACGUAGCACUCACAUUUUUCUCACCUUGAGCUCAACCAUGGUUUUGAUCUUUAAAGAAGCAAAAAGAAAGCUUCAAACUACUAGAUAUUCCAUUAGAAACCAUUUCUAGGUUCAUUCAAACCCAUUUCUAGGGUUUUACUACAUUAGGGUUCAAAGCUUACCUUGUAAGCUUCCUUUUCUUGCACUAGAGAAGAAGGAGAUGGAGCCUCUUUGCUCCAAAAGCUUCUUCUUCACCUUCUUUUUCUUCUUUUCCUUUCUUUUCCUUUGCCUUCUUCUUCUCCUUCUUUGUAUUCUAGAGAGAGAAAGAGAGGAGAGAGUGUGAGAGGGAAAAAAUGAGAGAAAAUCUCAUUAGGCCCCAUAACAUAGCCAUUGGGUUGCCAAAAUGCAAAUAAACCCCUCAAUUUUCACCUUAAUACACUGCCCGAACUAGGCAGUUCGCGCAGGCGGGGUCCGGUCUCUCCUUUAGGGACCGGUUCCCGAACGUCGUCCCAGCGCAGCCAGAGCUGCUGCGCGCAGUGCAACCAGUCUCUCCUUGCGGGACCGGUCUCUCGGGGACCGGUCUCUCAGGUAGGGACCGGUUCCCGAGAGCUAGUUUCUCAGGACUUAGCCGAUUUUUCGGCUGUCUCAUUUCAUACCCGUUCGGGGACCGGUCUCUCCCACCAGGGACCGGUCCCCGAGAGUUCAAAAUCUGCAGCUUUGCAGAUUUGAUUCUAUAGCUCUCGAAAACCUCCCAUAACUCACUUUUACUCAUUUUAACACCUUCGGACUUUCCGAAGUGUACCGUCUUCGCACUUUGGUCAAUUUGACUAAAGUUCGACAUUUAUUUUUCGAAUUUUCGGUAUAUUACAGAUAGCCUAUAUUUCCACUCCACCUUCUCUUUCCCUCAUUUCUCUUCUCUCAACUCUCCCUACACCUUAGAUAGAAAAGGAGAAGAAGAAGGAGGAUGAGAAAAAGGAAGGAAGGAGAAGAAGUAGACCAACAAGACGACUUGGAGCAUCCUUCUCUCCCUCUCUUCUCCCCUUGGGUGCUUGAAGGCUUGGACUUGGAGCUUGCUAAAGAGGAGAUCUUCACUCUCGGAGCUUGGAUUGGAGCUUCUAAAGAGUUUGGUUGCUUGUUUCUCCCCUCUAGACCUAGUUUUGAUGGUUUUUGGGAGGUGGAACCCUAGAAUGGAAAAUCUAGGGUUUAUUUGGGGCUUUUUGAUUAGAGGCUUUUUGAGAUAAUCUAAUUGGAUUAGAACCUUGGUUUAGGUUGCUUUGGAAGGGAUCUAGCUUCCAUUUGAGUUUUGGAAAGGGAUUUUUACACUAUAGGUGAGAUUUUGGCCCUUUUCCUUAGUAGAUUAAUGUUUGAGCUUGUAGUUGAUCGUAAGGUUCGUUUAACCUUUGUUCUUGUGCCUCUAGGGUACUAAGAGACUAGAGGACACCUUCGUUGGAGCUUACGAAGGGUUUCGAGAUGGUUCGGUGGGUUUGACCUAGCCUAGUAUAUGAGAAAUCCUCAUAUCCUAUGUUUUAUGCUUCGUAAAGUAGAAAUUCAUACAUUUUCAUGAUAAAUGUAAUUCUUGUGAAUUUUAGAAUGCUUAACAUCCCUACGUCAUGUAUAAUGAAUUUCGGACUUCUAUAUAGUAGAGGGAGAGUUGCAUGUGAAGCUUGCACUAGCAUUGGGCAUUCUUAUGUUGGACUCGGGACCAUAUUUCUUACAAUAAAAUUGAGUAUUGCUUCAUGCAUUUUAACCUAUACCUAAUUGAGACAUAAGGGACUUUAAUAAGCUUUAAGGGGCUUGGGGACUUGUACCACUUGAGAGUGAUUGGGCUAAUAUCAUAAAGGGGCAUUGAGCUCGGGUUAAAUGAGAAUCUAGUACUAAUGUCAUAAAUGGAACAUAGAUUAUGAAAUGUGUUAACUUAUAACAAGCUUAAGUGUCAUAAAGAGGCACUAAGCAUAGGGAGUGUUGGAACAUCACUUUGAGACAUUGAACUAGAUCUUUGAGAUGCUAGUGACUUUACCAUGUUAGAGACAUGAUGAUUGAAUUUUUGAGACGUUAAUUACGCUUGCUUGCCAUUUGUGCUCAUUCGCACAUGCUUGUGAGGGUCGCUCCCUACAAGCCGGCACUCCGGAGUUGGCCUACGCGACUUAUGCUCGCUCGUACGGUAUCGAGAAACCUACGGGGUCGGGAGGGAUAGACUCAUUCCUAGAGUGGGAAUGCUGGAGCUACCACCGACACUUAGGUGGCACAAGCUGGACUAUACUAUGUAGGUUCUAGAACAUGUUGGAAACAACGACAUUGAACGGAAAAUAAAAAUCACUAUUAGAUAGGUUUUGUAGUUGGAUUACUUUAACAUGCUUAAAGCAUAGUGUUAGGACAUGUAGUAUGCCAACAUGUAGUAUGCUUGACAGUUUAUUUGUUGCAUCAUAGUAUACUUGGUUGCUAUGAUAGAUCAUAAUCAUCAUGCAUUGAUAGAACGGAUCAUAAUAUUUACUUGUUGCCAUGUCGGGACAUUGUUUUAUGCAUUGGACAUACUUCAUUAUGAAAGAGUAAAUGUACAAUACAUUGACAUCGUAAUGCUUAUGGUAUAGUAAUUUUAGUGAACAUACAUGCUUUCCUCCCGCGGUUAUCAUUAUUAUUAUUGUUGCUUAUCGUACUUACCCUUUUCUUUUGGGGCCUAGUGGUGCAUUGAGCUGAGGUCAGUAAUUGCCCACUAGGAACUAUAAAUUAUAUUUCUCACGCCCUUUGUUUUAUGUUUUUAUUUUCAGAGCUUUCCACUCCGGGCGAGGCUAGGGACCGCGGAAAGGGUAUCGCCUCGAGCUAGCUAGCUGUCGAGGACGCGUUGAUAGGUGGUCUACCUCUCGUCGUUUCUUUUUGGAGAGGUAGAGAGUUGUACCAUGUAUAGAGACCACCCAUUUUUUUUGGUGUACUUCAGGAAAUGGUUAUUGUAUUACUUUAUAUUUACUUUAGUUGAGUAGUUCUCUUCUUCUACUGCUGUUGCUAGUAUUAGUGGUUAUACUUGCUCUGAUAUCACUAGUUAUUGUUCCUCCUUUUCUUCAUAUUCCUUGUUUUGUUUCCGCCCUUUAUAUGUGUAGACAUAUGGCGGGUCUGGGCGCGCUACUGGGAGGGCCUCCGCCAGUCCCGGGGCGUGACACUGAGGGCCCGAUGGGUUAGCCACAAGAUUUUGUAAAGAAAAUGUAAACUUGCAUUCAUCAUGAGCAUCUCAUUGAGCAUAUGAUUGAGUUUAUUAUUCAGGCAUAUUAGCUGCAUUUGUUAGUUGGUUACUAUCUAUUUUUUCUUUUAUUAUGCCUGAUUUAGACCUAGUGGAAAAGUCGGCAAGAUCGGGGCCGAACCCACUAGGAACUUUGUUGUAAUUCUCACCCCACUAUUUCCACAAAGCCGGGGCCGAGCGAUCCGGCGGACGAUCGCGAUAAGGGUAUCGCACCCUAGACAGUGACCGCCCGAGAUACUUUCACAUUUUGUAGUUGCAUACCCCUUUUAUAUCAUCUUUUGUAUUUGAUGAUUUUAGUUGUAUCAAAGACAUUUGAAUGAAUGAUGUAAAGGAUUACAAUUUAAAUGCAAAUGGUUGUGUUUUGAGGAAUAUGUGAUUUAUAAAAGAAAUGAUGCAAAGUAGUAAAAGAAUUUGGUAAAAGUAGUAUGCAUGUAUAUGAUUUAAAGUUAAUCAUAGUACUUGUAUGUUGAAUAAUUAGUUCUUUCACUUUAGCUAUUGCUUGCCCUCAUGCAAGCCACGGUGUAUGCUUCCGUUUUGUACAAAAUUCAUACUCUAUUUGUACAGGAUGUUGAGCCUUGGGCGGACAGGGGAGACUUUGUCCGUUCGGCGUCUGUUCGACGCCCUCGAGCCGGCCAAAAGGAUCGGGCUCGGGGCGUGACAUAGAGGACCUUGUGAAUGAGGUUAGAAGUACGGAGUUGGUGUCCUCGACUCUAAUAAUCAUUGGCAAGAUAGUGGCUUUGUCGCCGCUUUGGCCGCAAUCAUCUAACAUGAAGAGUCGCAGACUGCACAGCCAUGUGCAACACAGACACAAGGAUAAAUCUGACUUUUGUUUGCAGUUCUUAUAUUUUGUGAAAAUUAGGCACUGCAAUAGGAUAUCUAAUGCGCAUUGUCCUCUCAAAGAGGUAUUUUCUCGACUUUACGGAUCAAAGAUGAAUUAAUCAGAGUAAGAGGAUCAAAAUCUGCGAAUAGCAUAUGAAUUAGAUAGAUUGAGGAACAGAGAGCUGAAGGAAAAGUGUCACGCCCCGGGGCCGAUUUUAAAAGCCAUUUUGAAAACAGAGUUGCGGAAGACGUGCCUUUUUUUUUUUUCAACCUGGCCCAUGCGAUGUACAGAUCCGCCACAAAUACAAGGUUCCUCGGUCCACUCGGACAGAGUCUCCUUUGUAUUUGCACGGCGUACCAACGAUACAACAGGAUCUCAACUACAAUCUACAAUUACCAAUCAACAACCAAUUCAUGAUAUGCAUUUUCAUACAGCUAACAAUCCCUAGAGAUGAUGCAUGCCUCUAAGCACUCCUUAGGUGCUAGAUGAUGCCAUGCACAGUACAACAAUCAUCCUAUUUAAAAGUGCUCCCCACCCGGAAGCUAGCGAUCCUUAGAUAUGAUGCAUGCCUCUAAGCACUCCUUAGGCACUGGAUGAUGCAAUGCACAGUACAACAAUCAUCCUAUUUAAAAGUGCUCCCCACACAGAAGCUUUUAUUUUUAAAAUCUAAUUCAUUCAUUCAUGAAAACUAUUCGAAAAUCUUUUGAAAAUUGUUUCCCACACGGAAACUAUAUUUUGAAAACCAGCUACCUCGAGGGGUACAAGGACCAAAAACCAUAAAACUAGAACCAUAAAUCUAUAAACCCCAAUCUCAGAUCCACAAUCACAAGCAUAAAUAAUGAAAACAUCCACAACUAAAACCAGUUCACAACAUUCAAGCAAUCAGAGGAUUAUCUAACUGAACAAUUUAUUUAAACUACUAAAAGCAGGAAUGAAAUAACCAGGGUGAUGGUCGCUACACCAGACUAGCUAGAUCGUCUUCUCGUCGAGCCCAAGUACCAACUCCAAGCUCGAAUCACCUGGGGAAAUGGGGGGUGAGAAACCGUAACCAUGAUUUUCCAGUGGGUACGGCAGAGCCACGAAGGCAAGUCGUAAUCACCGGAAACCAAAGGAGAUAGAUAAACAAGUAUAUAUAUGCUGAUAUGAAACAGAACUACAGAUAUGAAUAUGAUGUGAUAUAAGAGCAACUACAGUAGUAAUAGAAACGGGAUAAUAACUGAGCAAGAAUGAAACUACUACUGUAACAAAAAACUCAACUGAUCAGAUGCCUCAAAGGUGAAUAGUCCAAAACCAAACCUAAUCUGAUACUACUAUAUUGGUCCGCAGACCUCAAGCGUUGCCUGUCACAGAGCAGACACUGCGAGCUUAUUCAUGCGUCACCGACGACCUAUCCGGAUACGUACACCCCUUGGAUGGUGGCCAAACCAACCUGGUGUCUAGAAUACACAGUGCUGUGACUAAAUCAUGCUGGUAUGCUCAAAACAAAAAUCGACAAAAAGAGACCGGUACCAUGGCCGAAGCCAGUGCAAGGGCGUACAACGAACCACGAUCAACCAGAUCGAAACACAUGACAAGAGAGUCGAUGUGUUGCCUGGACCCAAGGUCCACAGAGAUGCAAUAUACGAAUGCAAGCCUGCUCUACAUGUCUAUCCACAACUAUACAAAUGCAAUCAAUGGAAUACGAUAAGCAACGAUAAACAAACAACUGACAUGUAGAGACUACGAUACUGAAUGAAAGAAUAGAGGAAGGGAGAAACGAUCUCACCGACUACUAGCUCGAAGCACCCACCUGACACUGUCGCGUCGAAACACUGGGUACGCACAAGUCAACCGAACCUACGAAGAUCCAACAGGUCAGUAACAAACCAACUCACCUGAAGUAUACUAUCUUACAAACCCCCACACAGAUCCCCGAAUCGGUUUCCCAAAACCGAUCAUCGUAACUAACCGGAAGUCCCAAAAAUCACACCGGGACGCCGUCGGGACCCACUGAGUGUCCCGAAACUCACCGACUCGUGCCACGAGUCACCUGCUGCCCCUAAACACUCCGAUUUGGAUGGUUUGGCAGCAAACACAAGAUAACACCACUACACAAUUAUCGUCGGAUAAUUGUACGAAUUCGGGUUUCCGAAAGUGUCUAUUUCGACACCGGAACCCACCGUCGCUCACCCAUCAUCACCGAACCCACAAAAUGAUAAUGGUGACGAGCCAACAAGGCUCAGCGAUAAUUUACAGGAUAACCAAACCUCGUUGGAAGAAAUCCGAACUGAAAUCGUGUUCUUUCGGCAAAUUUUGCCGAAAAACGCACCGGAAUCGACUUUUUGAUAUCCGCAAAAGCUAUUAGAUCAUGGACAAUUAGUCCGAAGGUCACCAUACACACCAACGCACUGCCCACAGUAGCCACAAGGUGUACAAAUGCAUAAAAGUCCCUAUGUUUACAUAAAAUCCAUCAUUUUAUGUAAAUCGGGCGACUUCUAUGACUCGUUCUCACAAACCGAGGACUUCUAAGUUCCACCGAGACACGUACUGACAGGUCUCGACGUACCGGAGGCCGUGCUCAUGGUCUGGAGCGCAACAGCUCACUGUGGGAAGCGCGGGAGCAGCCUGAAAAUUCUGUGAACAGCCUGCAGUCGGGGAAAAACGCACCAAGCAGAACGAUACGACAUCCGCUGAUCCAAAAUAAGGUGAGCACUGUGAUCAGCACUGAUUCACAAUCACCGUGCUCACCUCCAGAGGCAUCAGAAUAGCCUCGGAUCACCGGCAAAGUGCGUUCAAACCCGCAACAGCAGCCAAAAAGGCUCUAUAGGGUCGACAAUGCCGAAAUAGCGGAACGGAUUCUCCCCGACAGAAACUAAGGUGAGCACGAUGAUCAGCAAUUUGCCACGAUCAUCGUGCUCCCUUCCGUAGAGAUCGGGGAGGCUCGGAAAGCUCGGAACAGCAAACCGCCAAGGAAUAGCCCUAUUUCGGGCUUGGCCGGAGCAAGCUUGCUCCGGCCAGCUUCCGGCAUCACGGUGUGGUGCCCGCAGGCCAGGAAUGGAUGCGGGGGAGGUGAGGAGUGUGGUGCUCACCUCAGUUGGCGGCGAGGAGCGGCGGCGGCGACAGUGGAGAGACUUGAGCCCGCACGUGCAAGGCCUCGGGUUCCAAAGUAGCUGCGGCCACGGCGGCGGUCGGGGCACUCAGGGACGGCGGCAGAGGGUCGUCUGAGGUCAACGGAAGGCGGCAUGGGUAGUUUCGGGCGGCGGCGACGCGAGGGAGUGCUCGCAAAGUUGUCUCGGCCCGAACAGAUCAGGGGCGGCCGCGGGUUGGCCGAGACGGCGGCGACGACCCGCAGAGGCGGCGGCAACCGGCUAGGAAGGUCGGUGAGGCCCAAGGGAAGGCCGCGGGAGCGACCCCAAGUGGCUGCGGCGCGGAGAAGAGGCCACAUAGUCAGCUUGGUCUGGGCUCGGCCAAGCCGGACGCAGGAUGUAGCAGCGGCAGCAGCCGCGCGCAGAGGCGACGGCGGUCGGCGGGGAGGCUCGCCACGGCACGGGGGCGAUGCCGGCAAGGUGCAGGGAGGCAAUGCAGCCUCAGCCAAGGCUCCAACCCAAGAAGACCAGAGGGGUGGAGAGAGAAAUGGAGAGGGAGGGAUGGAGAGGAAGGCUGCGGUUGCUGCUGGCCGGCCGGGGCUAGGUCGGCGGCUGCCGGGAGUGGCGCAGCAAGGGCAGGGCAACCAAGGGAGGCGACUGGGCGUUUAGCUCGGGCUAGGGUUAGGGUUUUCAUAGUGAAAACCCUAAAACAAGCAUAUAUACAAGGUACAAUUUGCGAGUUAGCCCACCAAACCUCAGUAUUUAGUACUGAGUCCCUCACAGCGCGUGUACAACGCAAGAAUACCCCUCUACGUGCGAUCUCAUACAAAUGGUACAUAAAAUGUCGCGACUUUUGCGAAAAUACAGUUUUGCGAUCACCGACCUCUCCUCGAUCAACGCGCAAUCUCCGUAGAUCCGUCCGUCAGAUUUGCAAACGGAUCACGCCAGUGCGAUCAGCACGACGGAGACAAUAAAGCUAGGAUUUUGUUUCACCUUAUCGAUCACGGAUUUGCGACGAAAUCCGCUUUCUCUCCAAAAGGCCAAGAUGACGCACAAAUACAUAUAAAACACGUAUUUUUGGAUUUCCUCGAAAUCCAUACAUGAAACUCAAAAUCCGCCAGCGCCAUUAGUCCCAGAACAGCUGAACCGGUCGAAACGAGCUAUUGGAUCGCUAUGAACGGAGUCCGAUACGAGCCUGAAGCCAACUCUACGCAUUGAGUUUUCCGGAAAAUCAAGUUACUAUUCACUUUAAGUGAAAUUGGAAAUCACGUAGAAUCUCCGUUCUAACUUGUUUUCUCUCAAAACUUGACGAGUGCUUUUGUAAUUAAAUUACACACAAAAACAUCAUCAACAGAGAGUUUAACUAUACUGUCUCGCUCAUACUCUCCUACGGUACGGUUGCCUUGCUUGAGGCGUUCUAGCUCGCGCUCCAGACUCUGCUUGGUGCUGUCCAUGAAGUACUACUCGUAAAGGAGUCUCCGGAACUCCUCCCAGCUUGGAUAGAUGCUCCCAAGUUUGCGCUCGAAGUGCCUGAUCCACCACGAAUAUGCAUCCUUCUCAAGACAGUGAGCAGCUAGAGGGACGCGAUCCAGCUCCUCGAUGUGUAGAUCAUGAAACAGUUUCUCCAUAUGAGUAACCCAAUGCUCGAUCACCGAGGCGUCGUCGCUCUUUCCUGCAAACUUCGGCGGAUCGAACUUUCGAAACUCCACCAGCUUCGCCCAUAUGCGGGUGCCUUCCGCUGCAGGGGUAUCAGCACCCCCAGCGGGAACCGUCGUGGUGGCCGUCGUCGUCGUAGUAGUGACAGCUGGAGGUACGGCAGGCGCAUGCGUCGCGGGAGGAUCCGCGUUCACCGAAGUGUCCUGUGCCGAAGGUGGGACCGGGGUAGCAGUAGCCGCAGCCUGUUGCUGCAAGAACUGCUGGAACAAACCAGAGAGGGUCAUGAGCUGACCCCUCAAAUCAGCUACCUGGGCCUCGAGCUGCUGGGCGCGAGUACCACGCAGCGGCUCCGUGCCCGACUGCUCCCCAACACCCCCACUCGUAGGAACACGAGUACUACCCGAUGCCUUUGCACCAGCACAUCCACCAUCACGACCCGGACGAGGGGGUCUACCACGAGCCAUCUGCAAGAGAAAACACCGUCAAGCGAACCAAUCGACUCGACAAACAAACUCACCUGGACUCAAACCCCAUACACCGCACUCGCGUGCCUAUAUGCCUUAGGUCUUCCUAUGGGUCAACCUAAUCAAUGGUUCAGUUAGAAACUUGUAAAUGUAGUUGUAGUUGUUUCACUCUCUAAUACCAUCUUAAUCUGUUACACCCCAGGGCCGAUUUUAAAAGCCAUUUUGAAAACAGAGUUGCGGAAGACGUGCCUCUUUUUUUUUUCAACCUAGCCCAGGCGAUGUACAGAUCCGCCACAAAUACAAAGUUUCUCCGUCCACUCGGACAGAGUCUUCUUUGUAUUUGCACGGCGUACCAACGAUACAACAUGAUCUCAACUACAAUCUACAAUUACCAAUAACAACCAAUUCAUGAUAUGCAUUUUCAUAUAGCUAACAAUCCUUAGAGAUGAUGCAUGCCUCUAAGCACUCCUUAGGCGCUGGAUGAUGCCAUGCAUAGUAUAACAAUCAUCCUAUUUAAAAGUGCUCCACACCCGGAAACUUUAUUUUUAAAAUCUAAUUCAUUCAUUCAUGAAAACCAUUCGAAAACCUUUUGAAAGCUGUUUCCCACACGGAAACUCUAUUUUGAAAACUAGCUACCUUGAGGGGUAGAAAUCCAUGAUGUAUAAAUCCGUAAAAUACGCAAAUCCAAGGACCAAAAACCAUAAAACUAGAACCAUGAAUCUAUAAACUCCAAUCUCAGAUCCACAAUCACAAGCAUAAAUAACGAAAACAUUCACAACUAAUACCAGUUCACAACAUUCAAGCAAUCAGAGGAUUAUCUAAUUGAACAAUUUAUUUAAACUACUAAAAGCAGGAAUGAAAUAACCAGGGUGAUGGUCGCUAUACCAGACUAGCUAGAUCGUCCUCUCGUCGAGCCCAUGUACCAACUCCAAGCACGAAUCACCUGGGGAAAUGGGGGGUGAGAAACCGCAACCAUGGUUUUCCCAGUGGGUACGACAGAGCCACGAAGGCAAGCCGUAAUCACCGAAAACCAAAGGAGAUAGAUAAACAAGUAUAUAUAUGCUGAUAUGAAACAGAACUACAGAUAUGAAUAUCAUGUGAUAUACGAGCAACUACAGUAGUAAUAGAAACGGGAUAAUAACUGAGCAAGAAUGAAACUACUAUUGUAACCAAAAACUCAACUGAUCAGAUGCCUCAAAGGUGAAUAGUCCAAAACCAAACCCAAUCUGAUACUGCUAUAUUGGUCCGCAGACCUCAAGCGUUGCCUGUCACAGAGCAGACACUGUGACUUAUUCAUGCGUCACCGACGACCUAUCCGGAUACGUACACCCCUUGGAUGGUGGCCAAACCAACCUGGUGUCUAGAAUACACAGUGCUGUGACUNUCACACAGGAAACAGCUAUGACCAUGAUUACGCCAAGCUAUUUAGGUGACACUAUAGAAUACUCAAGCUUUUAGUUGUUCCAAAACCAGCUUUUCCUACCAAUAUAUUGAAAAGAAUGCAUCAACGAACACAAAAAGGACAGAACAAAUUAAAUCGAAGUUGAAAAGAUAAUAUAGCUUGCAAUCUAUUCCUCCUGCCCAUCCCUAAGUUCAUUAUCUUAUUGACCUCUUCCAUUGUGGUGCCUAAGAACUCAUCUCCUCGUGGCUUCUUGGAGGGCACACCCCUCCAGCAACAAACAGCACCAACAACCAUUUAGGGGGAAAGAGAGAGAGAAAGAGAGAGAGGGGGAGAGAAAGAGGGAAGGGGAAGAGGGAGAGAGGGGGAGAGAGAGAGAGCCGCGCCGCGACCCGCGCCAGCGCUCGCUCGAGCCGCCCACUCACGCUGCGCUUGUCCGUGGGGGGGAGAGGGAGAGGGAGAGAGGGGGAGAGAGAGAGAGAGUUGCGCCUGCGCCCGCUCGAGCCGCCAGCCCGCGCCGCGCGCCCACGCCGUGCCUGCGAAUGCUACCAUGUGCGCGCGACCCGCACACGCCCGUGCUGCCACGUGCGCACGACCCACGCCCAGCGCCCGCUCGCGCCUCUGUCACGCCCCGGGACCCGGCAUAGGUUCGCCCGCUGCGUGCCCAGACCCGCCAUAUGCCUGCACAUAUAAGGCGUCUACAAAAAAAGAGAUAUGAAAGUAAGAAGAAAUAAAGUCACUAGAGAUAUCAGAGCUACUAACAACAAGUAGAGAAAGGGGGAAAGUAAACUACUAAACAUAAAGAUAAAGUUAGUACAAAAGUCAUCACAAAAGUACUACAAAAAGGGUGGUCUCUAUGCAAGGUACAACUCUCAUCUUCUCCCAAAAGAAAAUAAAGAAGAAGUGGGCCACCUAUCGAACGUCCCUCGCUCACAAGCUAGUUCGUGGCGAUUCCCUUUGCGCGGUCCCUAGCCUCGCCUGGAGUGGAAGGCUCUGAAAUAAAAACAAGAAACAGAGGGCGUGAGAACUAUAAUUUAUAGUUCCCAGUGGGCAAUUACUGACCUCAGCACUAAGCACCACUAGGCCCCAAAAGAAAAGGGUAAGUACGAAAACCGCAAAUAAAAAUAAAUAGAUUGCAUUAGUGAAAGCAUAAAUAAAAUGCUGAAUUACUAUGUCGCAAGUAAACAUGAUGUCAAUGUGUUGUACAUCUACUCUAUCAAAAAUGAAGUACGUCAUAUCCCAACAUAACGAGCAAGUAGAUAUCAUAAUGUCACGCCCCGCCCUGAAAACACUACCAAUUUGGCAUGAUUCGGCCGCGGCGACAGACCGCCGAACGGACAGCACCUCCCUUGCUCGCCCAAGGCUCAACCACAGGAAUGUGUACAAGAAUUUACCCAGGACUUUAAAUUCUAAACAUACACAUUCAACGAGGGCACAAACAGUGCCAACAAUAAGAAGAGCAAGUAAUCCACAAGAUAUACGAGUGAAAUGAAGAGAGUACUUUACUAACUAUUACAAUAGUUACAUUCUUUACCUUUACAUCAUUUUCAAAAAUGAAUACAUUUGAUCCUCAAAAUACAUAGCUCUCCAACCUCACCUACAUGAAUCUCUCUCAAUACAUAGGUGUACUAAUGCAAAAGGGAAAGCUACUACACUACCACGGCCUCACUGAUCGGGCGCGAUGCCCUUGCCGCGGUCCUCUCUCUGCAGCCCUGAACCUACCACUGGAAAUAGAGUGGGGUGAGAACUAUCUUCCAUAGUUCCCAGUGGGCUCGGCCACCGACUCUGCCGAUCUCCCCACUAGGUCCAAGUGGGCACAAGUAACAACAAAUAGAUAGAUAGAUAUGUAUCUGAAAGCUGUAAAUGCAGUAGUAGGAAAACUAUGCUACUAUGCCCAUAAUCAUGAAUAUGAAUGCAUGCAUCAUAUAAUAAAGGUUUGCUACCAUGCUAACAAAUUCGAUCCAUGUUCGAAUAGUAAUGUUCAAUAUGUUCAAUGACAUUUAUUAACCUUUAACCUUUCAUUUACCCAAUCUGUGGCGAGGCCCUAGGGUGAACAACGAAAGUUGUGUACCAUAGUCAGUAGCUAGGUAUGGAUAGGGGGGCAUGGAAUACAUAUGAUGAGCUACAACAAUGGUUAAAGAGCCUAACAUAGCCAGGUUAAGAGAUAAUUGAGCAUGCCAUGACGUUGUUAGGAUUUCAUAUAGGCCCUUAUGGCCCUGGCCCAUAAAUGGACCUUUAUGAGCCUCUAAAAUGUCCUUAAGGCCAUGACCAAUGCCCCACGCCCAUAACUCAUCUUUCAAUCCCAAAGUGGGGAGGGAGCUCCAAGUGCACCCAAGCCCGGGACCGUCUGCGGACCUCCAUGUGGUCCGGACCUCCAAGUGGUCCUAGUCGCGCGACACUCCGGAGUACUCGACGACAAUCCCCUCCAUGUGGGGAUUGGAUGGCUAUGCCACCCUAAACGCAGACUGUGAGCUAGAUCUAUCCUCUCCAUGUGAGGAUACACUGUAACUAGGGUCAACACCCAAUCCAAUCCUCUCCAAGUGAGGAGGCUCUACAACUAGAGUCAAUAACCCAAUCGAAUCCUCUCCAAGUGAGGACGCCCUAUACUAGGGUCAACGACUAUCGCGGAAUCAUCGGUUCCCGACAUUCAUGCAAUGCUAUUUAGUUUUCUAAAUUCAUUGUUCACAAGGCAUUUUCUAAGGGAUCCACCUAUCCCUAGGUCCAUCGACCUCUAGUGUUAUUUACACUACAUUAAUGCCACUCGUUAUCAUUCAAUGUUUGGAUGCCACUCGUUUGUUCUUUAACAAUAACACUACUUUCUAUGUCAUCAAUACCCCCAUCGGGUUCAUCUCUUUUCUUUCGCACCAUAGGAUUCACGUCUCGACCCAAUCCUCACCUAUCUAAGUUACCAAGCGUUCCAAGUACACUAGGUUAUCAAUUAGAAAGCAUAAGGAAUGGAGCUACUAUGCAAUCCUACAAUGCAACAUGAAGAGAUGAGAUUAAAUGCAAUCUAAGACAUAGAAAGGAGUUCGAAAGUUUCGGAUGACACCCCCCACCUUUAAUCGAUGUAGAGGUUUCGGAAAUCUCUCUCGGCGAGCUCUACGAAAAGGCCUUAGCCUUCCUCGCCCGAAUCAACACUAGCCCGGCCCGAUUUUGCCGAGAACUUCACGUCGGUUCGCCGAAUGCCAAAAUCGACUUCGCCCCCGCGUUUUGGGACCUAUCAAUAGGGUUUCCAAGGCUUCAAAUGAGAUCAAUCUCAUACAUUUACAAAAACCUCAUUUUGGAACCCUAGAUUUGCACCUAUAGCAAAUCACCCCAUAAAUCCCUAGAUUCUUGGGAUUGAUCUAUUUAGAAGCUUGCUUAGGGUCCAUUUGACCCAUUCCAAGGCAUAAAACCCAAAAACCCUAAGUUCUAGAAGCUAGGGUUUAGUAGCUUACCUCAAGAGCUACUCCAAUGGGAAGAGGAGAGGGAGAUGGAGGUGCUCAAAGCCUUCCUCUUGAUCUCCUUCUUCUUCUCCUUCCUUAUCUUCCUCUUCUUUUCCUUCCUCUCCUUCUUGUUCUUCUUCUCCUUCUUUCCUUUCUAGAGAGAGAGAGAGCAAGAGAGAAAUGAGAGUGAGAGAGAGUGAAAUGAGAGAGUGUGAGGGAGAGAGAGGGCUCAGCCCACUCAAAUAAAGGCCAUUUUGCAUAAAAGCCCCUCAACUUUCACCCCUGUGCACUGCCCUUACUGGGCAGUUUUCGCGCGGAGGGACCGGUCUCCCCGACUUGGGACCGGUCCCCGAGAGCUUCCCUCGGGCGCACGCGUUCGGGAACCGGUCUCUCCCCGGGAGACCGGUCCUCGGGAGACCGGUCCUCACCUGAGAGACCGGUCCCCGAGAGCUUGAUUUUCAGGACUUAGCCAAUUUUUUGGCAUCUCUCGCUGGGACCACGUUCGGGAACCGGUCCCUCCCUGCCAGGGACCGGUUGCAUCACGCAACCCCGCUACACCCAGCCAGGGGAACCGGUCUCUCACCUGCAGAGACCGGUCCCCGAGAGCAACAUCAGCCCAAUGAUGCCAUUUGCCUCAUUUGCUCUCGCGGACUCAACUCCAAGGCACUUUUUGUGCUUUGGACAUUCCCAACUCCCACAAAGGGUAUACUCUCGACAAUUAGUCGAUCCUGGAUGGAGUACAAUUCUCGCAUUUCGAGAAUUCACUUCCUUACAUCCCCCCCUCCUUAAAAGGAGUUUCGUCCUCGAAACUAACUCAAUUCCUUAUUUUAAUUCAAAUCCGUACCGUACUCCUCAAAGAGAUGAGGAUGGUGUUUUCUUAUCAGAUCUUCGAGUUCCCAGGUGGCUUCGCGAUCAUCAUGAUUGCUCCACCUAACCUUCACAUAGGGGAUUUCUCGAUUCCUCAACUUCCGCACCUCUCGGGCGAUAAUCCCUACCGGAAACUCUUCAUAGCUCAAGUCUCCUCGAAGUUCCGGCGGUUCAUUAGCAUUGCGUGCUCGGGGUCGUGAAUGUACUUGCGGAGAUUGGAGACAUGGAACACAUUAUGUACAUCAGCAAGCUUCGGCGGUAGAGCAAGCCAGUAGGCCACCGAGUCGACUCGCUCUAAUAUCUCAUAUGGUCCAAUAUAUCGGGGACUUAGCUUUCCCCGCACUCCAAACCGCUUCACACCCCGCAUGGGUGAAACCUUCAAGAAUACGCGGUCACCCACUGUGAAUUCUAUAUCUCGACGGCGCCUAUCCGCAUAACUUUGCUGUCUUGACUGCGCCGUGAGCAAUCUCUUGCGAGCAAGGCGGACUUUCUCCUCCGCUUCUCGCAACACAUCCGGGCCGAACUCCGCACGCUCGCCAACAUCGCUCCAGUGUAUAGGAGAGCGACACGUCCGCCCAUAGAGAGCCUCGAACGGUGCCAUCUCCACACUAGCAUGAUAACUGUUGUUGUAGGCGAACUCGGCCAUGGGUAGAUGGUCGCACCAACUUCCCUUAUAGUCGAUGACACACGCUCAUAACAUAUCCUCCAGAGUUUGAAUUAUUCUCUCUGUUUGCCCAUCGGUCUGGGGAUGAAAUACGGUGCUAAAGUCAAGCCGUGUGCCAAGGGCUCCCUGCAGGCUCUUCCAAAAGUGUGAAGUGAACCGGGGGUCACGAUCCGACACGAUCGAUUUCGGCACCCCAUGCAGUCUCACUAUCUCGUUGAGAUAUACCUGCGCUAACUUGUCACCUGACCACGUGGUGUGGAUCGGCAAGAAAUAAGCCGACUUAGUUAAUCGGUCCACAAUUACCUAUAUUGCAUCGUGGCCGCCCGUUGAGCGAGGCAAGCCGACCACGAAGUCCAUCGAUAUAUCCUCCCAUUUCCAAACGGGGAUUGGUAGGCUUUGAAGCUUUCCCGCUGGAAAUCAACGCUCUGCUUUCACUUGUUGGCACGUUAAGCACUUCGCCACAAAGCGCCCAAUAUCACCCUUCAUUCCCGGCCACCAAUAAUGCAUUUUCAAUCCUCGAUACAUUUUGGUGCCCCUCGAGUGAUCAGCAUACGGAGAUCUGUGUGCUUCUUGUAAAAUCAAUUCGCGAAGCUCUCCAUCUUUCGGCACACACCAUCGGUUUCUAAACCGAAGCGCACCAUCGGCGUUUAUACUAAAAUCGCCGCCACGCCCUUCCUCGAUGUUUCGCCGCACCUUUUGGAGCUCUGGGUCUGCGGGUUGCAGAUCUUUAAUCCUCUCCAACAAGGUCGGUUGGACAACGAGUGCCAUCAGCUGAGUCGGGACCUCGGGAGCGACCACUUCAAGGUCCAACCGCUCCAUAUCCAGCCACAGAGGUGUUUGCUGGGUAACAUCAAAUGCGAGGUUCUUCGCUGACUUCCUACUUAGUGCGUUCGCGACCACAUGUGCCUUCCCGGGGUAGUAGAGGAUAUCGACAUCAUAAUCCUUUAACAGCUCCAACCACCGCCGCUGACGCAUAUUGAGCUCCUUCUGAGUAAACAAGUACUUUAAGCUCUUGUGGUCGGUAUAGAUCUCACAGUGGGCACCAUAUAAAUAGUGCCUCCACAGCUUUAAGGCGAAUAUCACCGCCGCUAGCUCCAAAUCAUGGAUGGGGUAGUUCUUCUCGUAGCUCUUCAGCUGACGGGAUGCGUAGGCAAUCACCUUCCCGUUUUGCAUCAACACACACCCCAACCCAAGAUAGGAGGCAUCACUAUAAACCACAAAGUCUUCGCCCUGCACCGGUAGAGCGAGCACCGGAGUCGAAGUCAAUCUUUGCUUCAACUCUUUGAAACUCCGGUCGCAUUCUUCGCUCCAAACGAACUUGGUGCCUUUCUGGGUUAGACGAGUAAGUGGAAUCACUAUCUUUGAAAAGCCUUCCACAAACCGCCUAUAGUAGCCCACUAAGCCCACGAAGCUUCGAACCUCCGUGACAUUCGUCGGGCGCGGCCAAUCCUUGAUUGCCUCAACUUUCCUCAGGUCUACAGAAAUUCCACCCGCGGAAAUUACAUGCCCUAGAAAUGCGACUUCUCGGAGCCAGAAGUCACACUUCUUCAACUUAGCAUAUAGCUUUUCCUCUCGAAGGACUUGAAGCACUAUCCUCAAAUGCUCGGCAUGUUCCUCGUCACUACGAGAGUAGACCAAUAUGUCGUCCAUAAAGACCACGACGAAUCGAUCCACGACGAAUCGAUCCAAAUACUUCUUGAAGACACGGUUCAUCAAGUCCAUAAACGCCGCUGGAGCGUUCGUGAGCCCAAAUGGCAUGACCGUGAAUUCGUAAUGUCCAUACCGCGUACGAAAUGCGGUCUUCUGCACCUCCUCCGGCUUGAUCUUCACUUGAUGGUAGCCGGAUUGCAAGUCUAUCUUCGAGUACACGCACGACCCUUGCAACUGAUCAAACAAGUCAUCGAUUCGGGGUAGUGGGUACUUGUUCUUGAUCGUGACUCUGUUCAAUUCUCGGUAGUCCACGCAGAGUCGAAACGAUCCGUCCUUCUUCCGUACAAACAACACCGGGGCUCCCCACGGUGACACACUUGGCCGGAUAAAUUGCUUGUCGAGGAGGUCUUGCAGUUGACUCCUCAACUCCUUUAAUUCUGCCGGCGCCAUGCGGCACGGGGCCUUCGAGAUCGGUGCAGUGCCGGGAAUCAAGUCUAUGACGAACUCGAUCUCCCGAUCCGGCGGUAUCCCCGGCAACUCCGCGGGAAACACAUCCGGGAACUCCCGCACUACCGCUAGCUCUUCCAAUGUUGGAGCUACUCGUUCCACUUCCACAACGGUUGCCAAAAAUGCUGCACAACCGUUGCUCACCAACUUUCUUGCCCUUGUCGCCGACACCGUCGCGACGAAGCACGAGCUCUGGCAAGCUUGAUAGGUGAAUUCUUCUUGUCCUGGCUCACAGAACGUGAUCACCCUGCUUUUGCAAUCGAUCGUUGCAUGAUACUUCGAAAGCCAAUCUAUGCCCAAUAUGACAUCGUACGCUUCUAGUUUCGUGAGCUCCAACGUCCGGAUUGGCAUAAUCCGUUCGCCUAUUUGCACCGAACACGAGGCGCACUCCGAGUAGGUAUUAAAUGUCGACCCAGGGCCCUCUACUCGCCACUUGUCACUCGCUUCUAUAUAUAUGCCAUGCAUGCGUGCGAAUGAUCUACUUAUGAAUGAAUGCGUGGCUCCUGUAUCAAAUAAACCCCUGGAGCGAACUCCGUUAAUUAAAACCAUACCUGCCACAAGGCGAUGCUCCUCCGCCUCUGCAAGCUCCUCAGCUUGGACCUGAGCGGCGAACACCCGUCCGCUCGGGGCCGAUCGCGCCACCUCAGGUGGACGCGACAUCGUCGCGCGUCCAGUCGACGCGGCCGUCGGUGGAGCUCCUCCAUAGUGAGCCGGAAUCACCGGUGCCGAUGCAGUCGAAGGGGCAGGUGAGGCUCCUCCCCCCGGGCAAUCUCAAAUGAAGUGUCCCGGCUGCCCACAUUUGUAGCACUUGCCUCGGCCUUGUUCACAGCGCGAGACCGGGUGGUCUUCGCCGCAUACAAUGCAUCGCCGCGCUCCACCGCCUUUCUGUUGAGUGCGCGGAUACUUCGGGGGUUUCUUAUAACGUGUUUGACCACCCGAACUACCGCCGCCUUGGCGUUUCUUGCCCUUGUCCUUGGACUCCGCCAAAAGCUCACGCUUCUCCCGAACGUGGGCGUCUCCAUGCUCUGCCCAUAGCGCUCGAUCAAAGACCUCAGCAAAGGUCGUGAGCUUAAGUAUUUACACAGCCUUGUAAAUUGUAACAUAUGGAAAACUUGAAGUUGCAAUGUCAACCUUGAUCUAGGGGAUCAAAGUGAGGAUUGAACUAGUUGGACAUCAUCCUCGAGUGAAUUGUGAUGCGUUGGAAUGACUUUCAGAGAUAAAUAAGUGUUUCGGCGCAAAUUGGGCGCGAAACGAAAUAUAAAGAGAAUUUUCGGAUUUCCGACGCUAACUUUGAUUAAAAGAAUUAAAGUAAGGCGUGAGGAUAAAUUGUGGUAUCUCCGAAUCAAUUGUGAAGCUUUGGAAAAGCCAAGGGUGUGUUUUCAAAGGAUUUUGAAGAGCUCAGUGCGAAGUGGUAGUGUAAAAAAGUAGAAAAUGCAAUAGGAGCUGAUUCUAUUGUUAAUUCGGCUCCAAUAAUGUCAAAAUGCAAAGGAAUUGCUUCCAAACUAAAUUAGUAGCUUGUGAAGAUCCCUUGGUAUAUUUUGGAAGUGUUUGGGUGAAAUCGGAGUGAAAACAGAAAAUGUAGACUUUUCUGUAAAGAACGGGACUGAGAAAAUUAGCAGAAAAUGCACAGUGUCAGAAAAUUAUGAAAAUUGGCAAAGAUGUCAGGAACAUUUUUAUGAGGCUAGAUUUGAAGUUUAAUAUUUUUUUGACACCUGUAGAGAGAGAAAUAGCAUAUGAAAGUUAUCUGAUAAAGCUUAUAGUUCGGGACAGUUCGCAGUGACCAAACGGGGUCGAAACUGAAAUGUUAAAAUUUCAGUGGACUUGUUAAGUAAAAAUGAACAUUCUUGUCAAAAUUGAGCUCAAUCGGACUGUCGGAAGGGCUAAACAUAUAUGAAAAUGAACGCGAGAGACAUGAGAAUGAAUAUAUAUAUGAACGGGAAAGCCAUAGUUAUGCUAAAUUCAUAUGUUCAUGAUAUAUAAAUGUUGAACUUGUAAAUAUCAUGUUAAAUCUGUAAAAGCCAAGGGCAUGUAAAUUGAAUAUGAAAUGUGAACCUAGAUGCUAUUGUCGACACUUAAAAGCGAAUAUUUGAGGCAUGUGCCCAAACAUAUGUGAAAAUGAAUAUAUUAUAGUUCAAGCUAUAUGAACGUCGAUAAUGAUUAGAAACCUCGAUGGCAAUAAGUAUAUAAUCUGUAAACCUCACGUGAAAUCCCUAAGUAUUGGGUAUAAAUCGACAACUCCAGUUGAGUAGAAAUCUAAACGGUAACGAGGUAAAUGAAAAUGUGCAGAUUAUAAACCUAGGCAUGGAGAACUAGGAUAUUGAACAGAUCGAGUGGCAUGAACCUAGAGUUAUUAAACAUAGGUUGGACAUGAAAUAAGCCUAGUGUUAUUGAACAUAGGUCGGACAUUAACCUAGUGUCAUUGGACCUAGGUCGAGUAUGUAAACCUAGAGUUGAGAUCUAGGAGAAAGUAUAUAAAACCUAGUGUAAGUGAACCUAGGUUAUGAUGUCAAGAACCAUUUAGUAAAAGUAAACUAAGUUAUGAAUUAUAGUGGCAAUAGGACCACUAGAAAGUGAAUAAUAUAGACCUAAGAAGGUCGUCAACAUAGGGUCAGUGAGUAAACCCUUAAGUUGUGAAAUGGAUUCCGGAAUCCUUAGGAAUGGUGUGAUGGCAGAAAUAGAAUCUUAACUACGGGAUUGACGGUUCUCCUCUCCCGGUAGUGAUUCAACGGGAUCGACGGUUCUCCUCUCCCGGUAUGCCAUGAAACAAGUGAAGUGAAUCGUAACUACGGGAUCGACGGUUCUCCUCUCCCGGUAGUGAUUCAACGGGAUUGACGGUUCUCCUCUCCCGGAGCUAACGGGUUUGACGGUUCUCCUCGCCCGUUGAGCUUGAGCGACUUAGGGUCACGGGGAUCGACGGUUCUCCUCUCCCUGUGAUGGACCUAGUGUCGCGUGGACUUAAGGCUGAGGUGUUGUGAGACGUCCUUCACCUCGAGCCUGACUUGACGCGGUACUCCGCGGUUGAUUGACUCAAGACCGAGUCGAGUGGCUAGAUGGCUAAGGUAAAGUAACCUUAGGAAAGAAUCGCCAGUGAGUACAAUAAGAAUAAAGAAUAAAGCAUAAAGAAAAGAAUAAGGAAAUAGCUAAUGAAUGAAACUAGCUAAGAAAGAAUAAAACAGCUACAAGUAAAGAAUGGCUAAUGAUAUAAAGUAGAAUCAAGUAAUCUACUUACAUGAAUUACAGGUAAUGCAUAUUGCAUAGCAGCGAGGCAAGGUAUGGUUUUAUUGAUCGCAUCGUUAAAUAUCUAUCUAUCUAUCUAUUGUUGAACUAACCUACUGUUUCCUCCUUUGGACCUGGUAGGUCGAGCUCUUCUCUUGGGUGGCCGUACCCACUGGGAACUAUAUUUAUAUAGUUCUCACCCCCGUGUUGUUUUGGGGGUACAGGUUGCACGCGAGCGGCGCGGCGGCGCGAGGACAGGGCGUAGUUCCGUAGAUAGCGCCCCACCACCGAGACCGAGAUAGCAAUACCUUGAAGAAGUUAAGUUCAGAGUUCAAAUUGAAAGAAACAAACUUGUAGUGAAAUUGUAUAAGUUUUGUAAUAACUUAAAGGUAUUUGGAAUUUUGUAAAUAUAAAAUGCUGAGAUGAAUGCUUGUAAUAGCAUAGUUAGCACUUUUUGUUUUUGAUACUUACGCAAUCUGUGGUUGAAUACAGUUUCUGUUUGGAACCUCUUGUAUUGCAUUGUAUAGAUUGUGACACCUAGAACGUACAGGGGAGGCUCUGUCCGUUCGGCGGUCUGUCGGCGUACCCGAAUCCGACCAAAUAGGCGGAGCUCGGGGCGUGACAGAUUAAAUGGUAUCAGAGCAUAAAAAGAGUAAUAGAAACGGUUUAGAUGGACCUAGGAGACCUAGGAUAGUAAACCGUAAGGACUUACGCUCGUGAGAGACGAGGACUUGUGACGUGUGGCGAAAGGUGAAUCGAUUGGGUCAAGUUUAGUAAACCUCUAAGACGGAUAUUAGAGGUAGAUUCAAGGUUCAGUUUAUUCUCAGCCAAGUGAGUUCAUGUUGGGUCGACACAACAUGAAACCGGGGGAUGGGAAUAAGCUUCCUUGCAUGACUUUCGCCCGAUUUGAGUCCGUAUUAAUCGUUUCGUAUUCGGCCUAGAGGGUCGAGGACUGACCGAGUUAUCGUGUCAGGUUUCUGGGAACGAUGGCACCGCGUAGGCGAUCUUCGACUAGAUCGGCGCGGGAUGGGACAAGUGGUGUCCCUGAGCGAACCGAGACGAGCGGAGACUUGGAGCUUCGCGAGCAAUUGGCCACACUCGUGGGAGUGGUCAGGCAACAAGUGGAUGUAGUGCAGCGUCAGCAGGAAGCUGCUCUGCGCCAUGAAGAGCGGAUAAAGAGACUCCAGGGGACAGUAGAUCACUUGGUGACUACACCAGUUGGGGCUAGUCAAGGACAGCCGGGAGUUGCGACGGAGGCAUUUCCGUCAGGGUCGGGCAAUCCGACUGCUGUUAGUACAGAGAUGGAAGUUGAAAGAGAGAGUGCUUUAGCGGCUCUAAUGACUUUCAAGAAGUUUGAUCCACCUACUCUUGAUGGAGAGGACAUAGAUCUAUGGACUGUGGAGUCGUGGAUUGACUCCCUAGAGAUUAUUUUCGAGGAUUUGUACACGGUGGAGCAGGACAAGGUACGCCUAGCCAUGCAUUGUUUGCAACGAUCAGCGAAGGUGUGGUGGAAAGGCAUCAAGCAGAAUCGAUCACUUAGUCUUCCUCCUAUGGGUUGGACGGAGUUUCGGGAAUUAAUACUCUCUGUUUAUUUUCCCGAUAGUGAAAAGAGAAAACUUCGGGACAGGUUUCAGAAAUUACAACAAGGAGAUCGCUCUGUGAGGGAGUACGAGCGGGAAUUCUCCCGUCUCGUGAACUGUGUUCCAAGUGUGGUACAAGACGAUAAGGAUCGAGCUGAAUGUUUUGUACGAGGACUUCGGCCUGAUAUUUUCAAAGCAGUGCAUAAUCUUAAGUUGCAGACUUUUGCUGAAGUUGUGGAUCGGGCUCUAUGGAUAGAGCAAGGCAAUGCUUUUGUGCGUGAAGAGCGCGAGGCUGAGGAAUGUAAGCGAGUGAGGUCACUACCAAGUAGCUCAGAUGAACAGUCAAGUUUUGGACACCUCUCGACAUCAUCCUCUACUCGAUUCUCCCCACGAUGUGUGAUUUGUGGUGGUUCUCAUUGGGCACGACGUUGCGUGCAACGGGAAGGAAAGUGCACUCGAUGUGGACAACCGGAACACCCAGGUUAUGAGUGCUUGCAAAGUGAUAGUAUGUGGGCGACGCCUUUUUCCUCCCCGGGACAACUUGCAGGUGUGCCACCUGCGGCACGGUCUGGAGAGCGAUUGAGGAUAAGGCAACCGAGGGGUUCGCGACGGGCAGCAAGUGGCCGUGAAUAGGCGACCCAUGUGGUGGAACCUGCUGCGAUUGGUCGUAAUGUGGCAGGUAUGAGUUAAUUAAAGCAAGCAUGUAUUUCAAUAUGAUAUCACUUGGUGCAUUGCAUGCAUUCAUUGUGUAAUCUGUUACUACUAUAGUGAUCAAGUGAAUGGAUAAGGGUAGAGACCCGAACAUGAUUGUGUUGUGGAUGUGUAGUACUUGUUGGAACAGGUAAGAGUCCUGGAACACUAGCAAAUCGCUGGUGAUAGCCUGUGAGAAGAAGUGAGACUCGUAGUAGAAAUGGUAGUGAUUGACCAACUCUCAAAACCAGUGCGAGUGGCUGAUUGCGAGAGUCUAGUCGCGAUGUUCGUGGAAUUCUUGUACGACCGAGCAUUUUGCAGGUUGUUCUAGUAGAUCGAACAGUGAAAAUAGAAUCACUGUUGCGUCUGGUACGUGCACGUGGACCUAGUGGUACCUCGAAUUGAGGUAAGUAGGUCGUGCUCGUGUAGUCGAUAUCCAUAGGCAAGAGUUGCCUAAUGCUAGACUUAAUAUAGCACGCGAUAGAGUCGUGUAGAGCACUCGAGUGUUGGUGCUCGUAGAGUGCAGAUUUGUUUCAGCCGUGAGUGUGUUGGUAGUAGCACUUUAGUGUUUCUAAGUGUGAAGCGUGCCAGAGAUCACUCAUAGGGCCGGUGGCUCGCACUAGGUGCGUAGGAGCCGAUAGUGGUACAUAUGCUCAGCAGAGUGUCGCGUGAGACGACGUUUGCGGGUAGUGCUUGGGGACGAUCCGUGCCUGGACCAUUUGUGAAUUGUGGAGCCUGGACCCAUUGGGUAGGCGCAGUCAGCUAUGAGAGAUAGCGGCCCGAUACCUACAGGUAGGGCGGAGAGUUUUGGUCAGGACGGUAGUCCGAGCAUAGACCGAGUACGUGGAAUGCCACGUGUUAGACCGUGAAAUCGGUGAUGCACUGAGAGUGCGAUUAUGACCCAACCCGAGGACUUGGCGUGAUUUAGGGUCUUAGUUACUCCUGGUUGGAGUAUGUGCGAAUUCUCUAAUGAGAAUUUCGCCCAAUAAUGAUAAUUGGGUCUACGCUUGUGAGCGAGAGACGUUGAGUUAAGCGCUAGGCCUAACAAAUCGUCGAUCCGAUUCGCGAACAGAUCUGUGGUAAUUGAGACACGUAGUUACCCGUGUGCAUUGUAAGUGAGUAGUUCGAAUAUUUCGAACAUGUCCAAGUGAAGGAUAGUGAGUAGGGACCGUGAAAGCGAAGGCUUGGUCCUAUGGAUUAUCUAGUCAGAAUUGCUAAAAUAAGCAUCGAUGACGAGCUGAGAUUGGAAACGCGAACAAAGGGUUCGUAGAGACUGAUUCGGAGGAAUCAGGGUAGCAUAGGUUGAAAUUCAGAAGCUACAGACUGAAAUGAUUCUACAUGUUGAUGAUGGUUGAUACUUAUCUCCAUCCGUUGAGUAAAAGAGGAGUAAUAGGAAUCUAAGUUUCGCGGACGAAACUUUUAUUAACGAGGGGAGAAUGUGUCACGCCCCGGGACCGAUACCAAUUUGGCCCGACCCGAGCUCGUCAAACAGACGCCGAACGGACAGAGUUUCCCCUAUCCGCCCAAGGCUCAUCACAUGUACAAAUUCAAACAAGAAAUGCACUAGCGGAAACAUACACAAACGGCUUACACGAAGGUAAGCAAUAGCCAUUAGUGAAAGAAAAAGGAAACUAACAUUCACAAGUAAUAUGAUUCAUUUUAGAUCAUAUACAUUGCAUUCAUCUAGUAAUUUAGCAAAUUCUUACAUUCAUUACAUCAUUUCUUUCUUACAUCACAUUUACCUCAAAACAAGCUUUACAUUCUUUCUUUACAUCACUAAUCAUCAAAUACAAAAGAUGAUCAUAAGGUACUUUACUACAAAAUGAAACCCAACAUUGGUGGCCUCUGACUAAGGCGCGAUACCUUUACCUCGGUCGCUCGCCGGCUCGCUCGGUCCCGGCUUUGUGGAAAUAGUGGGGUGAGAACUACAACAAAGUUCCCAGUGGGUUCGGCCUCAACAUCUAAGCCGACUUUUCCUACCUGAGCACUACUAAGCAUAAUAGAAAGGAUAAGCUGACAAUAGUAGUAACGCAACCUAACAACAUGAAGUAAUAUGCCUGAACAUAAAGCAAGGAAUAUGCUCAACAUAACAAUGUAAUUAUGCAAAUUUUUUGUUCUUUUCACUUACUCUUUGUUCUUGUUCUUUGCACUUUGUCUUGUUCUUUGUUUCUUAAUCUCAAGCUAACCCGGGGUAUCGGCCACAUUAACUUGCUUCACAUUAAGUCCAUCAUCGCAGGAACUCACCAGCUAGGAGACGUCCUUACGGUUUACUCCAACCCGGAUGCAUAACUCCGGAGCGCAUCGCCCGAGGGGGCGCAACCGCCCUCGAGCACGGUAACUAAUAGCAAGUAUGAUCGAAUCCUUAACUCAAAGGAUUUUAUAAGUUCAAUCUUGACUUUACACUAGCUCUAGUGUUCUUAUAUCACUUUAUGUUGCAAACUCAUGCAAUCACAUUCUUUACAUUUCUUUUACUUUGCUAUCUCUAGCAAUUAUAUCUUCAUAUCUUUACUUUGCUACCUCUAGCACUUCGUGUUCUUUAUUUCCCCACAUUGCUUUAACUUAAACAUUGUCAUUUCAUCAUUCUUUACAUUACAAUUGUUAUUUUGCACACCACUAACUCUAGUGUCUCUUUACUAUACAUUUUCAAAUGCCACUCGAUCUAUGUCAUUGUGCAUUCGUUCUUUUGCUCACUUUGGUGCUCACACUUUCUCUCAUGCAUACAUCUUAGGGUUUUUGACAUAUUAGGUUCUCAACCAUCUCAUUAUCCAAGUUGUGUUCACAAUCAUGCAAUCAUCACAUUUCAUCAUUACUUUACCCUAAAAUGCAUGCAAUAAUAUGUAGAACAUAUGCUCAAAGAAUGACACAUUAGCAUAGAAGGAAGUUCAAUGAGUUUGAGAAGCACCACCCACCUGUAGCGUCUCUUUAGGUGCUCCGACGAUUUUUCGGGAUUUUUAGAUCCUUCGUUCUUUACCUGCGGCAAAACGAAGCCAACUUAGAGCAUUUUGCCCAUAACUUUUCAUCGGCUUUUCGUAACGUAAAUCCGAACGCCACCAACGCGUCGGAAAUACCCCCAAUUAGGUUUUAGAGGGUCAAUGUUUGCACGCUUAGAAACCCUCAUGAGCAAAAGCCCCAAUUUGGGGGCCCUAGCUCCAAUGCGUAUCAAAACUAGGUUUGAUCUCAUUGGGAAGCAAAAGUAGCUUCAUGUAUACUCUAAAUAGUCCAUUAGAAACAUUCUUAGGCUUUCCAAAACCCUAGAUUAGAUUUCACCAUUAGAGUGGUCCAAGCUCACCUCUAUAGCAAACUAGUUGUUGAUCUCUAAAGAAGCAAAAAGAAGCUUCAAACUCUUUAAUCAUUCCAUUAAAAACCCAUUCUAGCUCAUCCAAACUCAUUCUAGGGUUUACUAUGAUUAAGUGAAGCUUACCUCAAGGCUUUUCCCUAACUUGCAUUAGAGAGGAAGAAGAUCGAAGCCUCUUGUGCUCUUUGAUCUUCUUCUUCACUUUUUCUCCUUCUUUUCCUUCUUUUCUUCCUUUAUUCUUCUUCUCUUUUGUCUUCUAGAGCAGAGAGAGGCGAGCAGAGCAGAGUGUGAGAGCGCGUGAGCGAAAUGAGAGCAAAUAUCUCAUUUGGCCUCAUACAUAGCUAUUGGGUUCCAAAAUGCAAUAAACCCCUCAACUUUCACUUAAAUACACUGCUCGAACUGGGCUGAUCGCCGCAGGCAGAGACCGCGUCUCCCCGAGCAGGGACCGUUCCCGAACGUCCACCGCUGCGCAGCCAGAGGCCGCUGCGCGCGAUUGCGACGCGUCUCUCUCUGAUGGACUCGGUCUCUGGGGGACCGGUCUCUCAGGCAGAGACCGGUUCCCGAGAGCUGAUAACUUCCAGACUUAGCCGAUUUUUCGGCUGUCUCAUUCCACACGCGUUCGGGACGGUCUCUCCCACCAGGACCGGUCCCCGAGAGCUUGAAAAUCUGCAGCUUUUGCAGAAUUGAUUUUAGCUCUCGAAAACCUUCCACAACUCACUUUUGAUCAUUUUAACUACCUCGAACUUCGGAAGUGUACAUCCUCGCACUUUGGUCAAUUUGACUAAAGUUCGACAUUUUUAUUUUCCGAAUUUUCGCGUAUAUUACAGAAUGUAACAUAUGGAAAACUGUGAAGUUGCAAUGUCAACCUUGAUCUAGGGAUCAAGUGAGGAUUGAACUAGUUGGACAUCAUCCUCGAGUGAAUUGUGAUGCGUUGGAAUGACUUUCAGAGAUAAAUAGUGUUUCGGCGCAAAUUGCGGCGCGAAACGAAAUAUAAAGAGAAUUUUCGGAUUUCGACGCUAACUUUGAUUAAAAGAAUUACAAGUAAGGCGUGAGCGAUAAAUUGUGGUAUACUCCGAAUCAAUUGUGAAGCUUUGGAAAAGCCAAGGUGUGUUUUCAAAGGAUUUGAAGAGCUCAGUGCGAAGUGGUAGUGUAAAAAAGUAGAAAAUGCAAGUAGGAGCUGAUUCUAUUGUUAUUCGGCUCAAUAAUGUCAAAAUGCAAAGGAAUGCUUCCAAACUAAAUUCGUAGCUUGUGAAGAUCCCUUGGUAUAUUUUGGAAGUGUUUGGUGAAAUCGGAGUGAAAACAGAAAAUGUAGACUUUCUGUAAAGAACGCGGACUGAGAAAAUUAGCAGAAAAUGCACAGUGUCAGAAAAAUUAUGAAAAUUGGCAAAGAUGUCAGGAAACAUUUUUAUGAGGCUAGAUUUGAAGUUUAAUAUUUUUUUGACCACGCCUGUAAGAGAGAAAUAGCAUAUGAAAGUUAUCUGAUAAAGCUUAUAGUUCGGCGACAGUUCGCAGUGACCAAACGGGUUCGAAACUGAAAUGUUAAAAUUUCAGUGGACUUCUUAAGAAAAAACGAACAUUUUGUAAAAAUUGAGCUCAAUCGAACUAUCGAAGGCAAACAUAUAUGAAUAUGAACCGAGAUGACAUGAGAAUGAAUAUAUAUAUGAACGGGAAGCCAUAGUUAGCUAAAUUCAUAUGUUCAUGAUGAUAUAAAGUGUUGAACUUGUAAAUAUGCAUGUUAAACGCUGUAAAAGCCAAGGCAUGUAAAUUGAAUAUGAAAUGUGAACCUAGAUGCUAUUGUCGACACUAAAAGCGAAUAUUGAGGCAUGGCCCAAACAUAAUGUGAAAAUGAAUAUAUUAUAGUUCAAGCUAUAUGAACGUCGAUAAUGAUUAGAAACCUCGAUGGCAAUAAGUAUAUAAUCUGUAAACCUCACGCUGAAAUCCCUAAGUAUUGGUAUAAAUCGACAACAUCCAGUGAGUAGAAAUCUAAACGGUAACGAGGGUAAAUGAAUAUGUGCAGAUUAUAAACCUAGGCGUGGAGAACUAGGACAUUGAAUAGAUCGGUGGCAUGAACACUAGAGUUAUUAACCGUAGGUGGACAUUGAAUAGCUCGAGUAGCAUGAACCUAGUGCUAUUAAACAUAGGUUGGACAUGAAUAAGCCUAGUGUUAUAUGAACAUAGGUCGACAUUAACCUAGUGUCAGUGGACCUAGGUCGAGUAUUGUAAACUAGAGUUGAAGAUCUAGGAGAAAGUAUAUAAAACCUAGUGUAAGUGAACCUAGGUUAUGAUGUAAAGAACAUCUUAGUAAAGUAAACUAAGUUGUGAAUCAAGUGGGCAAUAGACCACUAGAAAGUGAAUAGAAUAGACCUAGAAAGAUCGUCGACAUAGGGUAAAAGAGUAAACCCUUAAGUUGUGAAAAUGGAUUCCGAAUCCCUAGGAUUGGUAUGAUAGGCAGAAAUAGAAUCUUAACUAGCGGAUUGACGUUCUCCUCUCCCGUAGUGAUUCAACGGGAUCAACAGUUCUCCUCUCCGCGUAUGCCAUGAAGGAAGUGAAUCGGAACACGGAUCGACAGUUCUCCUCUCCCGGUAGUGAUUCAACGGAUGACGGUUCUCCUCUCCGGUUGAGCUAACGGGUUUGACGGUUCUCCUCGCCCUGUUGAGCUGAGAGAUUAGGGUCAGCGGGAUCGACGGUUUCCUCUCCCUGUGAUGGACCUCAGUGUCGCGUGGACUUAAGCUGAGGUGUUGUGAGACGUCCUGCCACCUCGAGCCUGACUGACGCGCGUACUCGCCGCGGUUGAUUGACUCAAGACCGAGUCGAGUGCUAGAUGGCUAAGGUAAGUAACCUUAGAAAGAAUCGCCAGUGAGUACAAUAAAAUAAAGAAUAAAGCAUAAAGAAAAGAAUAAGGAAAUAGCUAAUGAAUGAAACUAGCUAAGAAAGAAUAAAAGCUACAAGUAAAGAAUGGCUAAUGAUAUAAAGUGAAUCAAGUAAUCUACUUACAUGAAUUACAGGUAAUGCAUAUUGCCAAGCCAGCGAGGCAAGGUAUGGUUUUAUUGAUCGCAUCGUUAAAUAUCUAUCUAUCUAUCUGAUUGUUAACUAACCUACUGUUUCCUCCUUUGACCUGGUAGGUCGAGCUCUCUUCUGGGUAGGGCUACCCACUGGGAACUAUAUUUAUAUAGUUCUCACCCCCGUGUUGUUUGGGGUACAGGUUGCACGCGAGCGCGCGGCGGCGCGAGGACAGGGCGUAGUUCCGUAGAUAGCGCCCCACCACCGAACCGAGAUAGCAAUACCCUGAAGAAGUAAGUUCAGCAGUUCAAAAUUGAAAGCAAACAAACUUGUAGUGAAAUUGGUAUAAGUUUUGUAAUAACAUAAGGUAUUUGGAAUUUUGUAAAUAUAAAAUGCUGAGAUGAAUGCCUUGUAAUAGCAUAGUUAGCACUUUAUGUUUUUGAUACUUAUGCAAUCUGUGGUUGAAUACAGUUCCUGUUUGGAACCUCUUGUAUAUGCAUUGUAUAGAUUGUGACGCCUACGAACGAUAGGGGAGGCUCUGUCCGUUCGGCGGUCUGUCGGCGUACCCGAAUCCGACCAAAUCGGCGGAGCUCAGGCGUGACAUAAAUUCCCGGCCGAAGUCCUCGCAAGAGCCACUCGGCCGCGUCCCGCGUCAUCCUUGACAACAUCCUGGACACAAUCAUGAUGUGGGAGAAUUCUUGUUCAUACUCCGCCACUAAGCCGCUCCCUUGCUCCAGCUUGCGAAUUUCUCCUUGAGCUUCCGCUUCAACGUAUACGGAAAUAAUUGGCGAACAUUUCCCGCUUGAAUUCCUCCAUACAUCGCGCGGAAGGCCGCCGGAAGCCGAUCCGUUUAACGCGCUCACCAAACCUCGCCGCCGCCUUCUCCAGGCAAUGGGUAGCGAGGUAGACUUUAUCCGCUCUCCAAGGUACGCAAAUCAUCGAAGGGGUUCCAUCAAGUCGAUCCAAGCACUCGACCAUCUCUGGUUCCACCUUCUCGCCCCUCGAAAGUUGGCGUAUGGAACUUGUUGAAUUUGAUAAGAGCCGCCAAUGCGCGCUCUCCUUCCACCUCUUCGCCGACACAUCGGAGGUAGCCAUCCAGAUGCCGCCUGUGUGCGAUCUGCUGUCGGUCGGCGUCUGCAGCACACACCAGAACCGCGCGUAUACCCUCACCCUCCGCCACCUCGGCACACGGUCGAGGAGCGCGCGGCGGCCACCGCCCUCAGCCAUUGUCGCGGCGCGGGUGCCGUGAGCUCCGCUCCAUAAGUUCCUGAAGCCUCUCGAAUCGGGUCUCCUGGCGCUGCCACCACGCUAGUCAACGCGGUCACUUGCGGCCUGCAGCCGAUCAUCAUGCUCGGCUCCGUCUGCUCGGGCACCUCGGUGCGGUGCUGGAGUGGAUCUCGUACUUGGGGCGUCUCUUCCGUGCCAUAGCUCUGAAACGCAACCACUUGUUUAAUCACUUUAACCAACUUCCUCGUCGGAAUCACCGACACACCACGACUCAGCAACAAAAUCGGCGGAAGCACACACGCGUACUCGUCCUAGACUCUGGCAUUAUGUCGUCGGCCGCCGACACAACACCUCAAGCCACGAACUCAUACAACUCAAUCCGUCUCUAAUCACAAUAAGAGACCUAUACCAACUCGACCCAAUCGAAUUAACUUCCGCCAUCGCUGAUAGGUUCACAUUCCGCUCACGUCUGCACCUAUAACCUUAAGGCUGCCAACUAGGUCCCUAGGUCAUCUAAACUCUCUUUACUUGCUCUUAUGCUCUGAUACCACGAAAAUACUGUCACGCCCCGCCCCGCGAAACCACUACCAAUUUGGCGCGAUUCGGCCGCGCCGACAGACGCCGAACGGACAGCACCCUCCCCUGCCCGCCAAGCUCAACCACAGGAAUGUGUACAAGAAUUUACCUAGAACUUUAAUUCUAACAUACAACAUUCAACGACGGGCACAAACAGUGCGCAACAACAAGAGAAGACAAGUAAUCCACAAGAUAUACGAGUGAAAUGAAGAGAGUACUUUAACUAACUAUUACAAUAGUUACAUUCUUUACCUUUACAUCAUUUUCAAAAAUGAAUAGCAUUUGAUCCCUCAAAAUACAUAGCUCUCCAACCUCACCUACAUGAAUCUCUCUCAUACAUAGGUGUACUAAUGCAAAGGAAGCUACUACACUCACCACGGCCUCACUGAUGGCGCGCGAUGCCCUUGCCGCGGUCCUCUCUCUGCAAGCCCUGAACCUACACUGGAAAUAGAGUGGCGCUGAGGAACCUACUUCCAUCAGUUCCAGCUGUGGCUGGCGCACUCGUGCGAUCUCCCACUAGGUCCAAGUGGGCACAAGUAACAACAAAUAGAUAGAUAAUAUGUAUCUGAAGCUGUAAUGCAGUCUACGUAGGAAAACUAUGCUACUAUGCCCAUAAUCAUGAAUAUGAAUGCAUGCAUCAUAUAAUAAAAGGUUUGCUACCAUGCUAACAAAUUCGAUCCAUGUUCGAAUCGUAAUGCUUCAAUGACAUUUAUAAACCUUUAACCUUUUUCAUUUACCCAAUCUGUGCGAGGCCCUAGGCUCGCCCUGACCAUACACUUUCAAUCCCAAAGUGGGGAGGGAGCUCCAAGUUGCACCCAGCCCGGCGACCGUCUGCCGAACCUCCAUGUGGUCCGACCUCCAAGUGGUCCUAGUCCGCCGACACUCCGGAGUACUCGACGACAAUCCCCUCCAUUGGCGAUAUGGAUGGCUAUACCAUCCCAAACCCCAGACUGUGAGCUAGAUCUGUCCUCUCCAAGUGAGAUACUCUACAUACUAGAGUCAAUACCCAAUCGAAUCCUCUCAAGUGAGGACGCCCCUACACAAGGACAGUCAACGCACUAUCGCGGAAUCAUCGGUUCCCGACAUUCAUCAAUACUAUUUAGUUUCUACAAUUCAUUGUUCACCAGCGCAUUUUUAAGGGAUCCACCUAUCCCUAGGUCCAUCGACUCCUAGUGUUAUUUACAACUACAUUAAUGCCAACUCGUUAUCAUUCAAUAUUUGGGUGCGCCACUCUGUUUCUUUGACAAUAAACCUACUUUCUAUGUCAUCAAUACCCCAUCGGUUCAUCUCUAUCUCUAGAUCAUAGGAUCACUGUUCCGACCCAAUCCUCACCUAUCUACGUUACAAGCGUUCAAGUACACUAGGUCAUCCAUUAGAAAGCAUAUAGGAAUGGCGCUACUAUGCAAUCCUACAACUGCAACAUGAAGAGAUGAGAUUAAAUGCAAUCUAAGACAUAGAAAGGAGUUCGAGAAGUUCGGGAUAACACCCCCCACCUUUUUAAUCGAGUGUAGAGGUUUUGGAAAUCUUCUCAGCGAGCUUCGCGAAAAGCGCUUUAGCCUUUUUCCUCCCCGAAUCAACACUAGCCCGGCCCGAUUUGCCGAGAACUUUCACGCAGGUUGCCAACUGCCAAAUCGACUUCGCCCCCCGCGUGUUUGGGACCUAUCAAUCAGUUAUCCAAAGGCUUCAAAUGAGAUACACCCAUCUCAACGACUUUAUACAAAACCCCAUUGGAACCCUAGAUUCCACCUAGAAGCUAACACCCCUAUAAGAUCCUAGCAUUUCUUGGAUUGAAUCUAUUUUAGAAGCUUGCCUUAGGGUCCGAUUGACCAUUCAAGACAUAAAACCACAAAACCUAAGUUUAGAACGCUAGCGUUUAGUAGCGUUACCUCAAGAGCUUUUUUUACUCCAGGGAAGAGGCAGAAGAGAGAUAGCGAGGUGCUCAAGCCUCCUCUUGAUCUCCUUCUCUUCUGCCUUCCUUACUUUCCAUCUUCUUUCCGUCCUCUCCUUCUUGUUCAUUCUUCCCUGCUUUCCUUCUAAGAGAGGAGAGAGCAAGAGCAAAAUGAGAGUGAGAGAGAGUAAAAUGAGAGAGUGGAGGAGAGAGAGGCGCUCAUGCCUACAAAUAAAGGCCAUUGCAUAAAGCCCUCGACUUUCCACCUUGUGCCACUGCCCUUAUCAUGGCAUGUUUUCCGCAUGCAGGGACAGAGUCUACCCGACUUUGGGACGAGUCCCCGAGAGGCUUCCCUCGGCCGCGCACGCGUUCGGGCAACCGAGUCUCUCCCGGCGAGACCGUCCCUCACUGAGAAGACCAUGUCCCAGAGCUUGAUUUUCAGGACUUAGCCAAUUUUUUGGCAUCUCUCGCUGGGACCACGUUCGGGAACCGGUCCCUCCCUGCCAGGGACCGGUUGCAUCACGCAACCCCGCUACAUCCAGCCAGGGGAACCGGUCUCUCACCUGCAGAGACCGGUCCCCGAGAGCAACAUCAGCCCAAUGAUGCCAUUUGCCUCAUUUGCUCUCGCGGACUCAACUCCAAGGCACUUUUUGUGCUUUGGACAUUCCCAACUCCCACAAAGGGUAUACUCUCGACAAUUAGUCGAUCCUGGAUGGAGUACAAUCCUCGCAUUUCGAGAAUUCACUUCCUUACACAUAAUCCAAUAUAUCUUUAUGUAAUGAAUAUGCUCUAUCAUAACAACCAAGUAUACUAUGAUGCAACAAGUAAACUAUCAAGUAUACUACAUGUCCCAACGCUAUGCUACAAGCAUGUCAAGGUAAUCCAACUACUACUCCCUAUCUAGUAGUGAUUAACUUUUACGAAUUGAUGUCAUUGUCCAAUCUAGUUUUGGGACCUACACAAGUGUAGUCCAGCUUGUGCCGCCUAAGUGUCGGUGGUAGCUCCAGCAUUCCUACUCUAGGAAUGAGUCUAUCCCUCCCGACUCCGUAGGUUUCUCGAUGCCGCACGAGCUAACAUAAGCCGCGUAGGCCAACUCCGGACUGCCGGCUUGUGGGGAGCGACCCUCACAAGCGUGUGCGAAUGAGCACAAAUGGCAAGCAAGCAUAGUCAAUGUCUCAAGUGUCCAAUCAUCAUGUCUCUAGCAUGGUCAAAGCCACUAGCAACCCAACGGUCUAGUUCUAUGUCUCAAAGUGAUGUUCCAACACUCACCUUGCUUAGUGCCUCUUUAUGCACUUAAGCAUUAUGAUAAUCCAAGUACAAUCCACAUUCUAUGUCCCUUCAUGACACUAGUACUAGGUUCACACAUAACCCAAGCUCAAUGCCGUUUUAUGACAUUAGCUCCAAAUUUUUUCAUGACAGUCUAGUCUGAUGCCUCUUUAUGGCAUUAGCUAUCUCUCAUGUCUCUAACAUGCAUAGGUUUAUGUAGCACACUGGACUUUUGCAAAUUGCGAGGUUCGAGUGUUUGGAUGUAUUUCGAGCUUUUCCACACUUGAUGGAGGGUUGUAGAAUGUUUUCCGACCUAAAAAAUUCGAAAACUGGAAUUCUGGACAAGUCCUGAGAGUUUUUACUCUCGGGGACCGGUCCCUGGAAGGAGAGACCGGUCCCCCGGUGAGCAGUGUUGUGGCAGUCGGUCCCUGGCAGGCGAGACCGGUCCCCGAGCGCGCCUUCGCAGAGAGAGACCGGUCCCGCGCAGGGAGAGACUGGUUCCCGAACGUUGGUUUUUCGGGUUCGCAGCGAGAGACCGGUCCCUGCUGGGGAAAGACCGGUCCCUCUGGGCGAAAACUGCCCAGACCGGGCUGUUGCAAUAUUGGAAUUUUGAGGGACCUAGUUGGAUUUUGUUACAAUAGAGGGUCUAUAUGACCCAUCCACCCUCUCUUCUCCUCAUUUCCCUCCUCACACUCUCCCCACAUCCUUGCUAGAGAGAGAAGAAGGAGAAGAAGAGGAAGGAGAAGAAGAGGAGAAGGAUCUAGAUUGGGCUUGCAGCAUCCCUUUGCCUUCCUUCCUCUUCCCACCUUGUUGGUGCUUGAAGGCUUGGACUUGGAGCUUGCAAAGGAGAAGAUCUUCACCCUUUGAGCUUGGAUUGAAGCUCCUUAGAGGUUAGUAGCCCUUUCUCUCCAUCUAGACUUUGGAUUUUCGGUUUUCUUGUGUUGGAACCCUAGAAUGAGAUUUUAGGGUUGAUUUUGGGGCUUUUUGAUCUAGGGCUUUUGGGACUAAAUUAGUUGGAUUAGAACCUUCCAUUUGGUUGGAUUGGAAGGGUUCUAGCUCUCUUUUGGAGCUUUGGAAGAGAUUUCUUCUCUUGAGGUGAGUUUUAGUCCUUUUGUCUUGUUGCUUAAUAUUUGAUCUUAUAGUUGAUCGUAAUGCCCGUGUAUCUCUUCGCUCAAUACUUUUAGGGUAUUUUGAGGCUCGUGGACAACUCGGUUCGGCGAAUCGAAGGAGCACGCGACGGUUCGGUGGGUUUGACCUAGCCUAUGAUAUGAGAAAUGCUCAUAUUUGGCAAAAUAUGAUUCGUAAAAUAGAUAUUCAUGCAUUUUCAUGUUAAAUGUAUUUAAUAUGAAUUUUAGAAUGCUUAACAUGCAUAUAUUAUGUAUAGUAAAAUUUUAGACCCCUAUGUGGUAGAGUGUAUGCAUGUGAGACUUAGCAUUCUAGUUAUGAUUGGGAACCAUGAUUCCUAUUAUGGAAAUGAACCUUGCUUUCAUGCAUUUAACCUAUAUGCCAAUUGUGACAUUAGGAAUUUUAGAAGCCUAGAGAAGGCUUGAGAACUUGGACUAUUUGAGAUUGGGCCAAUGUCAUAAAGAGGCAUUGGGCCCGGGCUAAAGUGAACCUAGCUAGUAUUUUUUAAAUUGGAAUAUGGAACAUGAAUUGGGCAUGAUUAGUUGUGAUGCUUAAGUGUCAUAAAGAGGCACUAAGCAAGUGUGUGCGUUGGAGCGUCACUUUGAGACUUUGGACUAGAUCCUUGGGAUGCUAGUGGCCUUCCCAUGUGAGAGGCAUGAGAGUAGAGUACUUGAGACUUUGACCUUGCUUGCUUGCCAUUUGUGCUCAUUCGCACAUGCUUGUGAGGGUCGCUCCCUACAAGCCGGCACUCCGGAGUUAGCCUACGCGACUUAUGUUCGCUCGUGCGGUAUUAAGAAGCCUACGGGGUCGAGUGGGACAGACAUAUUCCAAGAGUAGGGAUGUUGGGCUACCACAGGCACUUAGGCGGCACAAGUUGGACUACCUUUGGUAGGUCCUUAAUUGGAAAUGGAAAUCGACACGGGAUGAGUUUGUUAUAAUCACUACUAAAUAGAGAGUGGUAGUUGGAUUGCUCGGACUUGCUUCUAGCAUAUAUUUAGACUUUGGGUAUACUAGGAGGCAUUGCUAGGAGGCAUUGCUUAAUUGCACUCAUAUAAACAAUGUUGCUAUGAUAAAGGAUAAUCCUCAUAAUUUCAUUAAGCAAACCAUGACAAUCAUCUAUGGCUAAGUAGAGACAUAUUCUUCAUGACAAGAUAAUUGUGCAUUACCUAAAUGCCAUAUUUAAUUGCAAGUAAUAUUUUAGUAUUUUCAUUAUGCUUUCAUAAAUGCAAAUUACUCGUUAUUGCUAUUGCUUUUGACUUACCCCUUUUCUUUUGGGCCUAGUAGUGCAAUGAGCUGAGGUCAGUAAUUGCCCACUGGGAACUAUAAAUUAUAGUUCUCACGCCCUCUGUUCUAUGUUUUCUUUCAGAGCCUUCCACGCCGGGAGAGGCUAGGGACCGUGGGAAGGGCGUUGCUUCGGAUUAGCCCUUCAGUCAAAGAUGAGUUUAAGUGGUCUUCCUCUCGACGUAUUUCUUUUUGUGAGAGGUUGAGAGUUUACCCGUGUACUAAAGACCACCAUUCUUGUACUAGAUAUCGAUGUUGUACUACUUAUAUUUUUCUUUUAUGGUUUAAUUAUGUUUCUUUUACUCUGGUUUAGAUGAUAGAACCGUACUCGCUCUGAUAUUAUUAGUUACCACUAUGCUAUUUGUUCUACUUCUUGCUUUACUUCCGCUUUUGUUGUAGACGCUUUAUAUGUGUAGACAUAUGGCGGGUCUGGGCGCGCUACCGGGAGGGCCUUCGCCGGUCCCGGGGCGUGACAGUUUAAGUGCACUACACAAUGCUCAUUUUCGUUGUAAGAAACAUGGUCCCAAGUCCAACAUAAGAAUGCCAAAUGCUAGUAUAAGCCUCACAUGCAACUCUCUCCUAUAUAGAGGUCCGAAAAUUUAUUGUACAUGACAUAGGGAUGUUAAGUAUUCUAAAAUUCACAAUAAAUACAUUUAGCAUGAAAAUGCAUGAAUUUCCACUUUACGAAGCAUAAAUCACCAAAUAUGAGUAUUUCUCAUAUUGUAGGCUAGGUCAAACUCACCGAACAACGCGUAACCCUUCAUUUGCUCUAACGAAGAUGUCCACUAAGCUCCUAGCAUCCUAGAAGCAACAAAAAGUGAGCUACAAGGAAUAAACGAACAACUACUAUCUCAAUCAUUAACCAACUAGACAAAAGGGCCAAAUCUCACCUAUAGUGAAGAAAUCCCUCUUCAAAGCUCAAAUGGAAGUCAAAUCCCUUCCAAAGCAACCUAAACCAAGGUUCUAAUCCCAUUAGAUUAGCCCCAAAAGUCUCCAAACAAAAAGCCCCAAAAUAAACUCUAAAAUCCAAAUCUAGGGUUUCAUCUCCCAAAAUCCACCAAAACUAGGUCUCGAGGGGAGGAACAAGCAACUAACCUCUUAAGAAGCUUCAAUCCAUGCUCCAAGUUCUCUAGGGUUGAAGAUAUCCUCUCUAGUAAGCUCUAAGUCCAAACCUCCAAGCACCAACAAGGUGGGAAGAGAGGGAGAGAAGAUACUCCAAGUCCUCAAACAAGCUCUUCCUCUACUUCUCCUUCUUCUCCUUCUCCUUUUUCUCCUUCUUCUUCUCUUUCUAGAGUGUGUGAGAGAGUGAGAAGUGAGGGAAAGAGGGAAGAGAAAUGGCCUAAAAGCCCUCUAUUGUAACAAAAUUCGGAAAAGUCCCUCUACUUUUCAUCCUAUGCAUCAGCCCGAACUGGGCAGUUUUCGCCCAGAGGGACCGGUCUCUCCCAGUUGGGACCGGUCCCUCGGGACCAUCCAGCAAAACCAGCUCUCGGGAACCGGUCUCCCCAGCCGCGGACUGGUUGCCUCGCCGUGGGGGACCGGUCUCUCCCACCAGGGACCGGUCCGCAAGAGUAAAAAUCUCAAGACUUGUCCAGAAGUUCAGAUUUCGAACUUUCUGGUCAGAAUGCAGUCUACGACCCUCCACCAAGUGUGGGAAAAGCUCGAAACACCAAACCCAAACACUCGAACCUUGCAAUUUGCGAAAGUCCAGUGUGUUACAUUCACCCCUCCUAAAAAGGAGUUUCGUCCGCAAAACUCGAAAAGCAAAGUACCUCAAGCCUCCAUCUGAAAAAGAUGGAGAUAGCGCUCCUGCAGUGCGCUCUCCAACUCCCAAGUGGCCUCACGUUCAUCGUGGUUGCACCAAAGCACCUUCACGUAGGGAAUCUCACGGUUCUGCAAUCUCUUAACUUCGCGAGCCAAAAUCCUCAAAGGUUGCUCUUCAAAACUCAAGUCAUCCCUCAGCUCCAAAGGUGUAGCGUCCAACACGUGAGCCGGAUCAUGGAUGUACUUCCAAAUGACCGAUACAUGGAAUACAUUGUGUACACCCGAUAGGUUCGGCGGUAGAGCAAGUCGAUACGCUACCGGGCCUACACGCUCUAAAACCUCGUAUGGUCCAAUGUAUCAGGGGCUCAACUUACCCCGGAUGUCAAAUCUUCUAAUUCCUUUAGUUGGCGAGACUUUCAAGAAGACAUGAUCUCCAAUCUGAAACUCAAAGUCUCGUCGUCGCCUAUCAGCAUAACUCUUUUGCCUACUCUGGGCUGUCAACAAUCGCUCCCGAGCAAUGCGAACCUUGUCCUCUGCUUCCUGGAGCACGUCAGGGCCUAAAGCCAAUCUCUCGCCAACUUCACUCUAAUGAAGUGGCGAUCUACACUUCCAUCCAUAGAGUGCCUCGAAAGGUGCCAUCUUGAUGCUUGCUUGAUAACUGUUGUUAUAAGCAAACUCUGCCAUCGGUAGAUACUGCGACAAUCCUCCCUGGAAGUCAAUCACACACGCACGAAACAUGUCCUCGAGAGUCUGUAUAGUACGCUCUGACUACCCGUCACUCUGAGGGUGGAAAGCUGUACUAAAAUCCAAACGCGUACCCAAAGCAUCCUGUAAGCUCCUCCAAAAGUGGGAUACAAAUCGGGGGUCUCGAUCUGAUACUAUAGAAGUAGGUACCCCGUGCAAUCGCACAAUCUCGUCAAGAUAUACAUGUGCGAGUCUCUCACCAGUCCAAGUAGUGUGAAUAGGUAUGAAAUGAGCCGAUUUCGUCAACCUAUCCACAAUCACCCAAAUAGCAUCAUGCCCAGCCUGCGAGCAAAGCAAUCCCAUCACAAAGUCCAUGGUGAUCUUCUCCCACUUCCACACUGGAAUCGGUAAGCUCUGCAACUUUCCCGCAAGAACUCGAUGCUCAGCUUUAACCUGUUGGUAAGUUAGACAUCUAGCAACAAACUCGCCAACAUCAUUUUUCAUCCCGAGCCAACAAUAUAGCAACUUCAAGUCCUUGUACAUCUUGGUGCCUCCCGGAUGUAUAGCAUAGGGUGAUUGGUGUGCUUCUUGAAGAAUUUCCUCUCUAAGUGCCGAUUUCGCUGGUACACAAACCCGUCCGCAGAAACGCAUCAUCCUAACACCGUCCACAGUGAAGUCACCAGUGCAACCACCAACCAUCUUAGCUCGAAUCCUUCGCAACUCCACGUCGUGAACUUGCUUUUCCUUAAUCCUUUUCAAAAGUGUAGGUUACAUCGCCAAAGUCAUCAGCCUCAAAGGUGUAUCAGGACUCACCACCUCUAACUCCAACCGCUUCAUCUGCUCGAUCAACUGCGGUUGAGUAACAACAAGCAUCGCUAAGUUUUCCGUCGAUUUCCUACUUAGCGCAUCCGCCACCACGUUAGCCUUGCCCGGGUGGUAAAGAAUCGUCAGAUCAUAAUCCUUGAGGAGUCCAACCAUCUGCGCUGUCUCAAAUUCAACUCCUUCUGAGUGAAUAAAUACUUUAAGCUCUUGUGAUCCGUAUACACUUCACACCGCUCGCCAUAAAGAUAAUGGCGCCAUAGCUUCAAUGCAAAGACUACGGCCGCCAACUCCAAGUCGUGAGUAGGGUAAUUCCUUUCAUACUCCUUUAACUGACGAGAAGCAUACGCGAUCACCUUCCCGUCCUGCAUUAAACCACAGCCCAAUCCAUUAAAGGAAGCAUCACUAUAAAUCACAUACUCCGCUCCAGCAAUUGGCAAGGUUAGGAUCGGGGCGGUAGUCAAUCUCUACUUCAGCUCUUGGAAGCUCUUUUCACACGCAUCAUUCCAAAUGAACUUAGUGCUUUUAUGCGUGAGCCUCGUGAGGGGAGUAGAAAACUUUGCAAAUCCCUCGACAAACCGUCGGUAGUUGCCGGCCAAGCCAAUAAAACUACGUAUCUCGGUAACACUCGUCGGCCUCGGCCAAUCCUUGAUAGCUUCAAUCUUCCUAGGAUCCACAGCUAUACCUGAUCCUAAAAUCAAAUGGACCAAAAACGCCACCUCUCUAAGCCAAAACUCACACUUCUUUAACUUNCACGUACGGGGACCGGUCCUCAUGAUCAGAGACCGGUCUCCCAAACCUUCUACGCAGAGAAGCUUGAUGGGUCCGGUCCCCGACCCCUGAGUUUUUCCAAAAAACUUAAGUUUGAAUAAACAAGAAGGAAACCAAGUCUUCUAAACAUCUUUUAACAAUGAAAACUUCACCACAAAUUAUUUAUAAUCAUACCUGAGUUCUCAAGGGUCUUUGAUCAUAAGAACUUCAAUUCUUUUCGUCAAUCUUCAUCUUCUAAUUCUUCGAGACUCCAUCCAAACCAUCACGAAAUUCGCCAACUUAUAAAAUCCUUAACAACUCCUUUAACUAACGAGAAGCAUACGCGAUCACCUUCCCGUCCUGUAUUAAAACAUAGCCCAAUCCAUUAAAGGAAGCAUCACUAUAAAUCACAUAUCCCGCUCCAGCAAUUGGCAAGGUUAGGAUCGGGGCGGUAGUCAAUCUCUACUUUAGCUCUUGGAAGCUCUUUUCAUACGCAUCAUUCCAAAUGAACUUAGUGCCUUUAUACGUGAGCCUCAUGAGGGGAGUAGAAAACUUUGCAAAUCCCUCGACAAACCGUCGGUAGUUGCCGGCCAAGCCAAUAAAACUACGUAUCUCGGUAACACUCGUCGGCCUCGGCCAAUCCUUGAUAGCUUCAAUCUUCCUAGGAUCCACAGCUAUACCUGAUCCUAAAAUCAAAUGGACCAAAAAUGCCACCUCUCUAAGCCAAAACUCACACUUCUUUAACUUAGCGAAGAGUUUCUUUUCCCGAAGCACUUGAAGUACUAGUCUCAAGUGUUCCUCGUGAUCCGCAUCACUUCGGAAAUAAACCAAAAUAUCGUCGAUGAACACCACGACGAACCUGUCUAGAUAUGGCUUGAAAACAUGAUUCAUUAAAUCCAUAAAAGCUGUCGGGGCAUUAGUAAGCCCAAACGGUAUAACAGUAAACUCGUAAUGUCCAUACCGUGUUCUAAAAGCCGUUUUUGACACAUCCUCAGACUUGAUCUUUAACUGGUGAUAUCCCGACUGCAAGUCGAUCUUGGAAUAUAUACUCGAUCCUUGCAGUUGAUCAAACAGAUCAUCGAUCCUCGGCAACGGGUACUUGUUCUUGAUCGUGACUUUAUUAAGUUCACGAUAGUCCACACACAGCCGAAGUGACCCGUCCUUCUUCUUAACAAAUAAGACCGGUGCUCCCCAAGGUGACAAACUCGGUCGCACAAAAUCCUUAUCCAAAAGAUCUUGCAACUGUGCCUUCAGCUCCUUCAAUUCCAAUGGUGCCAUCCUAUAGGGCGCUUUUGAGAUUGGAGUAGUCCCGGGGACGAGAUCUACAACAAACUCAAUCUCCCUAUCUGGUAGCAUGUCUUGUAGCUCCGUUGGAAACACAUCCCUAAACUCCCGCACGACGGGGAUGUCCUCAAUCCUAGGGGUGUCGGUUUCACCCCGCAACACAACAGUAGCCAAGUAUGCUACGCAGCCUCCGCUGAUCAACUGUCUAGCUUGAGAUGAGCUAAUUGUUAUGGCAAACAGCGAACUCUGGCAUCCUUGAUAAACGACGUUCGUCUGCCCCGGCUCUCUAAACGUCACCGUUCGAUUCUUGCAAUCAAUAGUGGUGUAGUACUUGGUUAACCAAUCCAUGCCCAAAACCAUAUCAAAUUCUCCAAGUUUGCGCAAAGCAAAUAAAUCCGCGGGCAUGAUCCAAUCCCCUACUCAAACAAGGCAACUGUGAUAAAUCUCUCUAAUGUCCAAGGAGUGGUCGGGAACAACAACACGUCCCGGAUGGAACAAAGAUGUCAGUGGAUGCUAUGCAAUUCGGCAAACAGCCGAUCAAUGAAUGAAUGCGAUGCACCGGUAUCAAAUAAUGCACGAACUUGAAUACCAUAAAGUAAAAUGAUACCUGCAACCACAUUCUCAGCUACUGCCGCCUCCUCCGUCUAGGCCGCAUACAUGCGCCCGCUUGGGGCCUGUCGUGACCCCUAGAUCUGCCUUCGUACAAGUGGUCGUCCGGCCUAGUGGUGAGCAGAAAACGUCCCCUGGCUGGGACCCGGUGAUGCUGGUGCAGAUGCCGAAGAUGGCGCUGGCACUGAACUCCUCGGGCAGUCCGACUGGAAGUGGCCCUUCUGGCCACAUAGGUAGCACCUGCCCCGACUGCGUGAACACUGCCGUGGAUAAUGAGGACCACCGCAGAUCACGCAACGCGGAGCCUGAUGUCGAUCAGGUCCUCCUUGCUGAGUAGACGAGCCACGUCCCCGCGACUGGCUCCGACUCCUCCGGUGCCUUGGCGGCCUCCGUGAGUGCGCCUGACUCGCACCGUCAGCCGCAGGCCUCUUGCCCUUCCCCUUUUCCAAACUCUCGCAACGCUCCUGAAGAUCUGCCGCUCCUACCUCCACAAUAAGCGUGCGGUUCACAACCUCCCGGUAGGUUUGGAGGUUGGAGGACUGCAUGUCACGCCCCGGGACCCAACGGAAGCCCGCCCGGCACGUGCCCAGACCCGCCAUACGUCUAAAACAUAUAAGGCGUCUAAAAACAACAAUAAUAAAAGCAGUAAUGAAAGACAUCUAGGAGUAUCAGAGCAUGAUAAAUGUCUAAAUGCUACCACAAGGGAUAAGGAUAAAACUGUAAAUCCACUAAAUAAGACAUAAAGUAAAUACAAUAGAAAAUCCCAAAUACAAGUGCUAAAAGUAGGUACAUAGGUGGUCUCUACACAUGGAUACAAAAUCUCUCACUCUCCCAACUACAAAAAGAAAGAGCAAACCACCUAGGCAAAGAACCGCCCCUCGCUAGCUAGCUAAGCGAUCCCCUUGCCGCGAUCCCGUGCCUCCGCCGGUGCCGAAGGCUCUNAAAGGUGCCAUCUUGAUGCUUGCUUGAUAACUGUUGUUAUAAGCAAACUCUGCCAUCGGUAGAUACUGCGACCAUCCUCCCUGGAAGUCAAUCACACACACACGAAGCAUGUCCUCGAGAGUCUGUAUAGUACGCUCUGACUGCUCGUCACUUUGAGGGUGGAAAGCUGUACUAAAAUCCAAGCGCGUGCCCAAAGCAUCCUGUAAGCUCUUCCAAAUGUGGGAUACAAAUCGGGGGUCUCGAUCUGAUACUGUAGAAGUAGGUACCCCGUGCAAUCGCACAAUCUCGUCAAGAUAUACCUGUGCGAGUCUCUCACCAGUCCAAGUAGUGUGAAUAGGUAUGAAAUGAGCCGAUUUCGUCAACCUAUCCACAAUCACCCAAAUAGCAUCAUGCCCAGCCUGCGAGCAAGGCAAUCCCAUCACAAAGUCCAUGGUGAUCUUCUCCCACUUCCACACUGGAAUCGGUAAGCUCUGCAACUUUCCCGCGGGAACUCGGUGCUCAGCUUUAACCUGUUGGUAAGUUAGACAUCUAGCAACAAACUCGCCAACAUCCUUUUUCAUCCCGAGCCAACAAUAUAGCAACUUCAAGUCCUUGUACAUCUUGGUGCCUCCCGGAUGUAUAGCAUAGGGUGAUUGGUGUGCUUCUUGAAGAAUUUCCUCUCUAAGUGCCGAUUUCGCCGGUACACAAACCGAUCCGCAGAAACGCAUCAUCCUAACACCGUCCACAAUGAAGUCACCGGUGCAACCACCAACCAUCUUAGCUCGAAUCCUUCGCAACUCCACGUCGUGAACUUGCUUUUCCUUAAUUCUUUUCAAAAGUGUAGGUUACAUCACCAAAGUCAUCAGCGUCAAAGGUGUAUCAGGACUCACCACCUCUAACUCCAACCGCUUUAUCUGCUCGAUCAACUGCGGUUGAGUAACAACAAGCAUCGCUAAGUUUUUCGUCGAUUUCCUACUUAGCGCAUCCGCCACCACGUUAGCCUUGCCCGGGUGGUAAAGAAUCGUCAGAUCAAAAUCCUUGAGGAGUCCAACCAUCUGCGCUGUCUCAAAUUCAACUCCUUCUGAGUGAAUAAAUACUUUAAGCUCUUGUGAUCCGUAUACACUUCACACCGCUCGCCAUANAUGGGUCGGAACACAGUCUACGACCCUUCAGAAAGUCUGAAAUAGCUCGGCACACAGAUCAAACACUCGAACCUCGCGAUUUGCAGAGGUCCAGUGUGCUACACUGUACCAACCGAACGAUCCAAGGCCGCAAUCCACGCUAAAAAAUGCGGGCCUUGUCCUCGUCAUCGCGCACUACGAAGGGUAUACAGUGAAGUAGCCGGAAAAACUCCCUCUCGUACUCGGCCACCGUCCGCUCCUCCUGACGCAAGCUGCGCAAAUCCUGCUCCAUCUUCCUCUUGACGCUAGUAGGGAAGUAGUGCGCCAGAAGAAGCUCCUUGAACUUCUUCUAUGAAAUCGCCGCCAGAUCAGUGUUGGGGUUGUCCUGGAUAUCCAACCACCAACGGUAGGCCUCACCGUCCAAGAAGUGUGUGGCGAGCCAAACUCUUUCCCUCUCCUCCACAAAGGUGUCGCGGAAGAGCUUCUCCAUAUGCAUCAACCACUUCUCCACGAUUCAGUGGUCGACUUUCUCCCCGUCGAAGAUCCUGGGGUUACACCUCCUGAACUCGCCGAGCCGAUCCAUAAGUCGGUCCCGCUUGGCCCCCUCGGCCAUCACGGGGAAAGUUGCCCUCGCUGUAGGUAUCUGAGCCAGUGGUGCCGCAACUAUCUCCUCCCGUGGUGCGGUCGUCGGUGCCGCACGUGAAGAACUGGGCACAGGGGACUGCGCCCUCGGCGCGACAUCCACUACGAGUACUGGCGGUGUGGGAACCUGGGUCUCCCUAGAAGCUGCCGCCUGCUGUAGCAAGAGGUCCUCUAGAUGCUUUAUCCGUGCCUCCUGCCGCUGAGCCACCUCGGCCUUUCGCUGCGCCGCCACCGCCUGCUGUGCCACAAGAUCAGUGAGGACCGCAAGUUGAGACCUCAAGUCGCAGACCUCACUAGAUCCGGAAGUAGCGGAGGUCUCGACCUCCUCGAGGUGUGCCGCAUCAUCCGCUCCAGCAGAUUGGGAGCUUGUAAUCGGCAUCGUCACUACAAAGCAUAAAAGCGCAAGUUAGUAACCUGCGCUAUCGCAACCCCACUCAAGAUAACCGGACCCCAAAUUAUGCGAAAGUAAGGAAGCAUUCUUCACUACUAACUCCCGAUGUUACGUUAUUGGCCGCCAACGUAACCCUCCGCGAAGUUAGAAGCCAUAUACUUCAGUCAAACUCGAACUUUUCGGAGUUGUCAAGAUACCCAAUCAAGAUACUUUCGCCUACAAAUCAAAUAGACCUCGUCUCUCACGAGCCUAUUUCCUAUAGUCCGACCGACCUAAGGUUUGCUAGGUCCCCUAAGACUCAACCCUAGGCUCUGAUACCAAAUUAAUAUGUCACGCCCCGGGACCCGGCAUAGGCCCGCCCGGUGCGUGCCCAGACCCACCAUAUGCUUGCACAUAUAAGACGUCUACAACAAAAUAGAUAUGGAAGCAAGAAGAAAUAAAGUCAUUAGAGAUAUCAGAGCUACUAACAACAAGUAGAGAAAGGGGGAAAGUAAACUACUAAACAUAAAGAUAAAGUCAGUACAAAAGUCAUCACAAAAGUACUAUAAAAAAGGUGGUCUCUAUACAAGGUACAACUCUCAUCCUCUCCCAAAAGAAAACAAAGAGGAGGUGGACUACCUAUCGAACGUCCCUCGCUCACAAGCUAGCUCGUGGCGAUUCCCUUUCCGCGGUCCCUAGCCUCGCCCGUAGUGGAAGGCUUUGAAAUAAAAACAAGAAACAGAGGGCGUGAGAACUAUAAUUUAUAGUUCCCAGUGGGCAAUUACUAACCUCAGCACUAAGCACCACUAGGCCCCAAAAGAAAAGGAUAAGAUGCCGCAAGUAAACAUGAUGUCAAUGUGUUGUACAUCUACUCUAUCAAAAAUGAAGUAUGUCCAUGGCAUGACUAAUAUAUCCCAACAUAACGAGCAAGUAGAUAUCAUAAUCCAAUAUAUCAUUAUGUAAUGAAUAUGCUCUAUCAUAACAACCAAGUAUACUAUGAUGCAACAAGUAAACUAUCAAGUAUACUACAUGUCCCAACGCUAUGCUGCAAGCAUGUCAAGGUAAUUCAACUACUACUCCCUAUCUAGUAGUGAUUAACUUUUACAAAUUGAUGUCAUUGUCCAAUCUUGUUUUGGGACCUACACAAGUGUAGUCUAGCUUGUGCCGCCUAAGUGUCGGUGGUAGCUCUAGCAUUCCUACUCUAGGAAUGAGUCUAUCCCUCCCGACCCCGUAGGUUUCUCGAUGCCGCACGAGCUAAUAUAAGCCGCGUAGGCCAACUCCGGAGUGCCGGCUUGUGGGGAGCGACCCUCACAAGCGUGUGCGAAUGAGCACAAAUGGCAAGCAAGCGUAGUCAAUGUCUCAAGUGUCCAAUCAUUAUGUCUCUAAUAUGGUCAAAGCCACUAGCAACCCAACGGUCUAGUUCUAUGUCUCAAAGUGAUGUCCCAACACUCACCUUGCUUAGUGCCUCUUUAUGACAGUUAAGCAUUAUGAUAACCCACGUACAAUCCACAUUCUAUGUCCCUUCAUGACACUAGUACUAGGUUCACACAUAACCCGAGCUCAAUGCCGCUUUAUGAUAUUAGCUCCAAAUUUUUCCAUAACAGUCUAGUCCGAUGCCUCUUUAUGGCAUUAGCUAUCUUUUAUGUCUCUAACAUGCAUAGGUAUAAGUGCACUCCACAAUGCUCAUUUUCGUUGUAAGAAACAUGGUCCCAAUUCCAACAUAAGAAUGCCAAAUGCUAGUAUAAGCCUCACAUGCAACUCUCUACUACAUAGAGGUCCGAAAGUUCAUUGUACAUGACAUAGGGAUGUUAAGCAUUCUAAAAUUCACAAUAAAUACAUUUAGCAUGAAAAUGCAUGAAUUUCCACUUUACGAAGUAUAAAUCACCAAAUAUGAGCAUUUCUCAUAUUGUAGGCUAGGUCAAACCCACCGAAUAACGCGUAACCCUUCGUUUGCUCCAACGAAGAUGUCCACUAAGCUCCUAGCACCCUAGAAGCAACAAAAAGUGAGCUACAAGGAGUAAACGAAUAAAUACUAGCUCAAUCAUUAACCAACUAGACAAAAGGGCCAAAAUCUCACCUAUAGUGAAGAAAUCCCUCUUCAAAGCUCAAAUGGAAGUCAAAUGUCACGCCCGGGUAUCAGCGGAAGCAUAUCCGGCACGUGCACAGACCCGCCAUACACCUGCAGUAUAUAAGGCGUCUACAAAGAAAACAUGUCGAUAGAAGGAAAACGUAGAAGUAUCCUAUCCUGAUAUCAGAGCAAGUAUAAGUCUAUAAUACCAUCAUCAGAGGAACAACGAGUAUACAACCCAAAUCUAAACAUCAAAGAGCAAAAUCAAAACUAAAAUCCCUGAUUCAAACUACUCAUAUACAUCACAGGGUUACUCAAAAUACAUGUACAAUGGUAGUCUCUCUAUACACGGGUACAUCACCAUCGGCCGUGGCACGAGUAGCAAGGUGAUCAACUAGCAAACAUCAAUCUAUGUCUAGCUAGACGCGACUCCCUUGCCGCGAUCCCUAGCCUCUCCUGUAGGUGGCUAUGUAAAAACAAGAAUAAAAAGGGCGUGAGAACUAUUAUCCAAUAGUUCCCAGUGGGUAAGUCGCCAGUCUCGGCGAAUUACACCACUAGGCUCAUGAUGUACUGAAUGAAAGUAAAAGUAGUAAUUGCAUGAUAUAUCUAUACUAUUAACAGGUAAUCAAUAUGUAAUCCUACUUUCUGCAGUAAUGAAUCAACUGAAUAAUAAAAGCAUAGCAACUAUUGUAAGCAUGAACAUAACAUGAACGUGUAAGUGAAUACUGUACACUAUAACUGAUAAUCAUUCAUUACUGUCAUUUCGAACUUUAAUUGCAUUCAUAAGGACCUACACAAGGUAGUCCAGCUUGCACCGCGCCUAAUGGCCCCGUGGUAGUAUACACUCUCCACCGCAAUCCACUUCGGCACCCAAUCCCGCACGGGCGAGCAUCUGUCGUAUAGGCCAAUUCCGGAGUGCCGGCUUGUAGGGAGCUACCCUCACAAGCGUGUGCGAAUGAGCACGAUGGCAAGCAAGCAAAGUCCAUAGCCCAAUAUGUCUCAAUCAUCAUGUCACGUAGUACACUCUGUUCUCACUCUCGAUCUAUUGAUCGAAAUUCUCAAUAUGAUAAACAAUGAAACUUGCUAGUAUCCACUAGAUUAGUAACACAUAAAAGUAAUGCCAAUUUUACAUAUUGCAUUAGAAACUUCUCACUAUUCAUAUACUAUCAAUAGGGUCAAGAGAACGUAGUUGUUCUCUACUUUAUAGAAGCAUAAUAAACUUAUCUCUUGGUUAUUCAAUUGAACUAAACAAGAAUACUUUAGUGCAUGAAUACUUUAUGCAUGAAUACUUUUAUGCAUGAGUUCUCUCUACUUCAUAGAGGUUUCAUUACAAUAUCUCAACCGAUGCGGCGAUGAUGUUUCAAAUCCUUAUCAAUCACAUAAUCAUAAAAUGCACCUAUGUACCAAAUCUAUAGUAACAUAUAGAACAUAGGGGAGUUUCACUUGCUCUGGUUAGGUCAAACCCACCUAGCACUAAGCUCGAUCCAGCCCCAACUGAGUCCCGAAAUUCAGCUCGCUAGGUCUCAAACCUACUGAAAACUGAGUAUCAAAAUCCCAUUGAAGCAAUGGCCAAAAUGUCUGAAAUCGGCAAAAUUCUCACUUAGUACAUAGCAAUAACUUAAAUCCCUGUUUUGGUUCACUUUAGUACCUCAAGUUUAACCUCCAAAAGCUCUCACAAGUUAGUCGAAGAUAAUCCAAUGGUCGUGUCACGCCCCGGGACCGAUACCAAUUUGGGCCGGCCUGAGCACGUCAAACAGACGCCGAACGGACAGAGUUUCCCCUAUCUGCCCAAGGCUCAUCACCUGUAUAUUUUCAAAUAAGAAGUGCACUAGCGGAAGCAUACACAAACGGCUUACACGAGGGUAAGCAAUAGCCAUGAGUGAAAGAAAGGAAAACUAACAUUCAUUUUGUAUUAUGAUUCACUUUAGAUCAUAUACAUUACAUCCAACUUCUACAUUUUUGAUUCUUUACAUUUCAUUACAACAUUUCAUCAUUUCCUUCGUACAUCACAUUUACCUCAAAAGAGAGCUUUACAUUCUUUUCUUUACAUCAUUAAUCAUCAAAUACAAAAGAUGAACAUAGGGUACUCUAUUAGUAAAAUGUAAACCAAACUCAAUUCUGGUGGCCUCUAUUUACUGUGCGAUACCUUUACCGCAGUCGCUGGCCGGCUCGCUCGGUCCCGGCUUUAUAGAAUAGUGGGGUGAGAACUACAACAAAGUUCCCAGUGGGUUUGGCCCCAAUCUCACCGACUUUUCCACUAGGACUAACUCAGGCAUAAUAGAAAGGAUAAGCAAAAUAUAGUAACCAAUCUAUAACAUGAUGCUAAUAUGCCUAAACAAUAAAGCAAGGAUUAUGCUCAACAUAAAACUCAUGCAGAUUAUGCAAGUUUCUUGUUCUUUCUCUUUACUCUUUGUUCCUUAUUCUUUAUUCUUUAUUCUUUAAUCUCACGGCUAACCCGGGGGUUUCGCCACAUUAACUUGCCCACAUUAAGUCCAUCAUCACGGGCCCUCAGCUGCCCCCGCUAAGACCGUCCUCGGGUUUACUCCAACCCGUGAUGCAAAACUCCGGAGCGCAUCGCCCGAGGUGGACCGACCGCCCUCGAGCACGGAACUCAUAGCAAGUAUGAUCGAUCCUUAACUCUAAGGAUGUAUCUCAUAAUAUUUUUAUUUAUUUUCACUUUUACAUUUAAAAUUCGGUAUGUUACAUUCCACCGCAACCUCACCGGAACUAUUUAAAUGUACACCGUAACUUCAUAGUUUUAGAUGUCUGAUACCUUACAACAUCGCUAUGGACUUCGUGGUCGGAUUACCCCAUUCGGCAGGUGGCCACGACGCGAUCUGGGUGAUUGUGGAUCGUAUGACCAAGUCGGCACACUUUCUACCGAUUCACACCACCUGGUCGGGCGAUAGAUUGGCGCAGGUGUAUCUCAAUAAGAUUGUGAGGUUACACGGGGUUCCGAAGUCGAUCGUGUCAGAUCGAGACCCCCGUUUUACUUCGCACUUUUGGAAAAACCUGCAAGAAGCACUUGGCACACGGCUCGAUUUCGGCACCGCAUUUCAUCCUCAGACAGAUGGACAGUCGGAAAGGACUAUACAGAUUCUGGAGGAUAUGUUGCGGGCGUGUGUCAUUGACUACAAGGGUAGUUGGGCAAACCAUUUGAGGAUGGCCGAGUUCGCCUACAAUAACAGUUAUCAAGCUAGCAUUGGGAUGGCACCGUUCGAGGUCCUAUAUGGACGGAAGUGCCGAUCCCCUAUAUGUUUGAGCGAUGUAGGUGAACCUGCGGCAUUAGGCCCCGAUGUAUUGCGGGAGGCUGAAGAGAAGGUCCGUCUCGCUAGCGAGAGGCUACUUACGACACAGUCGAGACAAAAGAGCUAUUCUGACAAACGCCGUAGAGACUUGAAAUUCGCGGUGGGCGACCGCGUUUUCUUGAAGGUUUCACCUAUGAGAGGUGUGAAACGCUUCGGAGUACGGGAAAAGCUAAGUCCCUGAUAUAUCGGGCCAUUCGAAGUGUUGGAACGUGUUGGAGCGGUAGCGUACCGACUUGCAUUACCACCGAAGCUCGCGGGGGUGCAUGAUGAAUUCCACGUUUCUAACCUUCGCAAGUAUGUUCCCGAUCCCGAGCAUGUUAUGUAUUACGAGCCGCCGGAUCUACAAGAGGAUUUGAGCUAUGAAGAGUUUUCGGCGAUGAUCAUUGCUCGAGAAGUGCGGAAGUUGAGGAACCGUGAGAUUCCCUACGUGAAGAUCCGUUGGACGGAUCACAACGAUCGUGAGGCUACAUGAGAACUCGAGGAAACGAUGAAAGUACAUUAUCCUCAUUUUUUUAUGGAAAUGCAAUGAGGUAUGAGUUAUUGAAUUCAUUUCGAGGACGAAACUCCUUUUUAGGAAAGGAGGAUGUAAGGAAGUAAAUUCUCGAAAUACGAGAAUUAGACUUCGUCCAGAAUCGACCAAGGGUCGUGUUGGUGAGCUUUGAAAAAGCCAAAGAUGUCAAAAUCACCAAAAGUGCAUUAGAAAUGAGUCCAUGAGAGCGAGUAGGGCAAAACCUGCACUGGAGCAAAAUUGCUCUCGGGGACCGGUCCCUGGCAGGGAGGGACCGGUCCCAUCGGCUGGUGGUUGCGGGGAUUCUUGAGGCAACCGGUCCCUGGCUGGGAGAGACCGGUCCUCGAACGUGACGCCAGCGAGAGAAAGCCAAAAUUGGCUAAGUCCCGAAGUCCCCACUCUCGGGAACCGGUCUCUCAGGAGGAACCAGCCUCCCGGGGACCGGUCUCUCUGGGAGAGACCGGUUCCCGAACGCGUGUGUGACGAAGUGAAUUCUCGAAAUACAAGAGUUAGACUUCAUGUAAAAUCGACCAAGGGUCGUGUUGGUAAGUUUUGGAAGAGCCAAAGAUGUUAAAAUCACCAAAGAUGCAUUGGAAACGAGUCCGCGAGAGCAAAUAGUGCGAAACUUGCACUGGAGCAAAACUGCUCUCGGGAACCGGUCCCGGGCUGGGAGGGACCGGUCCCAUUGGCUGGUGUUGCGGGAUUCCUUGAGGCAACCGGUCCCGGGCAGGGAGGGACCGGUCCCAUUGGCUGGUGUUGCGGGAUUGCUUGAGGCAGGGAGAGACCGGUUCCCGAACGUAAUCCCAGCGAGAAAAGCCAAAAAAUUGGCUAAGUCCUGAGAUCCCGGCUCUCGGGAACCGGUCUCUCAGGAAGAAACCGGUCUCCCGAGGACCGGUCUCUCUGGGAGAGACCGGUACCCGAACGCGUGACCCGAGCUGAAGCUCUCGGGGACCGGUCCCAAGUCGGGGAGACCGGUCCCUCCGCGCGCAGAAUGCCCAGUAAGGGCAGUGCACAGGGUGAAAAGUUGAGAGGGCCAGCUGGAUAUUGUUACAAUAAGAGGGCUUGUGGUCCCUCUCUCUUCCUCAGCCCCUCAUUUCCCUCUCUCCCUCACUCACACUCUCUCUCUCUCUAGAAGAAGAAAGAGAAAAAGAAGAAGAAGAAGAAAAGAAAAGGAAAAGAAGGAAGAAAAUGAAGGAGAAGAAGAAGGGGAUCAAGGAAAAGAAGCUUUUGGACUUCUCCCUCUUCCUCUUCUUUCUCUUUUGAGCUAACCUAGAGGUAAGCUUCUAACCCUAGCUUAUGAAAUUCAGGGUUUUUGGGUUUUAGCUCUUUGGAUGGGAUCAAAUGGAUCCCUAGCACCAUGAAUGGUAGGAUUGAAGCUAGAACCUAGGGUUUUGAGAUGGGUUUAGCUUAAUGCUAACCCUAGGGCACCAAAAUAGGGUUUUUGGUAAAGUAUGGGAUUGAUCUCAUUUGAGGCCUUGUAAACCUAAUUGCUAGGUAACGAAACGCCGGGGCGAAGUCAGUAAUUUCGAUUCGUCGAACGGGUCAAGAGCUAUCUACAAAAUAAGGCCGAUUUAGCAUCAUUUGGACUAAGAAGACCAAGGCUUCGCCGUAAAGGACGCUGAAGCACAUUUCUAGAGCCUCCGUAUACACGAAAGGUGGGGGGUGUCGUUCCGGAACAUCCGGGUUUCCUUUUAUGUCUGAGUUAACUAUAUUGAUCAUAUUGUGCUAUAGGAAUAGUAGUUGUACAUUUCCAUUCCUUGCAUGCUUCUUGGUAGUGUAGCGGGGUGAGCUUGACACGUGGACUAGGAUAGCAUGAGGAUUGGGUCUUGUGACAUAGAAUCCUAUAGCGGCAUAAAGAGCCGAACUUGGACAUAUGAUAGCCUAGUAGAGUGGCAUUGAACUAGUGUAGUAGAGACACUAAACUUGAACGAGUGGCAUGUCAAUUAGUAGGAAACUUACUACAAUGAUCGAACGAGUGGCAUUGAGUCCAGUAUAGUAAACUUGACAUGAACCUAGGGAUAGUAGAGGUCCCAACCUUGAUUAUAUAUCAUGACUGUGCAGCAGAGGCACAUUGACCCUAGUAGACAGGGUAUCCUCUUGUGAGGAUUGGAUCAUACUCACUAGUUUGUUUUGCUUGUCGGUGGUCACUCCACCGAAGCACGAGUCUCCGGAGUACUUCACUAGGGGCAGACGUAGUUGUCCCGCAGACGGUCUCGGUGUGCGAGUGCAGUUUCUCCUCACCCAUGAGAUUGAGAGUGAGUCGAGGGUUAACCUACGGGUCAACCAAGUAGAUUGGGUAAUAAACAUGAAAUGCAUAGUAGACUUGCAUUAUUACCUUGAGUAGACAUAGUGUAUGUUGUAGAUUACAUUGCUAUGCAUCUUUAUAUACUCAUGACAUGAUUCUAGCAUGUUAGUAGUUGUUGCAUGCAUUAUCAUCAUCGAUGGCAUGAUAGAGUAGUUACAGUUUACCUCUUUAUAUAUCUAUCUAUCUCUCUAUCUGUGCCAGCUUAGACCUAGUGGAAAAACCGGCGGCGUCGGCGGCCGAACCCACUGGGAACUAUAUUUAUAUAGUUCUCACCCCGUGCGGUUUUGGGGUACAGGUACACACAGAGGCGAGCCGAGCGAGGAUCGCGGCAAGGGCAUAGCGCCCUAAGUAAGCAUAGUUAGUAGCUUUCCUUUAUGCAUUAGAGUUCCCUCGUGUAUUAGAUGUUUUGGAUAGAUAUUGGAAAACCAUGGUGUAUUUUGAGAACAUAUAUUUACAUUUGGUAGAUGGAAAUGUAAUAUAUUCAAAUGAUGUAAAUGUUGAAUGGUUGUAUUAGUUAGAUGUACUCUCUUUAUACACUUGUAUUUCACUCGUGGUUCUUGCUCUUAGCUAUUGUACACUCGUGUGCAUCGUAUCGAUCAUGUAUGUUAUUUAAGCAUUCCCUGGGCACUUAACUGUACAUGAUCAGGUUGUUUGGCCUUAGGCGGAUAUGAGAGGUGCUGUCCGUUCGGCGUCUCUUCGACGUGCCCAAACCGGACCAAAUUGGUAGAGGUUUCGGGGCGUGACAGCGUGACCCGGACUAAGGCUCUCGGGGAGCGGUCCCAGGUCGGGGAGACCGGUCCCUCUGGGCGAAAAAUGCCCAAUAAGGGCAAUGCACAGAGAUGAAAGUUGAGGGGUUUGUUUGGAUAUUGUUACAUUAGAGGGGUAUGUAGGCCCCCUCUCUCUCUCCAACCCUCAUUUUUCCCUCACUCUCUCACACUCUUUUCUCUCCUUCUCUCUCUCUCUAGAAAGAAAAGAGAAGGAAGGAGAAAAAGAAGGAAGAAGAAGAAGGAGAAGAAAAGAAGAAAGAAAAGGAAGGAGAAGAAGAAGGAGAUCAAGCUAAGAAGGCUUUGGACCUCUCCCUCUUCCUCUCUUCUCAUUUGGAAGCUACAACAAGAGGUAGGCUUCUAACCCUAGUUGUGGAAUUUAGGGUUUUUGGGUUUUAGCUCUUUGGAUAGGAUCAAAUGGAUCCCUAGCACCAUGAAUGGUGGGAUUGGAGCUAGAAUCUAGGGUUUUGAGAUGGGUUUAGCUUGAUGCUAUCCCUAGGGCUCCAAAAUAGAAUUUUUGGUAAAGUAUGAGAUUUAUCUCAUUUGAGACCAUGUAAACCUAAUUGCUAGGUGUCUAAACGCGGGGGCGAAGUUGGAUUUUUGAUUCGUCAAGCGGAAGAAAAGAUAUCGGCAAAAUAAGGCCAACCAAACUUCGUUUCGACCUAAGGAAGCCGAGAGGCCAUUGUAACGUCCGUUGGGGGGCAUUUAUAGAGCCUCCAUACCCUCAAGAGGUGAGGGGUGUCAUCCCGAAGCAUCCGGAUUUCUUUUUAUGUCUAAAUUAUAUAUACAUUGAUAAUAUUGCAUUAUAGGAUUAAUAGAUAUUUUUUUUUUUCCUUGCAUGCUUCUUAGUAGUGUAACUUAUGAGUCGAACACAUGGACUAGGGUAGCAUGAGGAUUAGGUCUUGUGACAAGGAAAUCCUAUGAUGGCAUAAAGAGCCGAACUUGGAUAUAUGAUAGCCUAGUAGAGUGGCAUUGAACUAGUGUAGUAGAAACACUAAACAUGAACGAGUGGCAUGUCAAUUAGUUACAGAACAUUACUACGAUGAUCGAACGAGUGGCAUCGAGUCUAGUGCAGUAAAAAUGACAUGGUUCUUAGGAUAGUAGAGAUCCCAGCAUCUAGGAUGCAUUGUAUAUUGUGCAGCAGAGGCACGUUGACUCUUGUAGAUAGGGUAUCCUCUUGUGAGGAUUGGAUCAUACUCACUAGUCUGUUUUCGCUGUCGGUGGUCGCUCCACCGUAGCACGAGUCUUCGGAGUACUUCACUAGGGGCAGACGUAGUUGUCCCGCAGACGGUCUCGGUAUGCCAGUGCAGCUUCUCCUCACCUAUGAGAUUGAGAGUUAGUCGAGGGUUUAACCUACGGGUUAGCCAAGUAGAUUGGAUAAUAAACAUGAAAUGCAUAGUAGAUUUGCAUUAUUACCUUGAGUAGACAUAGUGCAUGUUGUAGUUUGCAUUGCUAUAUACUUUUCUAUACUCAUAACAUGAUACUAGCAUGAUAGUAGUUGUUGCAUGCAUUGUUAUCAUUGGUGGCAUGAUAGAGUAGCCGCAAUUCAUUUCUCUAUAUAUCUAUCUAUCUCUCUAUCUGUGCCAGCUUAGACCUAGUGGGAAAACCGGCGGAGUCGGCGGCCGAACCCACUGGGAACUAUAUUUAUAUAGUUCUCACCCCAUGUGGUUUUGGGGUACAGGUACAUACAGGGGCGAGCNUUUCCUAUUGUAUUUACUUUAUGUCUUAUUUAGUGGAUUUACAGUUUAUCCUCAUCCUUGGUUGUAGCAUUUAGACAUUUAUUAAGCUCUGAUACUCCUAGAUGUCUUUUAUUAUUGCUUUUAUUAUUGUUAUUUUUAGACGCCUUAUAUGUUGUAGACAUAUGGCGGGUCUGGGCACGCGCCGGGCGGGCUUCCGCUGUGCCCCGGGGCGUGACAGGGUGGGGGCAUGACAAUCGAUACCACUGUAGGGGGCGCAGGAUGCUCAGCCUCCACUUGUGCCGCCGCCGUCUGCUGCCGCUCCAAGGCCUCCUGGAGCCUUUGGAUUUGCUCCCCUUGGCGUUGAACGGACUCCGUUUGUUGCCGCACUACGCCAAUAAGCGCGGCCAUCUGCUCCCGAAGCUCCCCGUCGCCACCUACUCUGGGUUGCACGGGAGCCGCACUUGGCUCCUCGGCCAUAGACCUCGUUCGCGGUGGACCACGAGGCAUCCUAGGUUGUCCACAAGGUGGCAUUGCUUCCUGAACUGAAGCAAUUCACAUUAGUUACUCGCUACUAUACUCGAACAUACCCAAUUCGGCGAAAGCAACAAGUGUAUUUAUUUUCCUUCCAAAGCAUCAUGUCGUCGGCCGCCGAUCACAACACAUGGAAAAGAAAACAAAUAUCAUCUUAGAUUUAGUCCCUAACCACACUAGAGACAUAUUAACAUUAACUCAAUCAUAAGCUUUCGCUAUAGUUUGAUUCCACGUCGCUCACGUUUCUUAGAUCCUUAAGGUUUUCCAUUCCUAAGGGUCUCUAGGUCCAUCCUAUACUUUCACUUUUUCGCUCUUUAGUCUCUGAUACCAUUAUGUAUGUCACGCCCCGCGCCCGAUCCUUUUGGCCGGUUCGAGGGCGUCGAACAGAUGCCAAAUGGACAGAGCCUCCUCUGUUCGCCCAAGGCUCAACAACAGGUACUGAUAGAGUAUAAAAUUUGCACUUGCGGAAGCAUACAUAAUGGCUUGCACGAGGGCAAGCAAUAGCCAAAGUGAAAGGACUAACUAAACAAGUAAACAAGUAAUAUGAUUAACUUUAAAUCACAUACAUGUGUUCUACUUCAGAUUCUUUUACAACCUUUGCAUCAUUUCUUUUUACAUCGCAAGUUCUCCAAAAUAUGCCUUUGCACGAAGACCCGGGUGGUGCGACCACCACAAGUAUGAACAGACUGUGAGUAUGAUCAAUCCUCUCAACUCGAGGAUACCCUACUGGCUAGGGCUACAAGUCACUCGGGAAUCCACCUAUCCCAAAGCCCAAAUAUGAAUGUUUGGCUAUAUUAUGUUCUUGUCCAACGAGCCAUUUACUAGGGAAUCCACCUAUCCCUAUGUUCACAUGCCACUAGUGUCAUUUACACUAAGUUACAUGCCACUCGUUCUUGUUUGAUUAACAGUCAAUACCACUCAUUACGUCUUUAACAAUCAUCGAGUUCAUCUCUUUUCUCAGCAUAAUAGAAUUCAAUGUCAAGACCCAAUCCUCAUCUAACCAUCAUCAUGCAUUCAACGCAUACAUUGAUAUCUUUAGCAACAAUAAGGAAUGGAAUAACAUGCAAUCCUACAAUGCAACAUCCAAGAGAUGCAGAUUAUGAAGUACUAAGACAUAGAGAGGAACCCGGUUGCUUCGGGAUGACACCACCCACCUUUCGACGAUGUCACGCCCCGGGACCGGCGGAGGCCCUCCCGGUAGCGUGCCCAGACCCGCCAUAUGUCUACACAUAUAAGGCGUCUACAAUAAAAGCGGAAGUAAAAGCAAGUAAUAAAACAAUAGAAGAAGUGAAAUAACUAACAACUAAUGAUAUCAGAGCAAAUAUAGUUCUAACAUCUACACCAAGGUAAAGAAGUAAAGCUAGUCAAUAAAGGGGGUCAUAAGUAGUACAGAAACGGUGGUCUCUAAUACACUGGUAGAACUCUCAACCUCUCGCAAAAAGAAAUAAAAAAAUCGAGAGGCAGACCACCUAGCAACUCGUCCUCGAAGGAAGCUAGCUCGAAGCAACUCCCUUCCCGCGAUCCCUGNCUCGGUAUGCCAGUGCAGCUUCUCCUCACCUAUGAGAUUGAGAGUUAGUCGAGGGUUUAACCUACGGGUUAGCCAAGUAGAUUGGAUAAUAAACAUGAAAUGCAUAGUAGAUUUGCAUUAUUACCUUGAGUAGACAUAGUGCAUGUUGUAGUUUGCAUUGCUAUAUACUUUUCUAUACUCAUAACAUGAUACUAGCAUGAUAGUAGUUGUUGCAUGCAUUGUUAUCAUUGGUGGCAUGAUAGAGUAGCCGCAAUUCAUUUCUCUAUAUAUCUAUCUAUCUCUCUAUCUGUGCCAGCUUAGACCUAGUGGGAAAACCGGCGGAGUCGGCGGCCGAACCCACUGGGAACUAUAUUUAUAUAGUUCUCACCCCAUGUGGUUUUGGGGUACAGGUACAUACAGGGGCGAGCGGAGCGAGGAUCGCAGCAAGGGCAUAGCGCCCUAAGUGAGCUUAGUUAGUAGCUUUUCCUUUAUGCAUUAGAGUACCCUCGUGUACUAGGAGAUGUUUGGAUUGUUAUCGAAGAGCUACUUGUAUUUUGGAGAAAAACAUGUAUUUACAUUUUGGAAGAUAAAAAAUGUAAUAUAACUAACUUAUGUAAAUGUUGAAUGGUUGUAAUGGCUAGACUUAUCUCUCUUUAUACAUUUGUACUUAUACUUGUGGUUCUUGCACUUAGCUGAAUUGCACUUGUGUGCAUCGUAUUGAUCAUGUAUGUUAUUUAAGCAUUUCCUGGGCGCUUAAUUGUACUUGAUCAGGUUGUUGGGCCUUGGGCGAGCAGGGGAGGUCCUGUCCGUUCGGCGUCCGUCCGCCGCGCCCGAACCGGGCCAAAUUGGUAGCGGUCUCGGGGUGUGUAGCACACUAGACCUUUGCAAAUUGCGAGGUUCGAGUGUUCGAUGUGUAUUCCGAACUCUUCCACACUUGGUGGAGGGCCGUCGAUGGUGUAUCGGCCUAAAAGUUCGNGAAACAUGAAACCAAAUCUCAUAUAGAAUGCUAAAUGCAACCAACUCUCUCUCAAGCAACUCUCUACUACAUAGAGGUCCGAAAUUUCAUUACAUAUAACGUGGGCAUUUUAAGCACUCUAAAAUUCAUAAUAAAUACACUUGAUAUGAAAAUGCAUGAGUUAUUGGUAAACAAAGCACUUAUCACCAAAUAUGAGAUCUUCUCAUAUCAAGGCUAGGUCAAACCCACCAAAAUCGAAACUUUCGUUUCGCCGAACGGAGAUUUCCACAAGCUUCCUAGCACCCUAGGAACAUCAAACAUGGUGUCAUCCCAUCGAUACGAAGAGCAAUAAGCUCAAUCUUUAACAUAGAAGCAAAAAGGCCAAAACUCACCUCAAGAGUAGAAAUCUUCUUCUAAGCUCCAAAACAGAGCUAGAACCCUUCCAAUCCAAGUCCUAGGAAGGUUCUAAACCAACCAAUCAAGCCUCAAAAGCCCUAGGUUCAAAAAGCCCAAAAAUAAACCCUAAGUCUCAAAACUAGGGUUUCAUCUCAAAGGAAGUUCUAAAAUCCAAGACUAGAGGAAAGGAUCUUGCCACUUACCUCUUAGAAGCCUCAAAACCAGCUCAAAGUCCUCAAACUUCAAGUAUCUUCCCUCAAUCAAACUCCAAACCCAAGCCCCAAGCUUCAAAAAUGGUGGAAAUAGCUCCAAAAGGCAAAAGAGAGGGAAAAACCAUCAAAAUCCAAGCUAGAAUGAGAUCAAAACCAAAAAGGGGUGAAGGGGAGAGGUGCCCUACCUGAUUCCCCACUCUUCUCAGCUCAGGAGAGAGCCCUAGGGGCGUGGGUGCUGAUAUAAGAAGCCCACAAUUGCGAAAAACCCCCUGCAGUUCAAACUGCUCAGAAUCUGCACUGCGUACCGGUACACGGGCCCGCGUACCGGUACGCCUCCUACGAAAAUGCCCAGCCCAAGCCUCGGGUCGGCUGAGAAUAGGCUGAAAAUCGGCUGAUAAUCGGCUGAAAAUCGGCUGAUAAUCGGCUGAAAAUCGGCUGAUGUCGAUGGCUGUACCGGUACAGCCGUCACUCCCGUACCGGUACACAGUCCUCCGAAUGCAACCCGAGAGCUAUCCAAAAAUCUGAUUUUUCGGGUUUUCGUGCUCGGCUUUAAACCUCACUUCUCGGGAUGCGAGCCAUAGGUCGGAACACUGUCAACGACCCACCAGAAAAUCUGGAAAAACUCGGGACACUGUCCAAACACUCGAACCUCGCAAUUUGCAAAGGUCCAGUGCGCCACAGACGAGGUCGGAGUGCAAAGACACUAUUUGGCACUUGCUUCAACGUCGCUUCGACCUCCUAGAUAGAAACGAAGCUCGAUCGGUCUUAUUUUGCCGAUAACUUUUUACCGACUCGACAAAUGCUCAAUUCGGCUUCACCAACGCGUUUAGACACCUAUCAAUUAAGUUUAGAUUCCAUCAAUUGAGAUCAAACCUGUAAUAUACCAGAAAUUCAAAAAAUAAAUGUCGAACUUUAGUCAAAUUGACCAGAGUGCGAGGUUGGUACCCUUCGGAAAGUUCGAAGGUGUUAAAAUGAGUAAAAUAGUAUUGUGGGAGGUUUUCGAGAGCUAAAGAAUCAAAAAUCUUCAUUCUGCAGGUUUUGAGCUCUCUGGGACCAGUCCCUUGUGGGAGAGACCGGUUCCCGAACGCGUGAGAAAUGAGAAAGCUGAAAAAUCGACUAAGUCCCAGAAAACCAGCUCUCGGAAACUGGUCCCUGCGGGGAGAGACCGGUCCCUCUGGGAGAGACUGGUUGCAUCGCGCGGGGGCCCUGGCUGCCCACGGGGAGAGCUCUCUCGGACCGGUCCCAGGUCGGGAAGAUCGGUCCCCGAGCACGAAAAUGGCCCAGUCCAGGCAGCGUAAUAAGAUAAAAGUUGAGGGGCUUAUUUGCAUUUAUGCAAUAUAUGGGUUAUGUUAUGAGAGGUUAUGGGAUAUUUCUCUCAUUCCCUCCCUCUCAUAUAAUCUCUCCUCUCUUUCUCUCUCUAGAAGACAAGAAGGAGAAGAAGAAGGAAAUAAAGGAAAGGAAAGAAAGAGAAGAACAAGAAGACAAAGGUGGAGAAGAAUACCAAGGAGUGGAGCAACUCCUUCUUCUUCCUCUUUGGAGCAAAGAAGGGAAAGCUUUGAGGUAAGCUUUGACCCAUUUCAUGGUAAAACCCUAAAAUGAGAACCAAAUUAACCUAGGAAUGAUUUUGGUAGAGCCUCUUGGGUAUUACAAGCUUUCUUAUGCUUACUAAUGAGAUCAAAACCAUGGAUUGGGUGUAGGUGGUGAAGCUUAGAGGUAAUGUCACGCCCUGGGACCCAGCGGAAGCCCGUCCGGCGCGUGCCCAGAUGUGACGCACUGGACCUUUGCAAAUUGCGAGGUUCGAGUGUUUGAUCUGUGUGACGAGCCAUCUCAGACUUUCUGAAGGGUCGUAGGCAGUGUUCCGACCCAUGGUUCGAGUCCCGAGGAUUGUGGAUUGGAGCGGUGUACCAAAAUCCAAAAAGUUGGAUUUUUGGUUAGCUCUCGGGUUGCCUUCAGCGGGCUGCGUACCGGUACGGGUUCGCUUGCUGUACCGGUACNAAGGCCCAAAGCUACAAAGAAAGUGGUCAGUAGCUAUAAAAGUAAUAAAGCGAAAGGUAAGUAAAAGUGUAACUUACUAUAACCAGAUGUCUCUACUUAGCAUGAUAGGCAUAAGAAUAAGCAACUAUAAUAUAAAUGUACAUGGAUGUGUAUACAUGAAUACCCAUAGGUAUGCAAUCAAUACGAUGUCCUCAAUGCAAUUAGUAAAGAUGUCAUUGUUUACUAUUCUAGUCGAUGCCCAGUCAAUAUACUAAGUCAUCAUCUGUCCACAUGUCAUAGUGAAUACUCAAAGUCAAAUCUGAAGAGACCCACCCGAAGGUUGUCUAUGGCCCUGAGACCCACCCGUAGGCUGUCUGGCCGAUGCCGAGCCUAGUGGCCCUGUGGUAGUCAUCAUCUCCACCCUAGGAAUGAGCCUAGCCCACGGCAAUUCACUUCGGCACCCAAUCCCGAACGGCGAAUAUAAAUCGCGAUGGCCAUCUCCGGAGUGCCGGCUUGUAGGGAGCGACCCUCACAAGCAUGUGCGAAUGAGCACAAUGGCAAGUAGUCAUAUGUCCUGUCACAAGUACCAAGUCCUCAUGUCUAGCUAAUAACAUGGAAUGUAUCGAAUGUCCCAAAGGCCUAUCUCUAUGUCAUCAUGUCUCUAACAUGGAAUAUAUAGUAGAUGUACAAUGGCCUAACAUUAUGUCUCUAUGUUGCGGUUUCAUAGUUUACUAGUUUCAAGUGCCUCUUGAUGACCCUUCAUGCUACUAAGUCCAAACAUAGUAUAAUGUUUCCAAUACGCGAAUAUGAGCUAAUUCAGCAUACAAGACGAGAAUCCCAUUGGUCCAUAUGAACACUCCUCACAUGCAUGAAAAUAACCCUGAUUACUCUACUGUAUAGAGUGAAAUUUAACUUACACAUAAGGCAUGCAUUUUAAGUGUUGUAAAAUUCAAAUAAAUUUCAAUUAGCAUAGAAAUGCAUUCAAAAAUAUAUUACAACAAGUAUAGAGAAUAUAGGGGCCAUUUUGCCUCUUUUCCACGAAGCCAAACCCACCGAUUUUUCGAACUCUUCGUUUCGCCGAACGAAAGUGUCCACUAGCCUCCUAGUACCCUAAGGAUGUAGGAACAAGUGUUAUCCAAACGAAACGAACAACAGAUUGCUCAAUCAUUAACCAUUCCGGGCUAGGGUUGAAGAAAACUCACCGAUUGCGAAGGAAGCUCUCUCGAUCUCAAAAGGGAAGUUAGAGUCCUUCCAAUCUAACCUAAACAAAGAUUCUAAACCCAUCAAUUAGGUUUCAAAGCCCUUAAAUCAAAAAUCCCCAUUUCUAGCCCUAGAAUCCAAAAUCUAGGGUUUCGAUCAAAAGAACCAUCAAAACAUGUACCAAAAGGGAAAUACAUGUUACUAACCUCUCUAGAAGCUCCAAACUAGGCUCCAAUCCAAAUGGGGUUGAAGAUCCUCCCUCCACAAAGCUCCAAUCCCGAGCUCAAGGCUUCUCUCAUGGAGGAAACCCAAAAAGAAGCAAGAAAAGCAAGGAGGAGGAGAUCAAAACCUACCAAAAUCCAUCAAAAAUGGAAAAAAUGGAAAGAAAACUCAAAGAGGGAGAGUCUCACCUUGUCUCCACAGAACUAGGGCUCAAAACCCUGUCUAAGGGGGCUGGGGUCACUUAUAUAGGGGUUGCAACAAUUGCAAAAAUACCCCUCCACGAAAACAGCCCACUCUGCACUGUGUACCGGUACACGGGUUUGUGUACCGGUACACCACCCACGAAAAGCCAAACUCGAGCCUCAGGUUUGCUGGGAAAUAGCCUAUGUACCGGUACACAGGCCCGCGUACCGGUACAACCAUCACCGCGUACCGGUACAGCCAUCAAGUCUGUACCGGUACACUGCCCUCUGAAAGCUAACCGAGAGCUAACCAAAAAUCUAACUUUUUGGAUUUUGGUGCACAGCUUAAAACCUCCAUUCUCGGAACUCGAACCAUAGGUCGGAACACUGUCGACGACCUACCAGAAUGUUUGGAAAAGCCCAGAACACAAUCAAUCACUCGAACCUUGCAAUUUGCAAAGGUCCAGUGCAUUACAGGUAAGCUUCCUCCCCUCUCAUGGUAGAACCCAAACUAGGGUUUGGAUUGAGCUAAUAAUGGUUUCUAUAGAACCUUAGAGUAAUUGAAGCUCUCUUUUGCUUCCUAAUGAGAUCAAACCCUAGGUUUUGUAUAUGUGUUGGAGCUAGGGCACCCAAAUUGGGGCUUUUGCUUGUGAGGGUUCCAAAGUGAAAUUGACCAUCUAGAAACCUAAUUUGGGGUAUUUUCGAUGCGUUUGUGCGCUCGGUUUAACGUUACGAAAAGCCUAUGUAAAGUUAUGAGCGAAGUGGCCUAAUAUGGCUUCGUUUUGCUGCAGGUAGCGAACUAGGUGGCUAAAAAUCCCGAGAAAUUCACAGUAACACCUAAGAAAGCCUACGAGGUGGGUGGUGCUCUCCAAACUUGUUGGAAUUACCUUUAUGUCUAAUGUGUCACUUCUUGAGCAUACUUAUGUACAUUGUUGCAUGCAUAAUUAGGGUAAUGAGAUUAUAAAUAUGUGAAUGUUUGCAUUUUGUGAGUUUAAGUGCAUCAUGAGAUGGUCGAGGACCAAUGAGAAUGUAAUAACUCUAUAUGUGCAUGUAAAAGAGAUAAGAACUAAGUAAAGUUAAAGAACAAGUGACAUAUGACAUGAAGACAAUGAAAUGUGAGAAUGAAAGCUAGAGUUAGCAUAAAGAUUGACGUAAAGAACACUAGAGCUAGUGUGUGGCAUCAGAGAGAACAAAAUGUGGUAUAAAGAAAGAUAAAAGCUAGAGUUAGCAAAUGUGUGGCAUUAAAGAAUGAUAAUUAUUAGAGUUAGUAACAAAAUGUGGCAUAAAGAACAAUGGCUAAAGAUAGCAUUAAAUGUGUGGCAAAGAACACUAGAGUUAGUGUAAAAACAUGAUGAAAGUAAAGAAUGCAAAGAAUACUAGAGUUAGUGUAGUGACAUGGUCAAAGUAAAGAAUGCAAAGAACAUGAGAUUGACACAAUGACAUUCAACCUUAAAGCUAAGGGCCAUUUGUGCAAAAUUUCUUAGAGUUAAGGAACAGAUUGAACUGAACAUCCUUAGAGUUAAGGAUUGAUCAUACUCGCUAUAAGUCCUUAUUCGAGGGCGGUAGCUCUCCCUCGGGCGAUGCGUUCCGGAGUUUGUCAUCACUGGGUUGGUGCUGUUCCCCAGAGGACGGUCCUAGCGGGAGAAAGCUGAGGGCCUGCGAUCAUGGAUUUUGAGUUGGUGAGUUAAUGAGGCGAUACCCCCGGAUUAGCCUUGAGAUUGAACGAAAGAAUAAAGAACAAAGAACAAAGACCAUGCAUUCUUCAUGAGUUAGAUUGAGCAUCAUUUUUUAUCGCAUUAUUCAAGCAUAUUAGUUACAUUUGUAUAGUUUGCUACUUUUCAGCUUAUUCUUUCUAUUAUGCCUGAGUUAGACCUAGUGGGAAAGUCAGUAAGAUUGGGGCCGAACCCACUAGGAACUUCGUUGUAGUUCUCACCCCACUUUUUCCACAGAGCCGGGACCGAGCAAGCCGACGAGCGACUGCGGUAAAGGUAUCGCGCCAUAGUCAGUGACUACCCGAGUUGGGUUUGCAUUUUGUAGUAGCAUUUCCCCUACUUCAUCUUUGUAUUUGAUGAAUUGAGAUGUAAAAGAAAAGAAUGUAAUAUUUAUCUCGAGGAGAAUGUGAUGUAAAAAGAAAUGAUGAAAAGUAUGUAAAGAACUAUGAAUGUACAAGUUAAAUGCAAUGUAUGUGAUCACAAGAGAAUCAUAGUACUUGUGUAGAUGUUUAGUUUCCUUUCUUUCACUCAUGACUAUUGCUUACCCUCGUGUAAGCCGUUUGUGUAUGUUUCCACUAGUACUUUUCUCUACUUGAAAAUGUACAGGUGAUAAGCCUUGGGCGAGCAGGAGAAACUCUGUCCGUUCGGCAUCUGUUUGACGUGCUCGGGCCGGCCGAAAUUGGUAUCGGUUUCGGAGCAUGACAGAUAUUGUGAUAUCAGAGCCAAAGUGAAAGAAUAAGAAUGGACCUACAGACCCUUAGGACUGGCAAGGACUUAAGGAUCUAGGAAACGUGAGUGAUAUGGAAUUAAAGUUAGCGAAAGCAUGCAAUUGGGUGAAGUUGUUUUGCCUUACAAUACUCACUGUUUUUAGUGCACGCACUGGUGACGGGGUUAAUCGGAUGGCAUUGUCCCAAUGCCUCUCUGAAUGGGGUGGGUAUAAGGUGACUGAAAUGAGCUACAGGAUGGGCAUAGCGUAGAAGAUUUCAAACUUGUCACGGGUUUCUAGCGGAUUUGUAUUUAAAGAUUGGCACCCAUCUCAAAUCAAUCCCAUUCUGAUAACUUUGUUAAUAUAUGUAGUGUUGAUAAAAUUAAAUUUUAAUAUCCAAAACAAAAUGCUAAAAUCACACCGAUUUUUACAUAUCUUUUUAUAAAAAAAUUUAUGUUGCAAUUAUUAGGAUCUAAUCUCUGUCUUGUUUUACGAAUUCCUUAACCAAUUAUUAGAGUCCAUCGCAGCACAUGGCCCAAAUUCUUAGGGUUUCUGAUAGUGUCCAAAAGCGAACCCAAGAGAGAAAAUUUUAUGGAAAGAUUAUAUUAAUUUUUCUUGCAUCUUGUAUGUGGCCAAUAUCUCAUAUAUUUAUAGGUCAUAAAAAAGACGUUAAUCCUAAUCCUAUUCUAACUGAAUCUCAUAUAGAUAGAAAUUUGAACAGAUUAGAAUCUAUCUCUUAAAUUUAUUCCUUUAUCCCAUAUGGAUUAGGAAUAUUUUAGAUAUGUUUUAAUAUUUAUUUCUUAUCCCAUAUGGAUUAGAAAUAUUUUAAAUAAAUCCAAAUGUGGACGAAUUCCAAUAUGUAUAAUAUUUAGUAUUGUUAACCUAUUAUAUAUGAAUUAGUUGCUUUGUAGUUGAAGUGCGAUAACCUUUAAACGGGUUAGGUGGUAUGAGACCAAAACUUUCAGAACAGGGUUUGGAACUAGAAGGGCAACUUUCAACUCGACGGCGUGUGGAUCUCGGUCUGGGUCUGGGUCUGGGUCUGGGGCCCCAUUUAUCUUUGGCCGGCACAGAAAUAAGCUGCUCGACGGGAUCCUCUCGAGAUGCAUAAAAUCAAACAACUGAAAUUAAAUGUUUACCUUAUAGCCGGGAGAUGACACGUUUGAAUCUUUCUUAAGAUUAUGACUACUUCCCGUUAUGGAUUUGCAAUAUUAUCAUCGCCCAGCCCAAAUUAAAGUUUGGUUGAGACUUACAAUAUAUACUAGUAAGGGUACAUUUGGUUUCCUAAGAGUGGUUAAAAUAAAAAAAUUAUUAUUUUUAUAAAAGUGACUAUUAUAAAAAUAACUUUGAAUUAUAUUAUUUGGUUGGGUGCAAAGUCAAAAUAAAAAAUUAUAGUUUUGUGGUUUUGAUUAUUUAAUUAUAAAUAAAGGGGAGAAAAAUAUAAACAAACAACUGAUACUUGUAAUUUAAAUUUAAAUCUAAAUCUAAAUUUGAAUGCAAAGUUAAAUUUUAAAUUUUAAAUUUUAAUUUAAAUUUAAAUAUGAGUUAAAUUUAUAAUUAAAAUUGAAGGCAUACAAUUAAAUUUGUAAUUUGAAUUGAAAAUUUACGUUAUAACUCAUAACUGAAAUUAAAUUUUAAAAUUAAAUUUCAACUAAUAAAUUUAAAAUUGGAAUUCAAGUUUCGAUAGAUAAUUUGAACUUAGUAGUUCGAAAUAAUUUGAAUUCGAAGUUCAAAUUGAAAUUUUUUGGCUAUAAAUACUUUGAAUAGAAUUUAAAUUUGAAUAUUUUUAUUUAAAUUUAAAUUUAAAUUUUCAAACUACAAUUUAAAUUUGAAUAAUAAUUUAAAUUUAAGCCUUAAAUUUAAAAAUAAAUUUGGAAAUUUGAAUAUAAAAAUUGUGUUAAUUUUGAAGCUACAAAUAAAAUUCAAAAUGUGAAAUUAAAUUCAUGAUUUUAAAUCAGAUUUAAAGUGGAAAUUCAACUCUAAAAAUAAAUCCAAAUAUUAAAAUUAAGAGCUCUCCAUUUCCGUGUAACCAAGUAUGCCCUAACAAGCAAAAGGAACCAAGUCAAAAACAAAUAACAUUGUAGCAUAAGCUGAGGGAUUUAGGGCCCCUCGGAAUUGGGCGAAGAAUGCAUUAUGUGGUUAAGGAAAAGUACAAUUGUUUCCACAAGUUAUAACGACGCCGUGCAAAUUGCAGUGGUUCAGCACGCGAUAUUAUACCAUACCACGUCAGCAUUAAUAAAUUAUACUUUGCAGUGGUUCGGCAUACGAUAUAAUCAGCAUAUUUCUUAAUAAUUAUACUACGUGGCACUAAUUGCGGCAAUUCAGUAGAAGAUAUUUUUUUCUUCGAUCCUGUUCACAAAAAGAGAAAAGUUUACCUCUACGGACUACACUGAAAACUCCUUUUUGGUCCAACAGCAUCAGGCACGCAUGCAUGCAUAAUUAGAAUAGAUUUUGGCUGACCGUGAAAAUACCUACGCUAGCCCCUCAAUGUUGGCAUAGAGGCCACCUGACAAUAGUACUUAGAUCCAACUUUAUGCGUAAAUGAGAUGUUAGCAGCAGAUCUAACGACGAAAAAUAAGCCUCCCACAAUCUCACACUCAAGUGCCACAGGUAUUAUUACACAAUAUUUUCUUCACAAUCAUUCACAGAAAACACCAAAGCCGCUAUCUCUUGGGGAUCAUCUAAUGUACAAAAUUAGAUGAUAUAUUAUCUCAAAAGCACAUCUUAGGGUAUGUGCCAAUCUUCAAGGCAGUCAUACAUUUAGAUAACUGUCAAAUAUUCACGUAAGUUCCCAAGAAGAUGACGAGUAUAUAAAACCCUAAAGUAGCUGUUACACAUUUACAAAAGGUGUAUCUAUGGUAAUACACUAGACGGACAUUUAUGAAAGCACAUCUAGCGUAACCCCAUGGUGAUAAUAAGUAUAGACUUUUCACAACAGACGAGACCAGACUGUACUUAAACACUUGCAGUAUCCAGCAAAAUCCAAGUUUGGGCUGAAAAAAUCUUGUUUAACAAAUCCUUCAUAAGACGCAUCUCAAAUUAUGCGACAAAAAAGAGGAUCAGCUUUGUAUAGAAGUAAAAAAUAUGGAUCUUAUGACUUGUUUUCGGAGUUGGAUUCUGACUGCAGCCUCUGGUGAAUUUGAUUGCGCAAGAUACUCAUAUAUUCCUAGAAGAGCAAAAAAAUUGACGGGAUGUAAUAUAGAAUUUAGAGGCAUCAAACAAAAUGCAACAAGAAUUAUUCUUUAAUCACUUCAAAUACUGUUAAAAAAUAAAAACUAUAUGCAUGAAAAAGAUUCGAUACUCAUUUGUUGGUGAGCAGCGCCCACAGAUGUCAAAAUCAAUAAUAAAACGAGACAAGAUGUCCUACUAUCAUAACAUAUGCGUUCUAGGAACAACAGUUGCUACCUCGGCAAAUGGAAUGAGACCAUUACACAAGUAAAAGAGAAUUAUAUUACUCAUAAAACUAGUAAAGAUUAGGUCUAUAGUAUGUUGGUAGAUUAAAAUGUAUGGUAAGAAGGUAGCAGCAAAUCUAACUUUAGAUCACAAAAAAGGAUCUUUGGUAUCCAACAUAUGUCACAUUUCCUUCUAUUUGGGCAAAGUUAAUACGUUUAACAGUCUCAAAGCCAUCAAGCAAUGACUACUCCUAUUGGGAAGCAAAGAACAUUAUCUUUCAGAACUUCAGAUCAAAUAGAUGGCCAAUGUUAGAGUUCAACAAGGAAAUAAGAACCAAAAGUCUACAAUAGCGAUCUAUGCCAACAUAGGGAUAUCAGAUGACUCGAUCACACUUGGAAGACAAAUCAUAUUAAUUCCUGGUACAUUCAAAGCUAGUUGUCACGGACAAAAUGUUUCCCGCUGACUUCUCCUUGACAGUGGCCCAACUCUGCUAGCGAAACGGGUUGAAAAUGGAUUGAAUCGGAUUGUCAAGGAGACCCAAAUCCAAACCGCUGUGGGGAGACAAAGGGUUUUGUAGUUCUCCCAUCAAUGAUGAAAACUCAAAGGGUUAUGAAACUCUCAUGAGUUAUGGAGUGACUUUUGGGCUUAUGGCUCAUUAUGAGGGUGAGUUAAUGUAUCUCAUAAUGAGAGAGUUAGUGUGUGUCUAGGUUCAUUGUAUCUAGGAGCAUAUAAGUAGUGGGGUUUGGCUAAGGUCAAAACACACAAGAGAGAGUGUGUAUAUGAGUUGUAAUUCUCAUUUUCUAAGUAGUGUAGUACUUAGCUUUUUGAGAGAACCUCUGCCUUUUUCUCUUGCGUCAUUCUCUUUGCAUACUUAGUCGUAGGACGCGAAGGUUCGGACUAGCAAUAA
rnacentral:lncRNA from 1 species